rnacentral:lncRNA from 1 species
AAAAAAAAAAAAAAAAAAAAAAAAAAAGAGUUUCCUUCAUGGAUUUUUUAAAUUGAUAAAGAGGAUUAGAUUUUCCAACCAAGAGAUUUGAAGACCCUAUUCAUUUCCCAAUCAUAUCUGCCAUCUAAUUCAUAAAUCAAGAUUUAGAAUAGCCAACCCGGACUUGAUUUCAACGAUUUUUAUUUCUACAAUCAGAGUCCUUUUGCCAUUUUGACGAGUAAAAUUGGGAAAUAUUCGUUUCUUAUGUACAAAAAAUAAACAGAUGAAAUACUAGCUAGGCAACCCAAGAGGGGGGUGAAUUGGGAUUUUAAAAUUUAUGCAAUAUAAUUCGCACAACAAUUCAAUCUAAUGCCUUAAUCAAUUCGUACCGCUGUAAGAAAAUGAAAGAAAUGAGUCCUGAAGAAAGGAAAGCGAGCUUUACUCCUAGGGUAUGCAUAUUUGGAGGAAAGGCAUUUGCUACAUAUGUCCAAGCCAAAAGGAUUGUCAAAUUCAUCACCGAUGGUGGAGUCACUGUGAACCAUGAUCCAGAUAUUGGUGAUCUUCUGAAGGUAUGACUUUGUAAAGCUCAAUGUGUGAAUGAAUGAGAUGAAUACAAUNNNNNNNNNNNNNNNNNNNNNNNNNNNNNNNNNNNNNNNNNNNNNNNNNNNNNNNNNNNNNNNNNNNNNNNNNNNNNNNNNNNNNNNNNNNNNNNNNNNNNNNNNNNNNAUCGUUGGAAAUCUUCUUGUUUGAAUUGGAUUGAGCUUAUUUAUAGUUGGAGCUGUAUUGACUUUCUGCACACUGUUGCACACUGUCGGGUCGCCGUUAGCUAGAUGUCGGAUCGCCGUUUGACUGGUCAAUAUGACCGUUGGGCUGAUUUUUCAAAUUGUCGGAUCGCCGUUAACUAUAUGUCGGAUCGCCGUUUAGGUCCAGAGGCGACUGGUUGAUAUCGGCGAGCCGUUUAUCACACAUGUCGGUUCGCCGUUUAUUUCCAGAGACUAAUCUUCAAUUCUGUUAGAUGUCGGAUCGCCGUUAUAAAGAUGUCGGAUCGCCGUUUUCUACAGUAACUGCUACAAACAUUUAUAAUGUGAAACUAAUGAUUUAUUUAAAAAGAAUAAAAACAAUCAAUUUCAUAAAAUCAUUUUUCCAUUAAAUACAAAACAUUUAUAAUGUGAAACUAAUGAUUUAUUUAAAAAGAAUAAAAACAAUCAAUUUCAUAAAAUCAUUUUUCCAUUAAAUACAAAACAUUUAUAAUGUGAAACUAAUGAUUUAUUUAAAAAGAAUAAAAACAAUCAAUUUCAUAAAAUCAUUUUUCCAUUAAAUACAAAACAUUUAUAAUGUGAAACUAAUGAUUUAUUUAAAAAGAAUAAAAACAAUCAAUUUCAUAAAAUCAUUUUUCCAUUAAAUAUAAAACCUUUAAAAUGUGAAAAUAAUGAUUUAUUUAAAAUGUAUAAAAAAUAAUUUGAUCUUAAAAGAUUAAUCAUUCUUAAUCUUGUUUGUUAUCAUCAAAAUCAAUAUUAUGGAAACAUAUAUGUUAACAAUAGAUAGAUAUAUGAUUGGUCGGCUGCAUCAAUUCAACAUGCAAACAAGUAUUCAUUGGCAUAUGUUGUCUUGUUAAACAAUACAAUGAUUAAAAUUUUUUGUUUUCUAUCGUUAAUUAUUUAACAAGGAACACAGUUCACAAUUUUUCUUCGGUGAAAAGGAAAUCUACUCUAGUAAAAUAUGAAAAAAUCUACCCACAUUUUCUAAUGGCGAGAACUAAUAAAUUGGUUCUUAAGUGAAAACCAAUCAAAGGGCUGGUUCUCAAUUUUGAUGGAUAAAGAUGUUUAUUUUCAAAUUCAAGGAGAAACAGAGGAAUCCACAACGAAACAUUCGAAAGGAAAGUACAAAAUUUUAAUUGAUGUUUUUGGAACAUUUUAAAGUACCUAUAAUGGCAUAUGCCCUUUUGAACCUUUGUGUAGCUUCUCCUAGUAAUGGUGAGAACGAUGGUUUCUUAGACUUAAAUGUUUUAUUGUUGAAUCAUACCAAAACCUCUCGUCUUAUAUGUUUGUUCUGCUUGCUUCUUGUUGCUUCAUUUUGAACAUUUUUUAAUAUGCUGCUUUUUAAUCUAUUGCAACAAUAGAUAGACCGAUUGCAUGUCGAUUAAUUACUAAUUAAAUCAAAAUCGCCUUUAAAAGCUCCUUUAGUACUUCUUAUAUUUUGAAUCAAUUUUCUACAAUUAGCCUCUGUAUUACUCGAAAAAAAUUCUUAUUGUAUUUCUGUUUCUGCCAAUCAACUUAAUUAUCAUAUAUUUUUCACCUAUUACUUGCUGGAUUUGUUUCAAAUUUAAAUUAUAUCAAAUAGAAAUAUUAUUUUAAUUGACACUUGCAAAGCUGGAUCCAACAAUUAUAAAAGUAACUAAAAAUGUUAAAUUAUAGGAACUGAAUGAACAUCUAUUAUUUCAAAAUAGGGUCCAGCUAUAUUACAACUGUGGUAUGGUACCACAGUUACUUUCAUCCAUUAGAUUCAGUUAAUGUACAUGUGCAACUGUGGAUCCAACGGCAGAAAACAAAUGUGAUACCAUACCACAAUUGCAACAUAAUUUUACCCUUAAAGAUAAUACUUACUAAAUACAAGAAGUAAAAUACAAGAAAUUCUUUCAUCUCCUUUGAAUUGUUCGGAUUUAUAAAAUAUGAAGCUUUAACAAAUGAAGUGUUGUUGUAUAUUUUUUAUUAUUUUUUUAUGAAGUAUUAUUGAUGAUUAUUAUGCAAUCAAAUCUAGAACAUUAGACUAUUCUUUUUAUUAUAUUGACUUAUUUCUUAGUCAAUAAUGUUACAUUUCUCUUUUCUAUUUUUAAAUAACAUUCAUUUUAUAUCUCAAAUAAAAUUGAUUAAAGUUAAACUUUUUUUAAAAAGAGAAAUCUUCAUUAAAAUCAGUACCACAAGUCUUAGAGGUAAUAAUAUAGAUGUGGUGGAAAUUCUUCCAUUCAAAUAUAAGAAUCCAACCAACAGAUAAAAUAUUUUUUGAUAAUACAUAUGUUGUUGUAUUACAAACCAUCAAGAUAUGAUUAACUUGAAAAGAAUGCUUUGACAAUAGUAAUUGCUUUACUUCAAAAAUAAGCAAAAACAACUUAGUGCAGUGCUAAGUCGAUCUAAAACAAAAAAAAAAAAAAAACGACUAAAAGUGAAUCUGACUCAACUGUUACCGGAGAUAAACUAACCUCCCUAACAAACCAUAAACCAAACCUUAAGACUUUGGCCUCAGCCACAUCAACAUCAUAGGAAACAAAAAAAAAAAAAAACCCUUGAGCAAUUCUUGCAGCCACCUACGUCAGCAUUCAAUUUCAUCCAAUUCACAGGCGAUAACUCCCACUGUACACUGCCAUGGCCGGCAUUGCUCAAAUUAAACUCAAUGGUAUUGACGCCACCGCCGGCACCGCUCCCAGGUGGCUCCAUAAGCCCCUACACAGAUGGCUUGUGACGCCCUAUAUUGUCCCCCUAAACAAUAUAUUGUUUCGUGCCCCCGGUUACCCCACCUAGUCGUCACCGGCAAGUUAAAAUUGUGAUUUUAAAAAAAUAUUAAAUUAAAUUAAAUUAGAUAACACGUGUUAUUAUAUUAGCACAGUUCAUUAGUUUUAUUUUAAAUUAUCUCAAAUUUAAUAUGAUAUCAAACAAAAUAUAAAUCCACGUGACAUCCAAUAAUCAAAAGUUGACGACCGAGCUUACGUAGGCUUCACCAGUCCGCGCUUCAAAGUCAUCAUGAGCCUGAGAAAAGGAGAAAAAGUCAUCAACAAAACCGAAAACAAAAACAAAAACAAAAGAAAUCAUUUCACAGAAACAAAAACAACACCAACAGCAAUAAUAACAAAAAAGUACAACCAAAGCAAAGCACUGCAACUCUUGUUUUUUCUUAUCAUCAUUCGUGUAAUCUAGGGCUUCUUUCAGUUACAAGAUUCAAAUCGAUCUCCACCGUUCAUCUCACAAAUCGCUUAGCACCCACCAACUGCUGAUCACUUUUGUUGAGGUAUGUGAAAAAUUCCGAUUUUUCUUUUAUUAAUAAUAAUAGUUCCUGUACUAGUUUGCUGAGUAUGAGCUGCUUGUGAGUGAAUUGAUUAAGUGGUACAAAAGGGUAGUGAUAUUUCUGGGGAUUUAUUUAAACAUUUUGAUGCUUUGAAACUUUUUUUCAUUUUUUUCUUUUUGAGAUAUGAAGUGUGUGUUUGUUUGUUUGGUGAUUUGGUGUGGCUUGUUUGUAGGGGAAUAUGGAAGAGAACAAGCAAUCUGAUGAUGCCCAUUUGACGUCGGCUGCUGCAUUCGUAGAAGGGGGAAUUCAGGAUGCUUGUGAUGAUGCUUGCAGUAUAUGCCUUGAAGACUUCAGUGAGAGUGAUCCUUCAACGGUAUAAUUACAGUUAUUUGAAAUUUUUUAUGAUCGUUUGCUUGUUUUUACAUAAGUUUUGGAACUUCAUUGUGUCUUGUUUUUCGCAGUUGACUAGUUGCAAGCACGAGUUCCAUCUCCAGUGCAUUCUCGAAUGGUGUGUGUUAAUUUCAGUUUGAAUGAAUUUGAUUUCCCUUGCGUGUCAGAGAAGUUCCAUCUUCUUAAUCUUUUGUUGUAGGUGUCAGAGAAGUUCUCAGUGCCCAAUGUGUUGGCAGCCUAUCAGUCUUAAGGAUCCUACCAGGUUUAUAUCCCAUUUCCUGCCCUUUAUUUUAUUUGUUGCAUUUUAUUCCUGUGUUCAGUGCAAAUUUAAGCACUUUUCAUAUUUCUGCAGCCAGGAAUUACUUGAGGCUGUGGAACGGGAGAGGAGCUUUAGGUUGAAUCCAUCUAGAAAUGCUACCAUAUUUCGUCAUCCGACUCUGGGAGAUUUUGAGUUACAGCAUGUUUGUAGUCUGCUUAUGCUUUAUUUUGUCAAUAAUCUCAAGUAAUUUUGAUUCCUAGAUGCAGUUUCAUUUUAGUGCUGUUUCCUUCAAUGCAGUUGCCAGUGGGUGCAAAUGAUGCUGAACUUGAAGAACGCAUUAUCCAGCAUUUAGCUGCAGCUGCUGCUAUGGGGCGUGCACGCCACAUUGCUCGAAGGGAAAGCCAUAGGAACAGAGCAUCUUCUCAAGCUCGUCCACAGUUCUUGGUUUUCUCAACUCAUCCCAAUGCUGCUAAUGAUGAUCCUGUGUCUUCAUCUCCAACACAUUUAGAAGGUGAAGCUUCUCCUAUAACAACAGUAGCUACUCCAUCAUCACCUGCAACCGGUGGGGAAGAAUCUACACAGCAGAGUACGCAUUUACUGUCUGCACAAGCUGAUCAUGUUUCUGCUUCAGCAUCUGGAUCAAGUGCUUUUGCUUCCGGUCAAGUUGGAAAUACCUUAAACAAUAGGUAUUUACUAUUCUUUGAUCUGAUUCUAUAUAAUUCAAUUAGUCAGCGCCAUGUGAAACCAUUGUUUACUUAAUUGUUAUCUUUUUGUUGCAAUUAUAUGUUUAUUGUUGCCUUGCAGGAGGUCUCCUAAUCAGCCUUCCCCAAACAGUCAGGAUAGAGCAGGACCAUCGGAUUUCCAAUCAUUUUCAGAAUCUCUUAAAUCUCGAUUUAAUGCUGUCUCAAUGAGGUGUCAAUCCUAUGAAGCAUUCUGUAUUUUCAACUAGGGUUAUAAAAUCAUUUCAGAAAAUUUUUUAAUCCUCAUUUUCUUUUCAGGUAUAAAGAGUCUAUUUCAAAGAGUACUAGAGGGUGGAAAGAGCGAUUUUUUUCUCGCAACAAUACCAUGGCGGAUCUUGGGACUGAAGUUAGAAGGGAGGUUAAUGCUGGAAUUUCAACAGUUUCACGUAUGAUGGAGCGUCUAGAAACCAGAGACAGCAACAGUAAUAACACUACUUCUGUAUCAAGCAGUUCAAAUAAUUCAGUUCCAGAAUUGAACAACCAGCAAAAAUCAGAGACUGCUGAUACUAAUCGUAUGAAUGAUACUAGUGUUCAAGCUUCAUGUGCUGCAAGUUCUGGUUCAAAUUAAUUUGGUUCAACAAUUGAAUCAGCUUGAAGCAUUUUAUUCUCCAAGGUAAGUCAAGUUCUGUCUCCAUUUAGAUGAAAGAUGCAUUCCCUUUCUUUAUAUGUGAUAAUAUAGAAACUAGUUUGCUUAAUUUCAUAGGAUUAUAUGGUAGAUCUUAGUUGUUUUGAAUCUUUUUCUGUUGUGUAAUAAGUAUAUUGCUUUUUUCCUUUUCUUUAGAGACCAAAAAAAUUUAUAUAUUUUCUGACACUUUUUGGUUACUUCCUCAUUUUAAAUGAUAAGACUUGCUAAUUUUCGUCUCGCUUUUUUCGAUAAUAAACUAAAACAAAUGCAUUAAUAAUGAAAAAUAAAAUAUGUUAACAUCUUUGCCGUAGAUUUGUUGUCAACAAUGAAACAAAAAUCUCUAGAGAGGAAAGCAAAAGCUCUGCCGAAAACAAUUGAAAACAGGAAAAAAAUAGUGAAAAUCUGUCUGUGAUCCACCCUUAUACAAAACUGAAGCAGUGUAAAGAACCUUUUGCCAAAACCCAUCAGUUCAUCUACCAGAAGUCUAAAAUUUUGAUAGAGAAGAUGCAAAACAUGGAUAUUGCAGAAACUUGGAAUAUUAUCUUCCAGGUUCAACAUCUCUAUCCUCUUGUAAAUACUGCCUAGAGUUUUCUCUGGUUUGUAUGUUAUUAUGGAUGCUCCCUUUCACAAGACACGUCUAAGGUUAUGAUAGAUGGCUAGAGUUGUAGGAUGUUUAAUACUCAUCAAAUGGUGUGGUGAGUAUAAAAUGUGAAGUUUAGAAGUUUUAUCUCCACAUUAUUCCCAAUAUGAGCAGCUUCCUCGAGAAAUAGCUUUGAUUUAGUUUAAAGUGUACGGUCAGUUGAAGACAGCAUCAAAUGAAUUUCCUGCAUCUUCCAACUAAGAACUUGAUCUGGAAUAAGUUUGAACUUUAUUCAAGUGGGGUAACACUGUUUAUGGACAACUCAGUAACUGUAUUUUCUUUUUUGUCGAUGUUUUAGCCAUUACUGGAGUUACUUCUGCAUGUAGUGUUUUCAGCUUAAUUCAUCUUAUAGGGUUACUUCUGGGUAAAUUUUGUUCCUGAAGGUUUUGGACAAUCUCCAUGUUCAUGUCAUUUUAUGUCAAGGGAAAAACUUUGCACUGAACGUGAAAUUUGUAAAUGUCUAUCACCAAACUUCUAGCUAUCAGCUGAGAUUGCCGCCUGUUAUUAUUAUUUUUUUUUUGGGGGAAGUGGGAAGAAUUUGACGCUGCUCUUCUGGUCCGCCGACAACUGUAUGCUAGAAACACAAUUAUGAACUAGAUGCCUGGUCAACAAAAGGAAUGAGCCUCGUUUUCAUCUUGUGAUAUGAUUCAUCCAUCCAAGUUCUUCCAUCAUUAUUUGGAAAUGGUAAUGUCUUGUGUAUAUGAAAAUAAUGGAAAAGUAUUUAUUAUGGAGGGUUGAGGAGAAGGCUACCUUAUUGAGGAUAUUGAUCGUGGAAAGCAAAGAGAGGGAGAGAGCCACAUGUUACGUGAUAAGAUUUAUCACUUUAGUGAAAUUUGCAAAGUUGAACUUACUGGAAUGAUUAGGCUAGUUGCUAUAGACAGGCUUCUAUUUAAGCAUGCUGGAGCCUCUUUUUAUGGAGGUAUUUGGGAGUCAUCUCAACACUUGUGUGCUUGUAAUACAUAUAAUGUGUUGCUGUCAAAACAAAUAUGUGCUAAAUGAUUUAGGUUUUUAUAAGGUCAAAAUAUCAUAUUCCUAUAACUUUGAAAAAGGCAUGGGGCUCCAGGGUGACCACAUUAAACAAAUUAUUUCUAAUUACUAAAUGAGGGAUAUUUCUUAUCUGUUUAUAAGACUAUUUGAUAUGAUAACACUCAAGACUGGAAAAGAGAGAAGCGGGAAUGAGGGAGAGGGUAUGAGAGAUUGCAAAACAUAUUUCUAUUUGAAAGUUUGAGGAACAAUCUCCAUUAGUGUGCUUGACAGAUAGUUGGCCUCCUUUUACCCGAAACUUUUGCCCCCUCUUUCAUACGAGAUACGUGCUGCUUGGUAUGACAGCCCAAGCCUGACAACCAAGUAGAUAUUGUUUGCUUUGGGCAUACAGCCGAUCACGGUUUUGUUUUUAGGCUUUGCAACCCAAAACACAACUACUUAAUAAGGAGAGUCUUAAGGCUUAUAAACUAAUCCAAGAACGCUCUCGCUAACAUGUGGGAUAUUCCACUUGGCUUUGGUGGUAUUGCUUGUGAUGAUUGCUUGAAUUUCUCUGUUUUGACUAAUGGCUAUGGCUCCAUUCUAGGUCAUAGUUUACCAGUGUCCCAAUGUCAUUGACAAUCUGAUGAUGGUGAAAUGAUAAAUGCUUUGCCUGAUUUAACUGUUUAUUUUAAGGGCUUUCUAUUAAUUGGAAAUGGGGCUGACCCUUCUCUGCUCUGCAACAACUUAGGGUGGCUAAACCAUUCCAUAUUUUUCAAUUGCUUGUCGCUUUUUGUCGAUGCAUAAUGAAUAAAAGUUCCCUGCAAAGAUUUGAGAGCUUGAACAGAAUUGAGAACGGUAUAACAUAACAGGUUUUGGAUUGUAGCAUACUAGGAACUGACAUCUGCGUUAUCAAAUACAGUUCUGCAAUCUAUUAGUUCUUGUAACAUAGAUUUUUAUUCUUUUUUUGCAGAUAUCGGGAUACUGCAAUUCAUUGCUUCGCCUCGCCUUCAAGUCAAUGGAUGAUCUUUUUAGAUACAGAAAGCUUUGCCUUGACUCAAGUCAAUGGAUGAUCCUCUCAGGUACAGAAAACACGAUUAGUGAAUGAGUUUGAUUCAUAAUGCAGAAAGCUUUUCUAUUUGGGACCUGGGAACCAGUAGAUGAUUGUAAAUCAGUUUAUAUUUAACAACUCUUUUUAUGUAUUUGAUGGAUCAUAAUGAGCCACUCAUGUAUGCGAUGGAUUAAAUGGUACUAAUAGAUAUUUUUUGCCCCCAACGUCUUUAAAUGACAUAAGCAUAUAUAUAUAUAUAGAAACCUUGUUAAGUGGCUCAGUAAUUAUAUGUUACACAAUUUUUUAGUCCAGUCUUUGUAACUAAUUGGCAUAAAAUUUAGCGCACUCGCAUUAGAUGGUUAAUUACCAAAUGAAAAACUUCAUUAAUAAUUGAUUAAACAUAAAGAUGGCCUCUAUCUGACCACCAAUUUUCAGUUAGGUGGUGAUGAUAGAGCCAAAAUUUGCAAUGCAAAAAGAUUAGAAAUAAUUAUGUCAAUUUUGGAGGAAACUACCAAAUUUCUAGCAUCGUUUGCACUUACCAAGAAAAAUAUUUGUACUUAGAAAUUAGAGUCAUUAAGAAGAAAUGCUUUUGGUGGAAAUAUAAUAUAUAUAUAUAUAUAUAUAUAUAUAUUAACUCUAUUUAACAUGAUAACAAUCCAAGAUAUAACAGAAUAUGGCUUCCGUUCGUGGGCUCUAAAUUCUAAACCAAACAAGUGAAGCAUGUUAUAGCAAAUAUGGGAAAAUUAACUAUUUGCUGCCACUAAAACCUCCCGAGGCUAAGUAGUAUUCCAUCUCCAUUAACGAUCAAAAUCAGUGUUGAAAAUUUUCAUAGAGUUAUCACCUAAUUGCUCUCCAAAAAGUGUGUAUCAAAAUGUUUAACAUUGUGACAUUAGGAGAGUUGGGAUGAAUUUUAAAGUAUAAUUGAUUCAUAGAUUCCAAACUUUCAAUUAGAUGAAUGUUAAACAAUUUCAUACACUUUUUAAAGAGCAAUUUGGUCUUUUUGUAAUCGAUAAAUCUCACGGAUAAAAAGCUUGACAUUGAUUUUGAUAGUCAAUGGAAAUAGAAUAUUACUAACCUCGAAAGGUUUUACUGGUAGCAAAUUAGUCAGUUGUGUCCUAUUUUGAUUAGUAUAGAAAAUUUUACCAAAUAAAAAUAGAUUUUCAUGUUAAUAUAAAUAUUAAUAUGAAAUGUGUUGUAAUAGAAAUUAUUUGUAUUAGUCCUAAUAGCUCUUGUAUUAGUCCUAAUAGAUUAACCAUUAAGUGCAUGAAAUGGUGCAUGAAUAAGAAGAAAGUUGACACGGAAAGAUAAAUAACGAACAAUAGACUAACCAUUAAGGUAGCACACAGAGAUGUGGUCAGUUAAAAGCAUUUUCAAAUAAACAAAUUAAAACCCAAACCCAUUAAUAGCUCUUGGUUUAAUAUUUGAUACCAGCAGCAGCACUCAGGAUGGAUAUAUGUUACGGUCACUAUCAACCGCGGCUUUGCCAACUAAUGCAUUUUAUUUUUUUAUACAUUUUUCAGCUACACGAUUGAGAUAUGAUAUAUUUAUUGUUGUUUUGGUAAAUGGUAAUUGAGUAAUUUUAGUGUUGCUGCUUCAUUAGUUUAUUCUAUUCAUAAAUAUUACAAUAGUUAAUGAUAAAUUUAUAUAUAUAUAGAAUUUUAAAAAUAGAAAUGAAUAAAGCUUAAAUCAAAUUUUUAACCUUUACAUAUCCUGGAAUACGAAAUUGGAUAGUCAUAAUGGCAAAGCUAACAACUUACUCUAUUUGAGCUAAGAAAAAUAUAAAUGGUUAUAAAUUAUUUUUUAUUGAAUUUUUUCUAAGGUCUAGUAUGAACAUUGUUUAUUUUAUUAGUGAUUAUGAAAAAAAAAUGUUGGGAACCAAUUUGAGAAAUGUUUUUCUUAUUAAAGUUUGUGAAAAAUAUUUUAAAAAUUAGUAGGCCUAAUAGAUAUUCUCCAAAGAAUAGCUCUCUCGAUUAGGGGUGGCAAAACGAAUAAUCGAAUCAAAUUCAAAUCAAAUCCUAAAUAAUUUGUGUCAAAAUUCUGUGGAUUCGGAUUUGAUUUGUUUAUUCAUUAAAUGAAUUAAAAUCUCAAGAUUCGGAUUCGAUUUGUUUAUUAAACGAAUAUUCGGUUUGAUUCGUUUAAUUCGUUUAAUAUAUGAUAUAGCCACAAACUCUUAUACAAACUUGUUUUGUAUAAACUGAUGUGCCAUUAAUUCAUUGGUUGAAUGAAAAUAUAAAAUAAUAUAAAUAAAUCAUGUGGGCCCAAAGAUAUUUAAUUCAACCAAUGAAUUAAUGUCACAUCAGUUUGUACAAGAGUUUAUGACUAUAUCAUUACUCAAUUAAUAAACAAAUCAAAUCAAAUCAAAAUUCGUUUAUUAUUCGUUUAUCCUAAUAAUAAAUGAAUCCAUAACAAAUCGAAUUGAUAUGAAUUUGUUUACAAAAAUUAAAUAAAUUACUAUUUAUAUAUUGUCUUAUUAUUAUUUAUAAUUACUAUAUUAACCUUCAAAUUUUAAAAUAUUGCAUAAAUAUUUAAGAAUUAAUAAGUAAUUUAAUUAAACGAAUAAUAAACAAAUUUUGAACAAAUAGAUUAUAUUUGGUUCGUUUAUAACCAAUUUAUUAAACGAAUCCUAAACAAAAAAACAAAUCAAUGUCUUCAAACCCAGAUUCUAUUCGUUUAAUUAACGAAUUGAAUCGAAUCGUAUUCAUCCAUUUAUUAAACGAAUUCAAUUUUUUAAACCCAAAUCUAUUUAAUUCACUUCGAAUCGAAUCGAAUAAACAAAUCCUGACCCAAAUUACCACCCCUACUCUCGAUCCUUUGCUUGAAAAUAAAUCAGUCAAAUCCCAAGGGCAUGUAGCUUACAAAUUAGUAUAAAAAGCACUCUUGUACGGACUAAGUUAACAAUUUACUUGGCAUAAAUUAAUUAAAAAAUCAAAAUAUUUAAUAAAAUGAAUCAUACGGGUGUCGUGAUUUUCAUCUGCUCACUUAAUUUAUAAAAGGAUGAUUGUAUAAGAGUUUAUAGUUGUAUAAUAUAAUAAAAUGGCACUUAAAAUUGACUUCAUAAAAAGAUAAAAAAAUUGAUAAAUUCCUAAAAGAUAAAAAAAAUAUAUAUUUCAAACAAUUUUUUUGGCAUUAAACCACAUAAUAUUUUAUAUUUUAAACGAGUGAAUAUGACUUUUGUUCUUCUUGUCGAUAGCUUUGGAUAUAACCCUAAAUAAAUUAAAAGUUGUUGAAUUUUUUUUUAAUAUAAGGAAACAAUUGUUAAUAUUGAUAAUUUCCCUAGUCGUAUAAUACUUUUUGAAAAAUGAAAAAUAAGAAGUUUGGCAACAAAAACCAACGGCUAGUCUUAACGAGAAAGCAACCAAAUAAAACCACUGAACAGAAGCCUUCGCCUUCAGCUUCAGCACUGUUCACUUUUUACCGCGUGGACAAAUCCAUAGUUCUCACUGGAACCGACAGCCCUCCAUAUAUAGAGAGAAAAGAAACCGUUACUCUUCUCUUCAAUCAAUAGAAAAAAUUAACAAUUAUUUACAAUAAUUGUAACAAUGGCGAUGGAUUUUUACAUCAACACCGUGCUGACAACACACCUUCUUCUUAUUCUUUUCGUCGGAAUAUCCGUCGCGUCGCCGGAAUAUUCCAACCCCAGUUCGCAAAUCAACUCGAACUCAGUCCUGCUCGCUCUCCUCGACUCACAGUACACCGAGCUGGCCGAGUUGGUUGAGAAAGCUCUGCUUCUGCAAACGCUAGAACAAGCCGUUGCCACCCACAACGUCACCAUUUUCGCGCCAAAAGACGAAGCUUUUGAGCGGGAUCUUCUCGACCCGGAGUUUAAAAGAUUCCUGCUUCAGGCGGCUAACAUCAAAUCUUUACAGAACCUCCUCUUGUUUCAUAUCAUUCCCAGAAAGAUUGCUUUUGGAUCCGAGGAAUGGUCGGCUCGGCACAAGACACUAGCCGGUGAUGGUGUUGAUGAGUUGUUUCCUUUGAAUCUUGCAAAAGUUGUUCACCCGGAUUCUAUAACCCGACCCGAUGGAACCAUCCAUGGUAUUUCCCAGCUCAUGGUUCCUCGGUCGGUUCAGAAUGAAUUCAACCGCCGGAGAAAUUUAGAUUCAAUUGCAGCCGUAAAACCAGAGGCAGCACCAGAGAUUGACCCAAGAGUUAUUACUAAGAAGUUGAACAAACCGGUUUUUAAAGUUAAACCAGAUUCGCCACCGGUUUUGCCGAUUUUCGAAGCAAUAGCUGCCGGCCCGGGUCAGGCUCCGGCGUCUGAUCCGGCACCCGGAGGGCCCCGCCAUCACUUUGAUGGACAUAUCCAGGUGAAAGAUUUUAUCAAAACUUUAGUACAUUAUGGUGGGUAUAAUGAAAUGGCUGAUAUUUUGGUGAAUUUGACUUCAUUAGCUAGUGAAAUUGGGAAAUUAGUGUCUGAAGGCUAUGUUUUGACAAUCUUGGCGCCUAAUGAUGAGGCUAUGGUUAAGUUGACGACGGACCAGUUGAGUGAGCCCGGGGCAGCUGAGCAGAUAAUGUACUAUCAUAUGGUGGCUGAGUAUCAGACUGAAGAGAGUAUGUACAAUGCUGUGAGGAGAUUUGGCAAGGUUGAGUAUGAUACUUUGCGAGUUCCACACAAGGUUGUUGCCGUGGAGGCUGAUGGGAGUGUUAAGUUUGGGAGUGGUGGUGGCAAUGGGGCGGCGUAUUUGUUUGAUCCUGAUAUUUAUACGGAUGGGAGGAUUUCGGUGCAGGGAAUUGAUGGGGUUUUAUUUCCUGUCAAGGAGGGGACUAAGGACUGGAAGAAGACCAAGACUGUUGUGAAGCUGGCAGCCAAGCCUGCUAGGAGAGGUAAGCUUGAUUAACUUUUUGUUCGAGGCUGUUGUUAUUGGUUGUGCUUGUUUCUUGGGUGGUUUUGUAAUGUGAUGUUAAGUGUGAUGUUGUUUAUUCUGGGGUCUUGAAUAUGCAUAUUGUUGGAUGAAAUGAAUUUGCGAAAGAGUUUUUUUUUUUUUGGUCCAUAGAUUGAAUACAGAUGGUUAAAAUGAGCUAGAAUAUACUAUGUGAGUCAAGCUGGAGCUUUACUGCAUUCAAAUUCAAUGGCCUAGUCAGAGUUUCUAUUCAUUAUUAGAUUAAGAUGAAUAUGGAGUUGUAUUUUUGUAAUAAAUCACCAGCAAACUCAAAACUCAAAUAUGUGGAAUUGAGCAGGGAAAUUGCUGGAAGCAGCCUGCUGGAUGCUGGGAGCCUUUCGACAGGAUUCUCGAUUCAUUACUUGCCAUUGACAAAUAACUCGUCAUCAUUUGGCUUACAGCCUGAAGAUAUACAAAGGUUCUAUUCUUUUUCUCAGUCUGUAAUGUCUCACUAGUAUAUUUCCUUCUGUGUUCUAAUCCGACUAACUUGUACCCACAAUUGCUUUGGCUUAGUUUCCGCUCUAGCUAUUGUUUGUUGACUUUAAAACCCUACCUGUUUCUCAUAACAUUACCUUGUUACAUUUGAUUUGGCACUCAAAACAGUCUACAUGAAGCUAAGAAAAGAACUAGUUUAUAUUUGCUUCAAAUGACCAAUGUUGUAGAACAGUUUUAUCUCAGGCUUCUAACGGAGUAAAAAGGCUUACGUGCAUACUAGUGGUAGAUAAGUUUGACAAUUUGGAUUGAAUUGAUUUUUUCACAAGCUGUUAGUUUUAGUCAAGUUUGAAUAUUAAACAACUGAUGGAACGAUCCCACAUUUGGAUUUGUAGGUAACUUAGUAUUGUACAUGAUCUAACUCACUGCCAACCCUAAAUAUUUCCCAGCCCAUUGAUCUGAAAAAACAGUCCUUUGAUUCGAUUUGCUUUCCAGUUGUCCGUAUCUUAGGGUGCAAUCAACUCAUGGAGUUGCAACAUAGAACACUCGACCAUUGAAGACACAAUAUAUGAGUUGAUUAUUCUCUGCUGACUCAUUAUCAAUAUCCAUGGUCACCAUAUUUAUCGAGUUCUCUGUUAUGCGUCUAACAAAUCAGUGAUGAGAAUCAUUUCAUUGAUGCAGAAACAUCCAGACUCAGGGAAACGCAAAUAUUGUGAAGAAAGUAAUGGAAAUGGGAUGGGAGGAAUGCUUGCUCAUAGACACCAUACUAGGGGUUAAGAUCAAGUGGUCCUUGAAUGAUAGUGCCCCGCCCUUGUAUAUUUAAAUAUAGAAAUAAUAUAUAUAUAUAUAUAUAUAUAUAUUUCCCUAUUAUUAGUUUAGCACCAGAGACAAACAGUGUGGUUAAAUUUAUUAGGGACUUAAAUGGUAGAAACAAUAUUAAAGGAAGGGCAGUGUCCAUUCUCCUUUUGCCAACCCAUUUUCUUUUUAAUAAAUAAAUGAACUAUUGAUUGAGCUUGGAUAUUUGAGAUUCACAAAGCUCAGAGUAAGGAGCCUUUUUAAUUUUCAAAUUGAUCAAAAGCAACCGUUUAUUUCGAUAAUGGUGCGUUUACUUUAUGGGAAUGAGAAUGAGAAUGUGAAUGGGGUGGAAUGGGAAUGGACUGGGAAUGAGAGUGGGCUGAAAUAAGAAUGAAGAAUGGAAAUGAGAUUUCAAUAUUUACUUAGUAAAAAUAAAUGGGAAUGAGAAUGUGUUAGAAUGCCAUUGAUGUGUUUACUUGGCAAAAUAAAUGGGAAUAAAAAUCAAUUUAUCAAAAUACCCAUAGUAUUAAUAAUUAAUAAAAAUAAUUAAUUUAUCAUUAUUAACAAUAUUAUCAUUAUUGUUUUUGUUGUUGUUGUUAUUAUUAUUGUUAUUAUUAAAAAUAAUAUUAUCAUUAUUAACAUUUAUUAUUAUUAUUANNNNNNNNNNNNNNNNNNNNNNNNNNNNNNNNNNNNNNNNNNNNNNNNNNNNNNNNNNNNNNNNNNNNNNNNNNNNNNNNNNNNNNNNNNNNNNNNNNNNNNNNNNNNNNNNNNNNNNNNNNNNNNNNNNNNNNNNNNNNNNNNNNNNNNNNNNNNNNNNNNNNNNNNNNNNNNNNNNNNNNNNNNNNNNNNNNNNNNNNNNNNNNNNNNNNNNNNNNNNNNNNNNNNNNNNNNNNNNNNNNNNNNNNNNNNNNNNNNNNNNNNNNNNNNNNNNNNNNNNNNNNNNNNNNNNNNNNNNNNNNNNNNNNNNNNNNNNNNNNNNNNNNNNNNNNNNNNNNNNNNNNNNNNNNNNNNNNNNNNNNNNNNNNNNNNNNNNNNNNNNNNNNNNNNNNNNNNNNNNNNNNNNNNNNNNNNNNNNNNNNNNNNNNNNNNNNNNNNNNNNNNNNNNNNNNNNNNNNNNNNNNNNNNNNNNNNNNNNNNNNNNNNNNNNNNNNNNNNNNNNNNNNNNNNNNNNNNNNNNNNNNNNNNNNNNNNNNNNNNNNNNNNNNNNNNNNNNNNNNNNNNNNNNNNNNNNNNNNNNNNNNNNNNNNNNNNNNNNNNNNNNNNNNNNNNNNNNNNNNNNNNNNNNNNNNNNNNNNNNNNNNNNNNNNNNNNNNNNNNNNNNNNNNNNNNNNNNNNNNNNNNNNNNNNNNNNNNNNNNNNNNNNNNNNNNNNNNNNNNNNNNNNNNNNNNNNNNNNNNNNNNNNNNNNNNNNNNNNNNNNNNNNNNNNNNNNNNNNNNNNNNNNNNNNNNNNNNNNNNNNNNNNNNNNNNNNNNNNNNNNNNNNNNNNNNNNNNNNNNNNNNNNNNNNNNNNNNNNNNNNNNNNNNNNNNNNNNNNNNNNNNNNNNNNNNNNNNNNNNNNNNNNNNNNNNNNNNNNNNNNNNNNNNNNNNNNNNNNNNNNNNNNNNNNNNNNNNNNNNNNNNNNNNNNNNNNNNNNNNNNNNNNNNNNNNNNNNNNNNNNNNNNNNNNNNNNNNNNNNNNNNNNNNNNNNNNNNNNNNNNNNNNNNNNNNNNNNNNNNNNNNNNNNNNNNNNNNNNNNNNNNNNNNNNNNNNNNNNNNNNNNNNNNNNNNNNNNNNNNNNNNNNNNNNNNNNNNNNNNNNNNNNNNNNNNNNNNNNNNNNNNNNNNNNNNNNNNNNNNNNNNNNNNNNNNNNNNNNNNNNNNNNNNNNNNNNNNNNNNNNNNNNNNNNNNNNNNNNNNNNNNNNNNNNNNNNNNNNNNNNNNNNNNNNNNNNNNNNNNNNNNNNNNNNNNNNNNNNNNNNNNNNNNNNNNNNNNNNNNNNNNNNNNNNNNNNNNNNNNNNNNNNNNNNNNNNNNNNNNNNNNNNNNNNNNNNNNNNNNNNNNNNNNNNNNNNNNNNNNNNNNNNNNNNNNNNNNNNNNNNNNNNNNNNNNNNNNNNNNNNNNNNNNNNNNNNNNNNNNNNNNNNNNNNNNNNNNNNNNNNNNNNNNNNNNNNNNNNNNNNNNNNNNNNNNNNNNNNNNNNNNNNNNNNNNNNNNNUUUAGUACAUUAUGGUGGGUAUAAUGAAAUGGCUGAUAUUUUGGUGAAUUUGACUUCAUUAGCUAGUGAAAUUGGGAAAUUAGUGUCUGAAGGCUAUGUUUUGACAAUCUUGGCGCCUAAUGAUGAGGCUAUGGUUAAGUUGACGACGGACCAGUUGAGUGAGCCCGGGGCAGCUGAGCAGAUAAUGUACUAUCAUAUGGUGGCUGAGUAUCAGACUGAAGAGAGUAUGUACAAUGCUGUGAGGAGAUUUGGCAAGGUUGAGUAUGAUACUUUGCGAGUUCCACACAAGGUUGUUGCCGUGGAGGCUGAUGGGAGUGUUAAGUUUGGGAGUGGUGGUGGCAAUGGGGCGGCGUAUUUGUUUGAUCCUGAUAUUUAUACGGAUGGGAGGAUUUCGGUGCAGGGAAUUGAUGGGGUUUUAUUUCCUGUCAAGGAGGGGACUAAGGACUGGAAGAAGACCAAGACUGUUGUGAAGCUGGCAGCCAAGCCUGCUAGGAGAGGUAAGCUUGAUUAACUUUUUGUUCGAGGCUGUUGUUAUUGGUUGUGCUUGUUUCUUGGGUGGUUUUGUAAUGUGAUGUUAAGUGUGAUGUUGUUUAUUCUGGGGUCUUGAAUAUGCAUAUUGUUGGAUGAAAUGAAUUUGCGAAAGAGUUUUUUUUUUUUUGGUCCAUAGAUUGAAUACAGAUGGUUAAAAUGAGCUAGAAUAUACUAUGUGAGUCAAGCUGGAGCUUUACUGCAUUCAAAUUCAAUGGCCUAGUCAGAGUUUCUAUUCAUUAUUAGAUUAAGAUGAAUAUGGAGUUGUAUUUUUGUAAUAAAUCACCAGCAAACUCAAAACUCAAAUAUGUGGAAUUGAGCAGGGAAAUUGCUGGAAGCAGCCUGCUGGAUGCUGGGAGCCUUUCGACAGGAUUCUCGAUUCAUUACUUGCCAUUGACAAAUAACUCGUCAUCAUUUGGCUUACAGCCUGAAGAUAUACAAAGGUUCUAUUCUUUUUCUCAGUCUGUAAUGUCUCACUAGUAUAUUUCCUUCUGUGUUCUAAUCCGACUAACUUGUACCCACAAUUGCUUUGGCUUAGUUUCCGCUCUAGCUAUUGUUUGUUGACUUUAAAACCCUACCUGUUUCUCAUAACAUUACCUUGUUACAUUUGAUUUGGCACUCAAAACAGUCUACAUGAAGCUAAGAAAAGAACUAGUUUAUAUUUGCUUCAAAUGACCAAUGUUGUAGAACAGUUUUAUCUCAGGCUUCUAACGGAGUAAAAAGGCUUACGUGCAUACUAGUGGUAGAUAAGUUUGACAAUUUGGAUUGAAUUGAUUUUUUCACAAGCUGUUAGUUUUAGUCAAGUUUGAAUAUUAAACAACUGAUGGAACGAUCCCACAUUUGGAUUUGUAGGUAACUUAGUAUUGUACAUGAUCUAACUCACUGCCAACCCUAAAUAUUUCCCAGCCCAUUGAUCUGAAAAAACAGUCCUUUGAUUCGAUUUGCUUUCCAGUUGUCCGUAUCUUAGGGUGCAAUCAACUCAUGGAGUUGCAACAUAGAACACUCGACCAUUGAAGACACAAUAUAUGAGUUGAUUAUUCUCUGCUGACUCAUUAUCAAUAUCCAUGGUCACCAUAUUUAUCGAGUUCUCUGUUAUGCGUCUAACAAAUCAGUGAUGAGAAUCAUUUCAUUGAUGCAGAAACAUCCAGACUCAGGGAAACGCAAAUAUUGUGAAGAAAGUAAUGGAAAUGGGAUGGGAGGAAUGCUUGCUCAUAGACACCAUACUAGGGGUUAAGAUCAAGUGGUCCUUGAAUGAUAGUGCCCCGCCCUUGUAUAUUUAAAUAUAGAAAUAAUAUAUAUAUAUAUAUAUAUAUAUUUCCCUAUUAUUAGUUUAGCACCAGAGACAAACAGUGUGGUUAAAUUUAUUAGGGACUUAAAUGGUAGAAACAAUAUUAAAGGAAGGGCAGUGUCCAUUCUCCUUUUGCCAACCCAUUUUCUUUUUAAUAAAUAAAUGAACUAUUGAUUGAGCUUGGAUAUUUGAGAUUCACAAAGCUCAGAGUAAGGAGCCUUUUUAAUUUUCAAAUUGAUCAAAAGCAACCGUUUAUUUCGAUAAUGGUGCGUUUACUUUAUGGGAAUGAGAAUGAGAAUGUGAAUGGGGUGGAAUGGGAAUGGACUGGGAAUGAGAGUGGGCUGAAAUAAGAAUGAAGAAUGGAAAUGAGAUUUCAAUAUUUACUUAGUAAAAAUAAAUGGGAAUGAGAAUGUGUUAGAAUGCCAUUGAUGUGUUUACUUGGCAAAAUAAAUGGGAAUAAAAAUCAAUUUAUCAAAAUACCCAUAGUAUUAAUAAUUAAUAAAAAUAAUUAAUUUAUCAUUAUUAACAAUAUUAUCAUUAUUGUUUUUGUUGUUGUUGUUAUUAUUAUUGUUAUUAUUAAACUUUAUUAUUUUAGUUAUUAUUAAUUAUUGUUAAUAUCAUUUUUAUUAAUAUUACCAUUAUUAACAUUUAUUAUUAUUAUUAUUAUUAUUAUUAUUAUUAUUAUUAUUAUUAUUAUUAUUAUUAUUAUUAAAUUUUAUUAACUUUAUUAUUUUAGUUAUAAUUAAUUAUUUUAUUAAUUAUUAUUUUUAUCAUUAUUUUUAUUGUUAAUAAUGAUAAUAUUAAUGAAAAUAAUAAUAAUAAUAAUAAUAAUAAUAAUAAUAAUAAUUAAUAAUAACUAAAAUAAUAAAGUUAAUAAAAUUUAAUAAUAAUAAUAAUAAUAAUUAUUAUUAUUAUUAUUAUUAUUAAUGACAUUUAAAAUAAUAAAAUUAUUUGUGAUUUGAACAAGGGUAAUUUAAGAAAUAUGAAAAAAAUUAGAAGAAUAGAAAAAUAAAUUUAUGUUUAAUUCUCAUUCUCACAUUUUCAUUCCCAACCCACCAUGAGAAUGAGAUUCCCAUUUCUUAUUCCCAAAUUGUGUGAGACCCACACAUUUUAUUCUUAUUCUCAAAUUAUAUUUUGCCAAGUAAACAUAAGUUUCAUUUCUAUUCCUUCAUUCCCACACAUUUUAUUCUUAUUCCCAAAUUACAUUUUGCCAAAUAAACAUAAAUUUCAUUCACAUUCCCCAAACCCACAAGUAACACACUCCAUAAAAGAGUUCCAACUUAUAAAAGCAGUACAAAGUACAAACAAGCUUCAAGACUCUUUUUUAAGUGUUUGUAAAACUCUUAAUUGUAGCUCUAAAAAAUUCAUUUUUGCUACUUUCUCUCAUUCAUAUAUAUGUACAUAUAUAACCCAUAAUACAAAAAUGGCUGACACCAUUGGAGGUGUGUCGAGGUUCAUGAACCAAAAAAAGCUUGCGUGGUCAUUAAUAAGCUGCUUUGAAGAAUCUGCAAACAAUCCCGAACGACUGUCAUACUGCUGCGCAAAGUAUGAGUGCUCAUUCUACACGCGGUGGAGAGCAAAGCUUGAAGGGAGGAGAAGAAGACCGAAGCAUCUCAUCAAGUCACUGCUAAUGAUGGUUUGAGACUCGUCAUCCACCAAGACUUGAUGAUGGUGGUGACUCUACAGAUUUGUCUUGUUGUCUUAGUGUUACAACUGCAUUCAUAUGUAACAAGGCUAUGAAAAUGCAGAAUUUAUUUUUCUUGUGCUUCUGUAGUCUACCGUUCCAAUAACGGUAAGCUAAUAACAAUGGAACAUAAAGACGUUUCCCAAAACUAUCAUAAAAACAGGCAUAAAAUCUAGCUUCAUCACCCCACCAUUGAAUCCAUUUAUACAACAUAUCCCACAACAUAAAAAUAAGCACUGUGCCAUGCCCGCUUGCUGGAUAAAAAUAAGCACUGUACCAUGCCGGCUUGCCGGCGACCUAUUUAUUAAGUUUUCAAUACAGUUGAAAAUUGUUCCUUUUAUCCCUAUUCAAUCUGAAAGAAAUCUCAUGCAUGUUUAAUUCAAGUUUGACCGAAGCCAUAUUAGUAAAACCAUUCAUUUGUCCUUUGAAAACUGCUGCAAGUCAACAACACUCUUAUCAAUUUGAUUCCAGUGAAAAAAGAUUGAAAAUUUCUCAAAUUCAUAUACGAAAAAUUCUAACAUCAAGCAGAAAGAAGUAAAUCAACCAUUUCACUUUCAGCAUGGAAGCAUUUAAUUUUUAUUAUAGAGAAGGAAACAAAGUUUCAGCCCUGCUUUCAAAAACCCCAUCAAAGCUCAAGACCUUUCCGCACACUUGGCUUCCCACCACUCCAUAAACUUUGACUGUGCAGCCAAGGUGUCCAUCCUGUAAAGUUGCAGAUAGUGAUUGGCAAAUUCCUGUCCAAAAGUCCACCCGAAAACAGCUCCUGCUGCUAAAGACAGCCCAGUACCUGGCAAAUAAAAAAUGGUUGAGGAGGUAAAUAGAAUUUCUCUGAUAUUGCACCCAUAACAUAACUUUUGAAGAAACUUGAUUCUGUUCUUUUCCAUUUACCUGUAUCUGACGUUACAACUGAUGACAUUAUUGAUUAUUGGCCAGAAAGUGAACUACAAUGCUUUAAAGAUGACAGAAUUUCUUUAUGCAGUUAUCCAGAAGAGUGACAUGAGGGGUUUUCAACCCUUGACCACUUGGUUGAAUCCAAGGCUCUUUAAUGUAUGAAGAAUUAUAAUGUGCACAAAUAAGUAGCUCAUGUAAUCCAAAAUCUCUAAUCAAGCAAGAGACCAGAUGACACUAGUUGCCAUGAGCAGGUACUUUAAUGGACUGAUCAAAACCAAAUUGGUUUGGACAUAUGAACAUCACUGCAACUAAGCACCAAGUAACACAUAAAUUGAAAUGAAAUUUUCUAUCUAAACAAGCUUGGUCGCUAUAUUAGAAGACAACUCCAAAGCCACACCAUCCUGUAAGCCUGUCUCAUACAUAUGUGGUUGAUGACAAAAUAGCAUUUCAUCAGAACCUACUUAGUUAGACACAGGUUCACUUUUUCAAAACAGACAGAGUUUUCAAAUUCUGUCCAAAUAUAUUUUAGCAUUGUAGAAGGCCUACGCAGACCUACAACCCACAUAAUCAAAGGAAAAUGCUGAAAAAUUUUCGCUGCAUAACUGAUAAAGUAGAGUACAAUGUAUAAAAAUUCCUAUCAACAACCAGCAAGUAUCUAUUUUACUAUAUAUCCAAAAUAACAUUUACAAUUCUUCACCAUACUUUACUAAUUCAAUUCUUGUCUAAAAAAAGCAACUUAAACAAAAUUACUAAACUAACAUGGAAAUUUAUGCUUCAUAUCUUCCUAGGCAUAAAAGAUGUAUUUUAAUAAGCACAAUAUUCAGUAUGGAAAGUGUAAUAGCUGCCAAACAGAAGAGGCAGUAGAUUACCAUGUAAACUCCUUGAAUACUUCCAAGCAACACCCGCAGUUGAUACUGCUCCAAUUAAACUUCCAGCGAGAGCAAAGUUCACAGCUUCCCUAGCACUCUUCAACUGAAGAAGUAAAAGACUUUAGCAUUUGACAGCAAAAACACGUAACAGUGCAUUUGCAAUCAAAUCAUCAAAAAAAUAAACAAAUGCUAAAUGAUUUAUACCCACUUAUAGAUACCUGCCAAGGAAAGCUUCUAUCUUGAUAGUUCAACAGGACAAAAUUCCAACAAUUUAAACAAUACAUUUAUUACCCACUAUUUGCAAACAGAGUCAACAUAAACAAAGGCUGAAAGACGAGGUUUUAAUGAAGUUAGUAUCAGUAUGUUUCAAUUAAAAUUGGAUUGCAUAAAUGUGAGCUCUCAUCAGUAUCAGUAUGUCAAUGAAAAGGAGCAGAAUAUCCCAUGUUCUUACUUUACUAGUUAUAAUAAACAAACUUUGUUUCAAUUCUAAUAAUGGAAUGUAACAGACAGUACAGUCUACGACAUCUAGAAGUCCACCAGUACUCAACUUUGAUACAUUCUUUGCACUAAUAGUUCAAGCAACAGUUUCAACUUUAGCAUAAGAUAUUGGCAAAACUAAGAGUCAUACGAUUUCUUUGGAGGGAAGGGAAAUAUCAUUCCUUUACAAAAGCAAGCAAUACUCAUAAAAUUUUCAAAGCAUAUAAGGAUCCUGGCACACGCAAAGGGGGAAGAAAUUUAGAUCCUUGUCAUCCAGCUUCCCCAACCCAUAAGUUAAGUAUUGUGUACUAACAAUGGAUUUAUAAUGUGUGAUAUUUUUUUUAUUUUUUUGGGGCACACUCUUACUAGUUUUAUUUGUAAACAGAAGACACUCCCGUAUAUCCUCAUAAAUAAAUAACCACAUUCUCUGCUAGUUGUACUUUCUAGGAAACCUAAAAUGCUUAGUUCAAUAUGUAUGUGACAACUACUGGCCAUAGAAACAAACCAUCAUUCAGUCAUUCUUUCAAACCACAUAAGAAAAAUAGCCACUAUUGGUAGCCAUCACCAUGCCAAAAGAACACAAAUUUAACUGACUGAUCACACAAAAUGAACUGCCAUGCAACAUUUCAUGCCGACAACAAUCCCCUCUAAUAAAACCCCAAGUCAAUAAACAAGAAGCUAACAGCGGAACGACUUGCUUCCACAGAAUUACUGCUCCCCAAUUGGGCAGCGCAUUUACAAAUCAAGAAUUCCAGUAGGUCCAUUAGCACAAAGUUGUCACAAUCACGAUCAACAGAGAAAAAAAUAUCCAAUGUAGUUCACACUCAUUAACAACCCAAAAUAAUUUAUACUCAAUCCAAUCCACAAGCAAAUCAUACAACCCUCCAUUUGUGCUUUUUGUAAUUGAAAGCUAAAGAUUUAGCGCCUACCCACAAAUCCACUUAUUUUCGGUAAACAAAACGUACACCCUCCAUCCUCAGAUUUACAUGAAAACAAAAAAAUCUAUGAGUAAAAACGAUGCCGUUUCAAGAUAUAAUAAAUGGAAUAAAUAGAGGAACAUACAGCGGGGCCAUGGACGGGAUCGGUAGCGAUGAAAGCAUCGACAUCAGAGGGGGACCAAGAAGGAAGAGGCUUCUCGCGCUUUGUGAAUCUUGUGUAGUUUUCGAGAAACGAGAACCUCUCUCCCCAGAACUCCUUGUAGCCUUCCCAGUGCUUCCUGAAGAAUGACUGUUGUUCUGAUGCCGAUGCCGAUGAUGAUGAUUCUCCCAUCUCUCCCUCCCUCUCUCUCUCUCAACCUCUCUUCUUCUUCUUCUUCAAAGCUUCAAUCAAAACUCAACAGCAGAAGGGAGAAUUGUGUGGGAUGUACCCCAUUCCCUUCAAAAUACCUAAUAUAUACCUAAAAUUAUAACACUCUUAAAUUUUACACAUAUAUACUUUAAAAAACCAAAAAAAGUAUAAAAAUAACCACAAUUAAAUCCUCAUAAAACUAAACCCAACUUCUCAAAGUCAGAUAAAUAGUCAAGAAUACUCGACUUCAACCAAACCAUACACAAUUAAUAAUUCAGCAUAAAUUCUCAACUUUUUCAUGUUAGUCAAGUAAAUAGUCGAGAAUACUCGACUUUAAUUGAAAUAAAAAAUUAUCUAAAAUUUUUUUGAUUUUUUCAAGUAAGUCGAGUAAAGAGUCGAGAAUACCCGAUUUUAAUUUAACCUUACCCAAUAUUCAUUCAGCAAAAAUUCUUGACUUUUCAUUGAAGUUCGGUAAUUGAUUGAGAAUACUCGACUUAAAUUGAAAUGUAAAUUUUCCUUUUAAUUAAGUCAGGUAAAAAGUCGAGUAUACUCAACUUUGGUUGUGUUAUUAUGUAGAAGUCAUAAGAGAGAAAGUAAAUGUAAAUAGAUUAUUUUUUUAGGUUAUUUUUUAUUUUUUACACUUUUAUAAGAUAUAUGUAUGUAAUGGGAUAUAAAUUUGACAUUUAAAGAUAAAUAUAGUAUAUUUAAAUAAAAAACCCACAGCAGAAUCCCAACUCAGUUAUCUGGAGAUUUCUUUUUUUUUAAUUAUUAUUAUUAUUAUUAUAUUGAUGAUGGAUUGGCUGCUGCUGCUGUUACCGAUUGAGUGAGGAUGACUAAAGAAGGGAGAAACUGAUUACGUGGGCGGACCGGGCCUGACAUCAUUUUUCAACCCAACCGGCCCACUUCGCAGUGUAAUUCACUUAAAAUUUAUAGUUUCCUAAUUUUUAUCUGUUAUAUCUCGUCUAAAAUAUACAUAAUUUAUUGUAAACAAACCAGGAUCAGUUGGCCACUAAGCACCUUUCUUUUUUAAUUAAAUAAUGCUUGCAGCGACUUGAGCUAGUGAUUUUCAAACAAUUCUCUUAAUCGAAUUUAGAUCCAUCUUUUCGUUUUAGAUUAAAAAAAAAAAAAAAAAAGAAGACAUCAAUGGAAUGAAAAGUUGAAAACACAGAAAACCAACAUUGUUUAUUAUCAAUUUAGUGUUAAGUAAGACAUCUUCGAAAAUGUUCAAAAUUCUAUCCUGAUUUAACCUAUAAUCUUAUAGCAUGUGUUUUUUAUUUUGUCUUUUCCUAUUUAUUAACAACCAAUCAACACUUAAAAUUUUUUUCUCCGCGCGAGAUUCCUGAUCCUUUGAACACAAGUAUUGUGAAACUUAAAUUCAUUGAUGAAACUAUCAAAUGCAGGUAUCGACCACAUGCGAAAAAGAUACCCAUUGAUAAUCCUGCCAGAUGGGGGAAAUGAACAAAAGCUAUGAUCCUAAUCUGUCUGGAAAACGCAGGUUACGAUCUGAGAAAAUAAAUGUCACGGGCAACACAUUAGCUUCUAUAUAUAUAUAUAUAUAUAUUACUAGAAAGAUCAAUCUAAAACGCUUACAUUGAUCAGACCACUAUUACAAAAAGAAGUUUCCUCCUCUGACAUUCAUCGACAAAACAUUCAAAAUGGUUGUACAGAGGCACUCUUACUUAACACAACUAACACCGCCAUAAACCACCACUUUCAGAGAUUCAUCUCCUCAUCUCUUUCGCUUGGCCGCAGUCCCAGAACCACGGCCGCUUUUCUUCUCAGCAGAUGUGGAACCACCUUUUCCUCUGCCCGCAGGCUUCCUCUUGGCACUUGAAUUCCCUGCUCCCUUCAAUUCCAGUUGUACUUCAAUUCCUAGAAAAAAAUUAGGUCACAGAUUAAAAAUUUAUUGGUUAUAUAGCAAUUAGAAGUGGUUUCCAUAUUCUUCUAGAUUGUCAUUAGGUAAGAUAAUAUCACCAGACCUUCUGAAUUCAGACUUUGCAAUUCUGACUGCAACUUCUCACCAAUCAUGGCAUCUGCUGACAAUUUGAAACGAAAAUUAGAAAAAGAAAAGAUCAAGAAAAUUUACAGAAAACGGUACUGAUGUUGCUGUAAAAAUUAUUGCUUUCCUUUUUACAAAAACACUUAUGAAUUUUGUAACUGAAGGCAGUACCUUGAAGUUUUAAGAAUACACUAUUUAACACAAUGCCUGGUUAAGAUAUUUAUAUGGAACAAGAAAUCUCAUCCUCCAGCAUGAGCCUCAAAAACUAAAGCAACAGUAAAACCAAUUGAAACAAGACUUUCAACAAGCUGUGCUUGUUCUUCUCAUUCCUCCUGAUCUAUAUGGUUGCCAUUUCCUCCAAUGUCAAGAGGAUUUGCUCGAAAAAAUGAGAUGAGAACGUACCAACCCUUCUAUCUCAAAAUGCUAUAUCCAACCAAACAAACAAUUUACACAGAGUCCAUUCACCAUUUUAUUCUAUCUAAGCUUAACCACUUGCAUUUUGUUUGAGAACUGCAGGUGGGAGGCCUAUGAUGAUAAUGACCAUCUGUAGUGGGAAUAUAGGAUGGUGGUAAAAUUUUUGAGAAUUUGAUUGACUUAGUGCCAGCACCUUAACAAACUCGAUUUACAACUUCUCAAGAUCAGGAAGACUUAAAAAGGAUGCUGCAAAACAGUCGCCAAUGUGAUGGCAAACUGAAUGAAACUUUUACUUGAGAUAAUUUUACCUGGCCCCUCUGUAUCUGAAGAAUUUUCUUCUUCAUUCUCAGCCAAAUUGUCCCCAUUCUCUUCUCCAAUUCCGUCAUCAGGUGGUUCUAACAUUGCCGCAAUCCGCUUCUUAGGAGCCUUUUUCAUUCCAGGAAGUGGAACCAAAUCUGCAGCUUGUACCAUUCGCGAUUUGCUUUGUGCAUUAUAAGCUCUUGUUAGGGCUGAUUUGACAGCUGGUGGAAUGCCUUCCAAUGGAUUUGCAUGACCCUGAUACACAGUAUAACCAUAAAUAUGCUGAAAGUGAGAUAGCCCUUGUCAAAUCCAAGUAUUAUGUGAUGUACGGUAUAGGUACCUGAAAUUUUGACAGUUCCACAAUACUAUCAAAGUCCUCCUGGCUUAUUGAGUAAGCAUUCAUGAACUCAACAACUUUCUUAACAGCUUCAUCCUGGUCAUUACAUCACACACAAGAAAAAUCACAACCAAAUCCUCAUGAACCGGUUUCAAGGUAAAAAGGCAAAAUGAUUCCAUCUAAGUGCUAAGACCCAAAAUCACCUGAGGUGAAAAGCUCUAGCCAGAUACUUGCACAUUAACAUUAGGCACCAAUAUCUAGAAGUGGCCGAUAGAUAUUUGGAUAAGAUAUGUAGGAAAAUUUUACAUCAGGGCUUGUAGAAAUGUCAGUUUUCAAUCAUCCAUUUAAUCCCUUAGAAAUUGUGCACAAAGACUGAGACUCUUAAGAACUGUAGACACUCAGUGGAGUGAAAGAAGCUUUAUAUGAAAACAAAAAUGUUUUUAAAGUAAGCUGUAAGUACAACGGGAAACAAAUGAAGCAGAGCGUUGGAUACGACAAAUAAUAAGUGCCAACUGCCAUAAUCAAGAAAAAUAAAUGAAAAGACAUGGUUUCUUAAAGUGCAUGUACAAAUAGCUGCACCUUAAUUAAAGGGAAACAGGAAAAGGAAACAGAAGAGGAGAGAAGAAAAGAGAAAGAGACGGAGAGGGGGAGGGAGGGAGAAAGCAGCCUAAACCACGAUAUAAGAGCUCAAACAUAAAAAUAGCAGUCCCUGAACUAUAAGCUUUAUCAAAUCCCCCUAUCAUAGUAGUCAAUCUACAAUCAGAUGUCUUUCAGGGCGAAACAAAAGGGAAAAAAGAAUCAACAGAAAGAUGUGUUUGUAUUCGAUGCUAAAUUUGAGGCUAUGAUUAUGGUGGUCCACAUGCCUUUGACACGAGGCAUGCUAGCACUAGAAUACUAAUGUUGUUUCUUCACAUAUAAGCUUAAGCUUUUGAGUUAAGUAAUUAGUCAGCACAAACUUAGAAGAGAACGAAGUUCUAACAUGCUUUAGUUCACCCUUUAAAUUUAUCAUUAUUGCUCUUCUUAAUCUCAUUCAUCAGAUUGUGAGGGCAUCUUGAAUCUAGCUUGCACAGAACCACUACAAAGCAAGGAAUUGGUGGACUAGUAUCUUACAUUUGACUUAGAAACAAUUAUACCAGCAAACUCACUAUAGACCAAAGGUAUAUCUGGUGUACAGCCAUUUCAAUGACUCAACUAACAGUGACAGUUAAUUCAAGUGGGCCCUUCCCUUGAGUCCUGACCACUUUAAGAUAGGCACAAGACCCUGCAGCCACCAGCAGUCUUUGCCUGAGAAAGGCAUUGUUGAACACCUCUUGGUGCUUAAGAAAAUGCCUUUGAAACACUAACCAUUCAAAAUAUUCAUAAUACACUACCUAGUCCUAGGCAGCACAUGGAUUGGAUCAGUCAAAGUUUCAACAAUUAAAGUAAAAUAACAAAAAUGGCAUCUAACCUUAGGCAGCACUCGAAGUGGCUCUGUUAAUUGUUUUAAAAGAAGAGAAAAAUAAUCAAGUCGAAGAGUAUCCCUGUACCAUAAACCACACAAGAAUAAUUAAAAAUUUUGAAAAAGAGAUGCCGAUCCAAGAAUAAUUGACAGACUACAUAUUUUCAAACUUAGAACAGAAGGAAAGACCAUAAUAUAUACAUAAACUGUCAAAUACCCAGAGAGCAAGGACAGAGUCCUCUUAAUUAUAUAUUCUCCUCCUCCAGCUUCCCAUAGGAAAAAACAAUAUACUUUAAUGUGCUUGAAUAUACUUUAAUGUGCUUGCAAAUGAUCAAUUAUAUAUUCUCCUCCUCCAGCUUCCCAUAGGAAAAAACAAUAUACUUUAAUGUGCUUGCAAAUGAUCUCUCUCUCUCUCUCGCUCCACAACCAGACACACAGACAUACACAUUUUAGUUAAAUUUGGUUAACAUGUAAAUUUAAUUUGUAGAAUCUAGCAUAAGUUUUUAGCUAUAUCCGUAUCUAUAAGGUCAACUCAUCUCCCAAUCUUGUGUAAUUAUAUCUAAGAGUAGUGCUACACCUCCCAAAUUUCUAUCCCAAAUGAUGUGGCAUUCAUCAAUUGGAUGGUCAAAUAAUAAAAUUAAUCCACUUAGAUCUUGCAAAGAAUUAACAUGACACAUCACAUGCCACAUCAUUUGAGAUGAAAUUUAGGAUGUCAAUCAUUACUCUAUAUCUAAUUUCUAUUUUCUCAUACACACACAAACAAGAGCUUCUCGUCAACUUUGAAUGACAACAAUAUAAUACUUCUAGUUAUUUUGGCACUGAAUCUCCAUGUAUAAGAAUCUAGAAGAAUCUUAAUUUAAAUCAACACCGUUUAGAUCAACACAUGAGGCAUACCUACACUGUAACUAUAUACAGUUAUGGCCUAAGUGCAAGUGUAUCCCAAGUCUACAUUUCAGGACAUUAACACAAGGAACACUCAACACAUGAGUCUGCACGUCUUAGCUUGUUCAGCAGCUACAAUGAAAACUCAACUAAAACAGACAUAUUUGUCAACUCAUUUGGUCGGUUUAGAGGUGAAUUUAAAAUAAUAUCUAUCAGACACUAAGAGAUUAAAAAUAAAUUCACCACUUAAAAGCAGGUGAUUUUGUAAUCAAUUCUUCUACCUAUCAAUAAGUGACCAAAAUCAUAGAAAAAGCACAUCAAAUAACAACCGACCAAGUGGUUUAGUACUGUCUGCCUCCACAAGAGAUUGAACUUCAAACCAGAAUUAACCAACAAAUUUAAAAUAGGGAAAAAGAAUUUACCUUCCCAAUUUAGAUUUACGAGAAGCAAGAUGAUGAAAAUGCAGAUCUUCUAAAAGCCUCAAAUUUUUGCCCAUUGUCGAAUUCUUUCCCAGCCAUCCACCAAACCUGUUAAAAUUCCUUUCCCCCUGCAGACAUGAGGCCCCGUUCUGAUGUUAAGAAUACAUCUAAUCCAGAUAGGUUACUGUCACUGUCUCUCCAAAAAAAUUGUGAGACAAUAAAACAAAAAUAAACGUCUUAUGUUACAUAUUUUUGGAAAUUAUGAGAUUUACAUCUUGCAUUUUCGUUUAAAUCUAUUGGCGUAAGCAGAAUAAAUUUUAACAAAACUUGUGGCACUGAAAACAUGCCUUCUAUGCAGAGAGGUAUUAUUAUAUUAAAAAAUUGGAUCUCCAAUUUCCAUGCUGGUAAUAAAAACAAAGCAUUUUGCAAAGCUUAGCAUAGUCCUCAAGUGUACUUAAUCUCAUGUAUUAGUCAUGACACUAUGGAAUAAAGUAGAGAUAACAAACCCAUCGAAAAAGGCCUGGGGAGAAGAAAGUCCACCACUAAGCUGUGCGACAAAAGAAAGAGUACAAGAAAGAAAACACAAAUAAUUCAUGAAGUCCUAAAAUUCAUAGUGCUAGGAAAUCUUGAAAAAUAGGAAAUCUCAAGUCAUUACUGAACAACCACAAAAUAAGCACUCUCAAAAAAUCCCUAACAUGAAAAUUUUCACCUGGUCCUCUAUUCUCUCAACUGCUUUACUCCACUCCAUUUACAAAAUUAACCGGUAAACUAGUUGGUAACAACCCUAAGCGAUAAGAGAGACCAAUACCUCUUAUGUGAUAUACCCUAAUAAAUGAGGAUCGGUCAUCAUAGCAAAGAGAGAAUUACACUGACACCCUCCAAGGUUCGUCAACCUGUAGGUCAGAUGGGGAAAGAUCAGAAAACUCUCAGCCAGAUUCCUUGUCGACGACAACUGUUAACAAUAGGGAGUCUGACUGAUAGGUUUUCGAUCUUUCCCUACUUUUCGGACACUUUGACAAACCUCAUGGGGUCUUGGUGGAUUCUCACAUUUAUCAAUUAUAUUGACAUGACAAACCACAUUUACAUAAGCAAGAAAACCACAAAUAUAUCCCUAAAUAUAUAAUGGCAUUUUCUACAUAAUAUUACUCUUCUUCAAUCAAUACUAUGACUUAGAUAGAAUAAAUCAUAAAAGCAAUUUAAUAAGGCUAAAAGUAAGUGUAACCUCCAUGACUGACAUCCUUUACCUGCUCAAGUGUCUCCCUUUGUCCAUGCAUCAGUGCAGCACUGAUUAAAAAGAAUUAAAUAUGGUCAUUUAGCCAAGUGAAAGUCAUGCAAAGAAUUCUGGACAUAUUUCACAACUGGUACAUACGGAAUAAUACAAGAUGCAAGCGAACUGCUUUGAGAGAGUUGCCACUGUUGAUUCCUUCGGAUCUGGACAUUGAAUAUAUCGCCAUCACUGAUAGACUCAGCAGCACGGGCAAUCAAGCUCAAUCGCUUCACUUCAUCUCUACCAGCUGAACUUGGCCUAUAAUUAAUAUAAUUUUCCUGCAAUAUAAUUAAAAAAAAUUACCAUGUGGGGCAUUCAUUAAAAGCAAACGCAAGAGGUUCCCAUUAUGGUAGAUCAUUAAACAUACAAUUAAUUCUAUAGUAAUUAUAAUUCAAUAUUUAAUACAGUAAUAUAUUGAACUGAAAAAAGUUGACCGCCUAAAAAGGGAUGAUCACAUGGAUUAACCAUAAGAAAAUAAAUGCUAUCUAAUAAUAUAAUAUGAUUUAACCUAAGAAAAUAUAAUAAUAAUCUUUCAAUGAAAACAUUAUCUUUUAUAAUAUAAUUAUGAAUAUGCUUAUCUUUUCGAUAAAAAAAUAAUUUUUAAUGGAAAUAAUAAAGAAAACUUUACUUCAUUUGGGAUAUGGUAAGAAUCUGGUUACUUUUCCAGACAAUUUUUGGGUUCUUAAACAAUUGCUUCUAGGGAUUAGUUGUCCACUCUUUAGGCUACGGAACAGUAUACCCUAUCUGUUUGUAUAAUCUAUUUUGCCAGAAGCAAAAGGCUCAGCGUCUGCUGAUCAAAUUGUCUUGGGCCAAGGCUGCCAAGAAUAAUAAUUUCUGGGUCAUACAAUUUAUAAAAAAUACUGAUAAUACCCAAAUUAGAUUUGUCUCAAUUUAGGGUGUGGGCAGAAUAGGAAUCUUGAACCACAGUCAUUCUGAGGGGUCAUCCAACAUAGUAAAUCAAAUCCUAAACAAAAGUAACUUUCACUUGAACAUGCCUUUUGACAUAAACUUAAGCAGAAUUUGAUUCUUAACUAUGAAUCAUCCAAACUUUAAAAAACUUUACUCUCAAAUAAGCUGAUAAAGAUAAAACGGUUUAAUCAAUUAAUAGGGUCAAACUUAGAUGUCUGGAUUACUAGGUGGGUUAGAUGAUGUCCAUGCCUGAUAACAUAGAGAAGUUGUCGCCAUCUUAGAGAAUAUUAUUACGGUGUCCGCAGAAAAGUUCGAGACUUGAAUUUUUAAAAAACUGCAGAGAUAAAGUAAUCUCCAACCAUGAUCUAAAUUGUCUUGAUAAUUAGUAAUUGCUAAUCAAACAAACAAGCACUAAUUGAGGAAGAACCUGAAUAAGUAGCGGGACAAGAUCCGGAUCACUCAUGCUUAGAUCAAUCCGCUCAUCCAUUCUCAACUUCCCACCAUUAAAGCCAAAAAGCCUACAGCCACAAAUGUGUGUUAGCAUGACAAAAUUCAAUCAAAUACACUUAAUUUGUAAUCACGUUGGCUAUACCAUUUUCUUUUUUGUAGCCUAAAUAAAGAAGGGGGGUAAAGAAGCAGCUUACUGACUGAUCUUAACCAUCAUAAGCCUUAGAAUAGAGAAUCAUAGGAGGUAAGUUAACAUCCAUGUAAAAUCAAUUUACAGAUGAGAAGUUGAGACAAUUCAGAAUUUCAUGAUUAUGGACAUGAUUGUCCCAUAAUUGUGAUAUAAAUGAUCCAUUAUACGUCUACAUAGUAAUAAGAGUCAGAAUUAUGGUCCAUGAUGCAGCUCGAUAGCACAGGCACGAUGUUUCAUAUAAUCAAAAAGGUAAUCGAACCUUUCACUCCAAGCACUUUCAAGAAGAUAUAGAUCUUAUAUUACAUGAGAACAAAAGUUCGCAAAGAGCAGAGAGGAGACAAGGAUUAAAGUUCAGAUUACAACUAAUAGCCUCAAAUAUCAGAUGAUGAACUGUUCUGAGCAAUUUAAUGAAAUAGAUAAGAUCCAAGUGCCUUACUUAUCAACAGCUGUGAAUGGUGAAAUAUCUUCAUCCUUUGCACUGCUUAGAAGGCGCUGUCUUAUGUCAUCAUACUUGAUAACUGACAAGGAGAGACUCAUAUACUGCAGUUGGUUUAUAGCCAUGCGAAUAUCUCCAUUCACUCUGUCUGCAAGCUCCUCUAAUGCAAUCUGAAGGUCAUAAAUAAAAAAUAAGUGAUUCCAUGCUUAUAUGUCUUCAAAUCUAACCAAUAGAAAAAAAAAUGUGAAAACAAAAUAACGGACACUAAAUGUUUUGGAUAUACUUGAUUGACUCUGAAUUCUCCAAUCCUUAAAUUUAACACAGAGACCCAAAAAUACGAAAAUAAAGAAAGACAAAAAAUUGACAGAGAGUUGAUGAAUUUCAAUUUGAACUUUAAUGAUAGUAAAGAUAAUCUACUCAACAUUAAAUAUGGUACCAAAAUUAAAAUCUCUUCGAGUACCCUGAACUUUAAUGAUAGUAAAGAUAAUCUACUCAACAUCAAAUAUGGUACCAAAAUCAAAAUCUCUUCAACUACCCUAACAACUACCACGUCAUGCUCUUUCGGACACCAACUCAUUGUACAUCCUGGAGAUAAUACAAGGCUUAAAGAGCCAUCAAAAGGGCAUGAAAUGAAUAGAUAAUCAAGGAACAUCCACAGACACACACACAUAUAUAAACAAAUUCCAAGGAAACAAACAAAAUAAUAUCAUUAAAGGAUCAUGUACCUCAUUAACCUCAAGACCUUCAGCAUUUGCAAUUUGCAUUAACCUUUUUGCAAUCUACCACACCAAAAAAAAAAAAAAAAAGAGCGUUAGAAGCUCCAUACUAAGAACAAAUUGUCUCAUGAUGCAAAGUGAAUGUUAACACCUGGCGUAUACACGUGCUGCAUAAAAUUAUGAAUGUGUAAGGGAAAAUGGAGGUCUUAGACUCUCUAUUCAGUGGGCUACACAUAAGCAACCAGGUUGUACAUACUUGGAAGCAUAAAGUAAAAGGUAGGCUUUAGUCUAUGUUCAAGGGAAAUAAGUUUAACAGCCCAUUUUUAAUAAACAUCUUUCAAACUCAGUAUUCAUAAAAAUGCGAUAACAAAAGCAGAAACACUAAGAAAAUAUGCCCCUUCUUGUUUGCUUAAAAUCUUUCAUAGAAUGAAUCUAGGCUUUACAUUUACCUCAGAAUGUUUUCAGAGAACAGGCAUAAUAACCUGACUUCAAGUCUAAAGGACAGGAAUAAACAAGCAUGAUAACAGAACGAACCCAAGGUUAUCAUUAAAGCAAAAGGCAUUUAGAUUCACCUGCUACAGAGCUCAAGAAAUCUUAACAGCUUCUAACAUAAGUAAGACAAAUCUCUUUCAUAACAACUGUGUGAAUGUCAUAAUAGAAAACGUGGAAGCUGCAUCACAAUGAAUUACUUGGCAGAUAUUCAAGCUAUUCAAGGCAAUUUUUAUGCAAACCAGUUACUUUCGUAUAUCUAAAAACUACAAAAGAUCAGUUUUCUUUUCAUAACAUCUAUCUCAAAACUAAGAACAAGAGUCCAAUGCUCAUCCCAUAUUUUCUGAGGUAGCUAACACAGGAAAAUCAAAGCUAAGCAAUAACAAAUCUUCUUAACAUCACUAGAUUAACAAAAAUCCAAAUAGUAUAAAUGUGAAGUGUUCAGAAGUUCUUUUAAAGAAGAGAAACACUGGACUGAAAAAGAUUAAAUAAGACAAAAAAGGGAAAUACCUCCUGUUUUCUAGGUUUCCGGAAUCUGAGAUCCGAGCAGUAGUUCACAAGACUCUUCAAUUUCUGACUAUAGCGGUCAUUACAGAUACAGAUAAUAGGAAUUUUAGAAAUCUUUAUGCUGGCAAUGAGAUCAGCAAUUCCACCUCUAUCUCCAGCAGACAUCCCAUCUACCUCAUCCAUAAUCAGGACAGUUUUCGGAUGUUUUGAACUGAAAUUUAAAUCAACAAAUUAGUGAAGUGAGGAAAAAAAAAAGAAGAAGAACCAAAGGAGUUUUAGGUACAUCCUAGAUCCUACGAACUAAUUCAAGACACAAUGAGAAAGCAGAACAAACCGAUCCAUAUUAGCACUGAGGGCCUCAUUGCUGACAAGUUCCUUUAUGGAAUUUGCAUUGCUCCCACCAAUUCCUUUGGAAAUCUUGGCAUCAGCUUUCCCUCGGCUAUCACUAGCAUUUACCUUGAUACGGUAAGGGAUACACAUGAAGGGAAGAUAGCGAAAGUUAAUAACAUCGAGUGAUACAAUAUGACAAUGAGCUAAUAAGAAAGAUAUUCUACUAAUAAAAGGAAAAGAAUAAUAAGCAAUACAAUACACCAUUGACCUCACAAGAACUAUGCUGAUGCUCUAAUGAUCACCAAAAGCCUUUGUCAAAAGUAUGUUACCUCAAUAGCCUGGAAACCCAGCAUCUGACAAACCAACUUUGCUGCUGUAGUUUUCCCCAUACCAGGUGAUCCACUUAAAAUCGCAGCUUUUUCAGCACUGGCAUCAUUUUGUUUCUUUCCAUUUCGUUUAGUUCCAGUGUCAAGAAACUUCUCAUUCCAGUGCGCCAACCAUGUAUGAAGCUGCUUAACCUGCAUAUUAGUACAAUGAAAAAUCAUAACUCCAAUGCUUCACCAUGUUAAAAUAAAUAUUAAGAUUAAACUUCUGAUGGCAGACACAGGUGCUAGAAAAAAAUGCGUACCAGUUGCUGAUUCCCAACAAUCUCAUUGGGAGUUUUUGGCCUAUACUUCUCUGUCCAUGUAAGCGAAGAUUGCUGGAUAUUUUGCCCUUUCCUUUUGGCAGGAGAAGCAACUGUUUUCAUUCUUUCAAUGGGUGCUUUUGGAGCCGAAGUGCCUGCACAAUGAACCGAGUUUUCAAAAUUUGGAAGACACUAAAAAAAAAAAGAAAAAAAAUGCAACCAACCAACUAAAAGGAGAAGCAAGAACAAGUUCAAAACAUUCAAGUCAACUGUCAUCCACUUCAAGCAUUGCAAACCACAUGGCCUCCGCUUAGACUUACGAUUAUUAACAUGAUAUUUCAUAUAAAUACAUGUGAUAGCACAACUGAAAACGCAAGAAUAAUCAAAAUGGAAGAAAAUCAGAAAAUACAUUAAGGUAUUGCUAAUUGAUACAUUUAUGUAAAUCAUCAUCUUCUACUAACCAGUCGAAUAGGUAAAAUCAUGUAUAAUUUGACAGCACAACUGAAAACCACAAAACAAUAAAAUUGGAAUUUCAGCAUUGCUCCGUGUUCACCAGUUAAUAACACAAUUAAAGAUUGAAUAAGUACUUCAAUAUCAUAACAGGUUCACAUCGACCAGGUCCCCCAGUCUUCCCUAACAAAAUAAAUUAUCCCUCUUCAAAUUUCCAUCAGACAUAUGCAAUUAUAAAACAAUCUUCUCCAGCUAAUCGCUAACAUAACAUUAAAUACUAAAAAAUGCAACUAAAUAAUUCUUCACAUGAAGAGAAAACAUGAAACAAUACUGCUGCAUGGGCACAACAAAAUUGUUAAUGACUGAGAAUCAAAAGGCCAUGUGUUUCAAGGUAACUUGGGAACUUUCUUCUUUUGCAAACAAAGGCUACCAAAUUUUGAUCCCCGGUAGCAUAAAAACCCCAGCAUAGGCAUAGGAAGACCUGAUAGCAGAAAAUGACAUAGUGGCCUUAAACAACACCUUAAUAAGCAAUUCAACAGCUACUUGUGUUUAUUAUCUACAAUCUUUUUCUAUAAACAACUUGACAAUACUUUCUCAAGAGACAACAAAUGCCCAAUUAGUGUACAGCUACUAAAACAAAGUCAAAAAUAAGACAACCAACCAAUCUAAAAACCCAGCAUUAUUGAUACUGAACAACAUUCAACAACAAUAACAUGCAUCUCACUGACUUCCGCAUUAUUGAUACUGAACAACAGUCAGAUGAUACCAGAUGGUAGACUUAACAUGCAAUUCAUUUCAAGGCAGCACUGUGAACCACAUACAAAAUCACAAAGUUGGAUGACAAUGUUAGAAAAUCAAACCAACAAAACAGAUCACAAGCUAGGAAUCAGAUGUUAAAUUGAUAUAAGUAAACACAAGGCUGUUUGCUCCUACUCUUCGCUUCUAUAUUUUGCGGACUUUUCUUAGGCAAAGAUGCUGCAACUUUCUCAACAGAUUUCUUUGAUUCUGCUUGUGCAAGUGCCUUCAUAGGCUUUGAAGCACGGAUCAUGUCAAACAAUCCAUCCUCUGUAAGGAAGGGAGUGCUACAAACGAAAAAUUUGAGCCAGUCAUUAGAGAGGAUAUAUAGGACUCAAUUACAAUUGUUUGUGAGCAUGGAUUAAAGAUGGCAAACCCCAGCUCUUUGGCUUUAGUUGAUUUGGCUCCCGCAAUGUCUUCAUCACAUAAAAGAUAAUUCUGCAAAAAAAUGUUAUCAAACGUCAAUACAGCUAUGAAACCAAUCAAAUUUAAGAUUGAAGUUCGGAACUACCGUUUUCUUGCUGACAGAUCCAGUAACACGACCCCCAUGGCGUUUAAUUAAAUCUUCAGCUUCUUCUCUCUCCAAACUGUCAAUUCAGUCAAAGUUCAUUAUAAAUCUCAAGUUGAAGGAAUAAUAUUAACCAGAAACAGUGCUGAAAUUCAAUCCAAUAAAUCAUGGCAACCACAAUAUCAUUACACACAUCAGAUAGAGUCCAGGCAAAACAUUGUAUGGAUCACAGAAGAAAGCAGAAUACCAAGGAUUUCUACACACAAUUCCGAGGAUAAACAAGCACAUGUAAAACCACGGAGAUAUAAGGUUCACUACCUGUCAAGUGUUCCACUAAUUACAAAAGUUAAACCACCUAAGCAAUCAGGAGCACCUUCAGGGACUUCCUGAUAGAGAGGAAAAAUAAAAGCAUUCAUGUUAACAUCAAGAGCAACAGAACCAUUAUAAUUAAUUAAGGAAUAUGUUCCUAGAACCAUCCACCUUUUCUCCUUUGUGUGGAGGAUCUUUCCUUUCUCCAAAAUUCAUAAAUCCACCCCGCCCACCACCUCUGCCCCUUCCAACAGCAGGUGCCCCAGAUGCUCCUCUACCGCCACGACCCCUUCCACUGGACUUAAGAGGAGAUUCUGUCUUUUUAACAUCCUCCUCCUCAUCAUCAUCAAUAUCUACAGAUUUCUGUGCAACUGCUCUGCCUGAACCAGACUUCAAUUUCUUACUGGGAGUGGCACCAACAGAAUUCUUCUUCACACUAGGUGGCACAAAGUCGUCAUCGUCAUCAUCAGCUUUGUGAAAUUUUUUCAAUGGGGAGGAUCUAACUGAUUUGCCAUCAUCUUUCUUUGCUUUCCUCUUGGCCGGAAGUUCCUCCUUCUCUCCUCCAUCUUCUGGUUUUUGUUUGUCUGUAGCAAAAUACUUGCUCGUUUUUCUUCUACCCAUACUUUCAUGGCCUCCACACCCCUAUUUAUAUCAAAUGAAAAAUAUUAAGCCAAGUCAGACUAUAAAUAUGCACAUCAGCAUCCUCAGUUUUCCAUCCACUUAAUGGAGUACAGUUAUCCAAGAAGAUAACCAUUUGAAGGAGUCAAAGUGGAGAAUAUGAAUCCAAGUGUUGAAGUCAGAACAUACCAACAAGGAUCAUAAAUGAGAAACAUUAGGUGUAUGACAGAAGGCUCAUCUCUUAUCACCAUUACGAGAUUGACAGUUGUUGAAGAAUUCUCAUCACCAUUAAGAGACUGUAGGUUGUUGAAUAAGCUGUGGAAGCAUAUUAAGAAGAAUCUGAAUUUGAUAGAAUGGACGAACACAAUGCUGAUAAAGUCCUUCCCUCGUGCCUAGACAAUCUGAAUACAUCUGUGCAUCAGGAUGUAAACUUGGCCAAAGACAAAUUGCAUCAAGACUCUGACAUGGUACAAAACAAGGGGAUUGAAAUUGACAAUGUACAAGUUGCCUGUGAUGAUAAUUUGUCAAAAUCAUGUGAUAGUCGUCAAGGAGAUUGAAACUAACAAGGAAAAAAAAUGAAGAGAGAGUGAGAAAAUAACUCUGCCAGGUUAUCAUCAUGAGCAGCAUGUAUGUUGUCAAUUUCAAUCUCCUUAUUUUGUACCAUCUCAGAGUCUUGAUGCACAACUUGUCUUUAACCAAAUUUACAUCUUGGUGCAAAGAUGUACUUAGAUGGUCUAGGUAUGAGGGAAGAACUUAAUCAUCAUUGUUUUAGUCCAUUCUAUCAAAUUCAGAUUCUUCGUAAUAUACUUCCACAGCUUGUCCAACAACUGUCUAUCCCUUAAUGGUGAUAAGAAUAAGCCUUUUGUUAAACACCGAAUUUUGUUCAUUGAUGAUGAUCCCCAUUGGUACAUAAUCCCUCAACACUUGAAUUCCUAUCCUCUACAAAAGAGCUAGUGCCCAUUGACAUUUUUCACAGACGAAUUCAUCAGAAAUCAGCUCCCAGACUCACCACAAGAUAGAAACAGCAGGUUUUAAAUUUCUGGUAAUUUAUCCAAUCUUUAAACUUUAUACAAUAACACAAACAUAAACGACGUAUAUAAAUAUAUAUCAUGUAUAUAACAGAAAACAGACUCACGGGCUCAGAAUUUGUUGUCUCCAAAUUGCUCAGUGCAGUAUUUGCAGGAAUUGUAGCAUUGUCUUUGUCUUUGCUAUGUGGUUUCAAAAACCACUUCCUAAUAUCUUGCGGCUGUAAGUCAAACCAAAAGCUGAAUAAAUCAACUAUAAUUUUUCAGUCAUAAGACAACUAAACCCUCUACUUAAUUCUCACUUAAAAAAACACAAUAAAAUAAAGAAAAUGUACAAAAUUAGAAAGCCUACUCAUUCUCAAAGCACAUUAUUAUUACUCUUUUUUCUCUCAUUUUCCCAGAAACCAAACAGAAAAGCAUCAAGAAAUUCAUAACGUACAAAAAUAAAAAGCCUAAAUUACCAUAUUUAAACUUCACACACGGAAGAGGUACUGCAAUUGGUUGACUGUUUUCACAGAGUUCGCCUUGAAAGCACAAUCUGUAAGACAAAAAUUAACGGCAUUAAAAAAAAUAGAAAACAAAAUUUAUUGACACUAACAAUGUGUUUCGAAUUAAUGAGGUAAACAUUUUAUUAUAAAUAAUAAUAAUAAUAACAACAACCAUGCAAAAUAAAGAAAUAAGGAAACUAAACCUCAAAAAUAAUAGAGGGGAAAGGAAGAAGAAAAGAAACCAUUCAGAAUAAAAGGUUUUGUAACUUUUUUGAGUAAAGAGCAGCAAAGGGAAAGUGAAGGAAAAAGACGUUAGCAGUACCAAAAUCUCGCUCUCUCUCUCUCCCUCUGCUAUGGGUCGGCAAACUCGGGCUCAGAUCCGGUUCUGAUCAACCCGAUCCGAACCGGGUUGGAAAACAGAUAGUCCAAAAUCAACCCCAUGAUCCGAGCCGAUAAAAAAUUUAAUCAUUUUCAAUACAUAUUGGGUAAAUUGGGUUUCGAUUGGAAUUGUUCGGAUUGUGGUUUGGGUUACAACCGGUUCGGAUUGGAGAAUUCAACGCAACUGGUUCGAAACGCAAACCCGAACCGAACCGAACAGAAAAUCUAAAAUGAAAUACGUAUAAUUUAAGGAUAGCAAAAAUUCUCACGGGAACGGAUAUUUUCGGAGAUUUUUUUCAUUCGGAGAGGAUAUGGAGAUAAUUUCAUACCUAAUUUCUUAUUCGGGGAAGGGACAGGAAAAUUUUUUUACCCAAUUUCUUGUUCGGGGAGGGGACGGGGAUGAGGUGAAUCCCCAUCCCCUAUCCUUUUCCCCAUUUUAAUUUUUAAUUUAAUUUUUAUUUUUUAAAAUUACUAGUAAAUAAAUUAUAAAAUUAUAAGUGUUGGUAAAAAUAAAAAAUAUCAAAAUAUUUAUAUUAUUAAACUUUUAGGCCUAAUUAACUAAUUAAAGUUCUAAAUUUUUAUUUAGGACAUUAAAAAGACUGGACAGAUUCUAUUAGCCCAAAACUUUUGUUCUAAUUUUAAUAUUCAUUAAAUAUUUUAAACUUAAAUAUAUUUUUUAUUUAUUUUUAGAUGUUAUAAUUGCCCAUAGCAAAUCACAAUUUUAAUAUCUAAUCUAAUCUAAUAUUUGCUCUUGAUUUGUUUUGACUUAAUUAUUAUGUUGUAAAGGGAAUAGUCUAUAUUUAUAAAGUAGACACGCCACCAUUGAAAAAUUAAUUUUAGAUCUAAAUUUGAUUUUAUUUGUAACAAUUUUGUAUUAACCUAUUAAUUUGUUCAUGAUAGUUUGUAUCCCUUGCAUGCUGCGUUACUUACUAAUUUAGUGUAUAUGACUUUUGUAAUGGAUAUUAAUAUAAGAUAUAUUUUGAAUUUUACUUUUAUUUAAAUUUAUUUAUUUUAAUAUGAUUAACUCAAAAUAAAAAAUAAAAAAAUAUAUUAAUUAUUUAGAAAUCGAGGACCUUCAAAGAUCCCCUGUUAUUAUUCGAAAAAGAAAUGAGAAUUCUCUUAAAUAAUUUUGACGAAAAUAAAGAGAAAACGGGAACAUACAUAAAAUAUUAUAGAUAAAUACGGAGAGAUUGAUACCCUCCCCUCCCCUCCCCUCCCCAUUGCCAUCCCUAACGUACAUAACAUAUUAAUAACCCAUCAGUGAAAAUUACGAACAGCCAUUGUACAAGAGAAGACUGAACAGUUUCAGAGCCUGUAACGCCUCUUACGAUGCCCAAAUGAAGAUUGAAUUACAAACAGCUUUUCAUGCACAAUGUGGAAGCGCAUGUACAACCCUACCUUGCUGACGACGGCGAACGAAGCCGGAGGCAGCGACAGCGGAAACGACAGCAGCUGGAACGAGGAAGCAAAUCGAGAACGGCUAGAAGCUGCAGCGUCGGCACAUUGGUAAAAAUAAAAAAUAUCAAAAUAUUUAUAUUAUUAAACUUUUAGGCCUAAUUAACUAAUUAAAGUCCUAAAUUUUUAUUUAGGACAUUAAAAAGACUGGACAGAUUCUAUUAGCCCAAAACUUUUGUUCUAAUUUUAAUAUUCAUUAAAUAUUUUAAACUUAAAUAUAUUUUUUAUUUAUUUUUAGAUGUUAUAAUUGCCCAUAGCAAAUCACAAUUUUAAUAUCUAAUCUAAUCUAAUAUUUGCUCUUGAUUUGUUUUGACUUAAUUAUUAUGUUGUAAAGGGAAUAGUCUAUAUUUAUAAAGUAGACACGCCACCAUUGAAAAAUUAAUUUUAGAUCUAAAUUUGAUUUUAUUUGUAACAAUUUUGUAUUAACCUAUUAAUUUGUUCAUGAUAGUUUGUAUCCCUUGCAUGCUGCGUUACUUACUAAUUUAGUGUAUAUGACUUUUGUAAUGGAUAUUAAUAUAAGAUAUAUUUUGAAUUUUACUUUUAUUUAAAUUUAUUUAUUUUAAUAUGAUUAACUCAAAAUAAAAAAUAAAAAAAUAUAUUAAUUAUUUAGAAAUCGAGGACCUUCAAAGAUCCCCUGUUAUUAUUCGAAAAAGAAAUGAGAAUUCUCUUAAAUAAUUUUGACGAAAAUAAAGAGAAAACGGGAACAUACAUAAAAUAUUAUAGAUAAAUACGGAGAGAUUGAUACCCUCCCCUCCCCUCCCCUCCCCAUUGCCAUCCCUAACGUACAUAACAUAUUAAUAACCCAUCAGUGAAAAUUACGAACAGCCAUUGUACAAGAGAAGACUGAACAGUUUCAGAGCCUGUAACGCCUCUUACGAUGCCCAAAUGAAGAUUGAAUUACAAACAGCUUUUCAUGCACAAUGUGGAAGCGCAUGUACAACCCUACCUUGCUGACGACGGCGAACGAAGCCGGAGGCAGCGACAGCGGAAACGACAGCAGCUGGAACGAGGAAGCAAAUCGAGAACGGCUAGAAGCUGCAGCGUCGGCACACUUGAACGGAAGUGAGCGGCGGCAGCGUGGGCGUGAGGGAGGGCGUUUGUUAGUUUAGGGUUAGAGAAAGUAGACCGCGAGCGCUGGCGCGGGCGUGUGCGUGAGCGGUUGUUUGCGGCGGCAGCGGUUUCAGUGAGUAAAUGCGUCGCUCUCUCGAGGAGAAGUCAAGAAAAAGACGGGAAUUUUUACGAUUAGUUCAGGUUUCGCCGUCUUGGUGUCUAAGUUAGACGGUCGGCUCAGACGGAUUGGAUCGGAUUAAAUACGGAUCGGUUCAAAUUCGGAUCACAGCGAUUUGAACUACACUUUUUUUAUAGAGAAAUUGAAUUAAAUAUUAAAAACCAAAGAAUCCAAAGAAAUAGAAUAAGGCGCUGUUUGUUUUUUUUUAAUUUAAUGAUUUAAUUGAUUUAAUUUUAAUUAGUUAAAUCAUUAAAUUUUUUUUUAAACUUAAAGAAAAUUUUCAGCUAUUAAAUCAUUAAGUUAUUAAAUUAAUUUUUUUUUAAUUUUUGUUAAAUUUAAAAAGUUUUAAUGAUAUCAUUAAAAGAUAUUUUUUGAAAUAUGCUUCUCUAAUUAAUUAAUUUACAUCCUUACCUAAAUAAAAUUUAAUAAUUAGCAUUAUUAUCAAUAUCUAUCUUCAUAAUUUUUUAUGAAUGAAAAAAAUCAUAAACUAUAAUAAAAUUGAUUAACAUAUAUUAUAUAAACUAUUAAAGAGUUGUAUUCAAUUGAAUAUGAUUUAUGUUAUAAUAAUAUAUUAUCUUAUUUAUAUUUUUUGAUAUGUUUAUUAUUUAUUUAACAUUUAUAAUUUGUAAAGGCAUAAAUGUAAAAAUAUUAUUUUUUAGAUUUUUUAAGUUAAAAAACUUAAUAUUUAUUUUUAGUGAUUCAGAUAAAAAAAACAUAUUAUUCAAAUUUACCUCAAUUCAAAAUUUAGACUAAUUCAUGCCUAUUUAGAUUUUAGACAAAAAAAAUAAACGCCACCUAAAAGGUAAGUUUUUUUUAAUAUGAAAUUAGAAUAAAUCUAAAUUUGUAUAAAUUCUUAAUAGUGCUUUUAGUCUGAAUCUGAAUUACAUGUUUAUUUUUUGUUUGAAUUUCUGAAAAUAAGCACCAAUUUUUUUUAAACUUAAAAAAUUUGAAAUCAAGUAAUUUUACAUUUACGUCCUUAUCCAAUCAUAAUGUUAAACAAAUAAUAAGCAUUUCAAAUAAUAUAAAUAGUAUAGUAUUUUAUUAUAAUGUACAUUAUGUUCAAAUAAAUACAAUCUUUUAAUAUUCUGAAUUAGAAUAUGUUGAUCAAUUUUAUUAUAGUUUAUGAUGUUUUAUAUUAAAAAUAUUCAUAAAAAUUUAUAAAGAUAAAUAAUGUUAAUUUGAAGAAAAUGAAAAAAGAUAAAAAUAAAAAUAAUCUCCCACUAUAGGUAAAAGCUCGUUUAAUCUCUAUAUUUUGAGAUUAAUGUUCAUUUAAUCCCUAGAUUUUUAAAAGUACCUCAAAAUAUCUCUGCUGUUAAAUUAUUGACGUCCCUACUGUUACUUCUUUUUUUUUUGGUUUGUUUUUACAAUAUUACAUUCUUAUAAUAAUGUUUAAUUUUUUUUGGACAUUAAUAAAAUAAAUAAAUUACCAAUAUAAAAUAGAAACAAAAAAUAUAUAUAUUAAUUUUUGUGGAACACUAUGCUAAGGAGUUAAUAUAUUAAUUUUUUUGUUAAUAUCCAAAAAAGUAGUAAUUAAUUUUUUUUAGACAUACGUGAGCUUUGAAAAAAAUGAUUAUAUAUUCUUUUGUUUUUAUUUUAUUUUCCAAGUUAAAUUGAUAAUUAAUUUUUUUUCUUUUUAUCAAUGUGCCCCAAAAAAAAGAGUAACAAUGUAAAACAAGUUAAAAAGAAACAAAAAAUAACAACAUGGUAUCAAUAGUUUAACAACAAUUUAGGAAUACCAAAGACCUUGUUACUUAUUUAUUUUUUAUCCGAACCACGAGGUGAUCCUGAAUGGACUCGUACAAAGACCUUGUUAUUUAUAAUAACAUGGUAUGAUACCAUGAUUAAGCACUUAUUGAAAAAGCAACUGUCUAGGAGUACCAAAGACCUUCUCAUUUAAUAAACCUAGUAUCUUCAUAUAUUAAAGCCUUUAUGGCACCACAUUGUCAUGUUUGCUAUUGGCUUGGUGACUUUUGUAGUUGUGGUCGGGCUAGAGGAAGAACUUUAUGCUAGCAAUUCAUUAUUCUACAAGCAAUGAAGAUCAAAAUUUCAUGUGACAACUUUGAGAUCAAAUGAUAAAUCGGCUAUAUUAAGCAUCUUGUUAGUUUUUAUAUAUUAUUCUCUAUUAUUAAUCUAUUAUUGUGAAUUCGUGAUAAACCUUGAAACUUAAGGUAUUUUUUAUAAUAUAAUAUAAUUAUCAUUAUAUAUUUAACGUUCAAAUUUAAUAAGGGUAGAAAAUGUGAAAAAAUUGACGAGCAUUUUUUAAUGGUUUUCCAGCAUUUUCUCUCAUCACUUAGAGUUUAAUAUCAACUUGGAGUUUUAUUCUCAUUAAUAUUCAAAUACAUAUAUCUAUUCUUAUUUAAAAAAUACAUAAUUCUUGUGGGACUCUAUGAGGACAUGGCUGCUGCUGGACUACAAACGCAAGUAAUGACUCUUUUAAUUUCAUAUCAUUCACUUGGCCUUCUCUUCCUUUUUAAUAUAUAUAAAGAAAACAAAUGCAUGAUUGAAUUUCAUACACGUUAAACUUACGGGAAUCCCAAAGAACUAAAAUUUUCAAGCUUUUUUGGCUCCAUUGAUACAACCAAUGAACCAACAACCGUUUUCCUGAACACCACCUAACACUACGGAAAGCACUUAACACUUACCUACUACUCUUCUUCUUCUUGUGGGAGACCCUGAAAAAAGUACAAAUUCGUUCACAGUAGAAAGGACGGGUUUCAACAAAACUGAACUAGUUUUCAACAAACUGUACACUUAUAACAACAACAUAUAAAACAAAAGAAACACUCAGUCCGUUAUUGUUACAAUGCAUUAAUCUUUUAUGAGUCUUUUUGUUUUAUUUAGCAAUGACGCCUAGAGGAUUUUUGGGGUUAGUGAUUUUGCUUCUGGCCAUAUACUGUGGCCUCGACCCUUUGAAGCACAGUGCGAUUUCUGAGUUCCCUGACUUUGUGUCUCACAGAGUUGACAUGCCGCCGUGGUCACUGAUUCCUACAGUGAAAGAUGACAAGAACUUGCUUCAGAAUUCGGAAAUCAAGUUCUUGAACCAAAUUCAGGGCCCCGAGAGCAUGGCUUUUGACCCUCUUGGCCGUGGACCUUAUACUGGUGUUGCUGAUGGCAGAAUUCUCUUCUGGGAUGGCCUUAAAUGGACUGAUUUUGCUUUUACUUCCAACAACAGGUCAGUUUAUGAUCCUGGGUUGUGCCUUUUUUUACUGGUUUUUUGGAUUUUUUUUGGGUGAUCCAUGUGAUUUUUAUGGUCACCGAUACAGUACAAUUUAGAAAAUUUAAUUUUUUGUUUUCUUUAAGGGAUCAAGAUCCAAGCCAAACCAUGGUUUAAUUUUUGCUUCAUUGAUAUUUUGGAUGCAUUUGAUUUUAGUUAUACAUGAUAUAAAUCAUUAGUUUGUCUUCUUAGAAAGCGUUGCAGGGGUUUACUUUUGACAGUAUAUUUGAUAUCGUUCAAGAAAACUUAUUUAGUGUCAAUCUGAUUCUUGAAAAUUAAGUUUAUCUUAAUACAAUUAAGCUUCAAGUUUCUUGGUCUGCCGAACGGUGAAUUGAACUAUUAAUUAAGUUCACAUGUAACUUGGCACCAUCUGAUUUAAUUCCUCAAGUGAAGAGUGGGUUGAAUUUAGCUAUGUAACUGUCCUUGUUUCUUCUAAACCAUCUGAUUUCCAUUGGCAAUUCUGAGAUACAGGUCGGAACUAUGUAAUCCGAAACCAAUUGCCACGAGUUAUCUGAAGAAUGAGCACAUCUGUGGCAGGCCUUUGGGGCUCCGAUUUGACAAGAAAACUGGUGAUUUAUACAUUGCAGAUGCAUAUUUUGGUCUGAUGAAGGUCGGUCCAGAAGGUGGAGUGGCAACAUCACUUGCAACUGAAGCAGAAGGUGUGCCACUGAGGUUCACUAAUGAUCUAGACAUUGAUGAUGAAGGGAAUGUUUACUUUACUGACAGCAGCACCAAUUAUCAGAGGAGGUAAGUAAAUUACUACUCCUUAGCAAGAUUCUGAUAGUUAUAAUUUUUUUAUUGCCACUAUUAUAUUAUAACAAGCAUCAAAAUAUAUUUUUAAAUGGACAUCACUUAUAGGUUAUUGCAAACGUGGAAAAGGGAAAAGAAAUGAUGCAGUCAGAAAGACCAUUGUUUUAGACUUUUAGCUAGAGCGUGCCUAACGCUAUAAGUUUAUUAAAUAAUUUAAGUCCCUUUUCAGUUUGCUGCCAUUGUCUGGUUAUUUGCUGAAAUCACUCAUAAUAUGAAACAAGAGGACUUCCUAACUUUUGGUGUGCAUCUUUGUAUGGUACACAAAGUUCACAACUUUUUCUGUUGCUCAACCUGUUCUCCUUCACAUAAAACCAUAGGCAUUAUGAUGCUAUUCUUUUGCCAAAAAAAUGUCAUGUUUUAAAAUCUUUAUCCAACCCUCAAUUGUACCAUAACUUUAUUAGAUCCCAACUUUGUUGCUUUAUAAGAUUCUGAAAGCAUGAAAUGACCAUAAGUUGAAAGACGAGACAUAAUAAUUAACUUUAAGGCAUCCCAAUGCUGUAACUCUUCCUAUGUAACUUAUAGCAGACAUAAGGAACCAGUUCUUGAAAGAGAUUCCCUUGUUGUCAUUGAUGCCUAUCCACUUUUACUUAUGAUACUGAUAAGAUUUGAAAGGCUUGGUAAGGUCUAUGAGCAGUUAUAUGUGGAAAUUGAUCUGUUCACAUCUUCCAUUACACAUCCAGGCAAAUGCAAAAGGAGAACAUACCUUUGCAGCUUUGCUCUUCCCUCAAUGAUCCAAGUCCUAUAAAGAUCACAAGUUAGCUAAUAUCUUUCCAAUUUCUUGCAAUUUUAAAAUUAAUCAUGAUUAAUGUGUAAAAGAUGAAUUACUUUGAAUAGGAAACAGAGGAAGUGAAGGUGGCAUUUUCUUGAAUCCUAGUUCUUGACAAAGUCAUUUUGUUACAGUUUCUUUGGGUCCGAAAUAUUGAUGAAGUUAUUUCUUUCCUCCAAGUGUUUUCUAUGACCAGAAAAUCUCUGAACUUCUUAUAAUUUUUUGCAUAACUCUAAAUACUUUCUAAGUCCAAAGAAAUUACUUCGAAGUAGAUAAAUUAUCUGAUUUUUUUUUUUUAAGGUCUCAACAUUUGUAAUUGACAAGUUAUCAUGGGUAGCUCUGCACAAAAGUUAAACCAUGGUCUGUUCUUCAUGUUGCUUCAUGUGAGAUUAUAUGAUGUGGACAUAUGGUUGUAACGUCUUCCUAUUCUUUUCCUUUUUUGCUUAUUUUGUUCCCAUGCACGAUUGCGGUGCAUUAUUUCUGACAUCGUAUUAUCUCUCAGGAAUUUCAUGCAGUUGGUUUUCUCUGCAGAAGAUACUGGUAGGGUUCUAAAGUAUGAUCCAACUACAAAACAGACCACUGUCCUUUUGAGGAAUCUUCAAUUCCCUAAUGGGCUUUCCCUGAGCAAGGACAAAUCCUUCUUUGUCUUUUGUGAAGGAUCUGUUGGCAGGUAAUGCUUCUAGCCUUCAUAUCUGAAAUACAUGCAACCAUUGCAUUGUUCAGACUUUUCCAAUGAUAGUUCCUUGUACAGUGAUAAGACCAUAUUAUGAUGUGGUCUACAAUUGCUAGUUCAUGCACUAAUGCUGUAACCAGCAAGCUGAUUUAAAUUCGAAUCUAAAAGUGAAUGGUAAUGUAGCUUCGUUGGAGGCCAUAAAAUCUGGUGACUUAGAAAAGGAAUUUGCCCGAGUUGGGAGAUUGUACAGAAACAUAUGUUUUUUUUUUUUGAUGAGAAAUACAGAAACAUAUGUUUGAUCACUUUAGAAAAGAGGUAUUGUUGAUUUCUACUUUCACAAGAAUGCUCUUCAGCACAAUUGUUAGGUUGUCAACGAAUACUUGGCAGACACCAGUAGUUAUAUUGAAUCAUUUCAGGAGCCACCCAAACUUUGCUUUACUUUUACUUAUCAAUGUUCAUUUCAUCUGUUGAUGCAGAUUACACAAGUACUGGUUGAUAGGUGAGAAAGCGGGUAAUUUAGAGGCAUUUGCCAUCUUACCAGGAUAUCCUGACAAUGUCCGCACAAAUGAAAAGGGUGAGUUUUGGGUGGCGAUCCACUGUCGGCGGAGCUUGUACUCUCAUCUGAUGGCUUUAUACCCUAAAAUUAGGCAUUUCCUGCUCAAGCUCCCAAUUUCAGCCAAGACUCAUUACCUGAUUCACGUUGGGGGAAGGCUUCAUGCUAUGGCUGUCAAAUACAGCCCAGAGGGAAAGAUUUUGCAGGUAUUGGAGGACAGUAAGGGGAAGGUUGUUAAAGCAAUCAGUGAAGUUGAAGAGAAGGACGGGAAGCUGUGGAUGGGCAGUGUGUUGAUGCCUUUUGUUGCAGUUUAUGACUUGUCUUGAGGUAGAAGCACGUCUAUUUAUGAUUAAAAGCUGUUGUUCUUUACGCUGGAGGUAGAUAGAUCCUUUUAACUGACUUUCUUUAUUUCCUGAAAGUAUCGAAAAUGUUACGCGCAGGGCAAGAAUUUCUUCUUAAAGAUCCCAUAGAUGGUUGUUCAUCUUUUCGCCCUUUGCUUGGCACAAUGUUUUUAAUUAUUAAUCCAAUUACCGGCUCUAUUGAUGAAAUAGUUGCAUGCAGCAUUUCAAACCCUUAGAACUCUCGAUUACCAAAAUGCAAUUGUUUAUUCAGUUUGCAGUGGACUAUAAAGCACAUUAUUGAGAAGGAUAUAAUCGGUGCAAUAUUAUAGGGAGACGUUUUCUUUAAUUGGUCCUAUACCAUCAUCAGUGAUUAGCCUAUAUCUUUGAAAUUGUCUAUGCCCGUGCGAGUUGUGCUAGAUAAGCCAGAAAUUGCAUCCACUAGUUUGAAAACUCGAAUUAUUUUCUCGUCAAGAUUCAGCUUGUAUGUAGCUAUACAACUGUAUAUUUAGCUUUGCUACUAAUAUAUGCCCACUUCGCUCUAUCUAUUUGUUUCAAUACAUUUGUAUUCUAUAAGAAUACGAGUGAUUUACACGCUUCAGAAUUUCCCUUUGGACGCCUGGACGGUGGAUUGUUGAAUGCUGAGAUUUUGGUGCGCUUGAAAUUUUGGUAUAUGCCAUUAAGAAAACAAAAAAAAGAGAGAAAAAGAGGAGACUUGUUUAUGGUAAGGACAAUGCAUUCAAUGCAACAUUAAAAAGAUUGGCAUUAUGUGCUGCCAUAUGCAAUUUGUAGCACCAUUUUAGUUUGAUAUUUUUGGAUCCAUAAUUAAUCCAAAAGAGUGGAGCGACAGGCACCAUCUAUUAAUCUACUAAAACUCCUUUUCUAAACAUACUCCAUGAAAUAAUCUAAAGAGUGGAGCGAUUGGCACCCUCUAUUAAUCUAUUAAAACCCCUUUUCUAAACAUAAUGCAUGAAAUAAUUUAAAGUUUCAUAUUUCGUCUGUUAACACCUAAUCAAUUUCCACAAAUAACCCCUAUCACAUUUGCCCAAAACCCCAUCUCCAUCUGUCUCUUUCUUGGGCUUGUUUCAGCUCUCAAGUCUCAAAUAUCACAUGAAUAAAACAAAUUCGUCUCCUUUCUUUAGUAGUUAACUUUGUUGAAAUUUGUCAGUUGCUCAAACUUCUCAUAUAACCUUGACAAUUUUGAAAAUUCACGGCGAUAAAGAAGAAAGAUCAACAUAAUGUAGCGGCAGAAAUAUUUGGGUGGUCUAAUAAAUAAACUGUAAUUUGUUAUAUUGGAUUCUAAACUUAUUAAUUAUAUUGUAAAUUUGCCAGUUCCCAAAUUUAAUAUAUUUUUUUUCUAAUUGUACUGGAAUUUUUCUAUAGAUACAAACAAGUUUUUAUUAACUUCUUGAGAAGUAACAAUUGUAAGGGGUGUUGAUGGCAGAUCCUGACCAUAGUGGAAAAUGCUUCAAUAAUAAAAAAGAUUAAACUGCUAGCAAUAUAAUUAAAAGGAUCUCGUUACGUUACGUUAAAUGUAACGUACAUCCACACACAACAACAAUUUUUAAGGUGAGACCCAUUAUUAUUGCUAUGUGUGACGUACGUUACACUUAACGUAACGUAGCACCAGCCUAAUUAAAAUGGUGUCAUGAUUAAUUAAGAAACUGCUUUGAAAAUCUUUUACUAGUUUUUUUUUUGUUGAUUUCAACAUCGAUGGGCGGUGUACGGUCGUGUAAAAAGAACUUUUUGCGGAUGAAAAUGACGUACAGCAGGUGAAAAGUAGAUGAUACAUGUGUAGAUUUUGGCGGAAGCAGACAUACAAUGCCAAGAACUUUUUGAAUUUUUUUAAAAUAUAAAAUUUGAUUAAAUAAUUAACUUAAACUAUGGAGACAAAAUAAAUAUUUACUCCAAAAAAAUUAUUUACACUCACAAGUCAAAAGAACUUGGAUUACAUUUACAGCCUUACAGCUACAAGCUUCCUUUGCAGUGGUGGCUAAGAACGUGGACUCGGCCUACUGGGGUCUUGGGCUCAACUUGCUUUGAACCAUUAAAUCAUAAACCAUUGUAUUUUAAAAAGGUUGUGAUCUUUUAUCACUAUUAACACAAUGCAAUUAAUAAAUAAUAAUUAUAAAAAAAAGGCAGGGCCAUGAGCUCCUGUUUUUAAAUACAAUUUUUUACAUAAAUUUCAAUCUGUAAAUAAUAAUUAAUUCAAUAGUUAAAAUUACUAUUCAUUUAAAUUUCUUUAAAAAAGGAAAAUCAAUAAAAAUUAAGUCCCACCAAAUUAAUAAUAUUAUUCUUUUCAUUUUAUCUUCCUUUUUUCUGGCUUAUUAUUUUUUUACGCUCCUUAUUUUUCUUCUCUUUCCCAUACAAUCUUCUGCACAAGUACUUCUUCUUUCUGAAUAAGUUUUAUUUCUUUUUUCUUUGUAACAUGUAAUUUGUGUUGGACCAAAAAUAAGAUAGAUAUAGUUGAGUCCUAAAUAAAUUUAGUUCUUAUAAAGCCCAUGAAAAGGUGGGUAGACCUCCUAGGCGACAAAGUUCAAAGUCCAAAAGAUUCUAAAGUUCUCGAAUAGAUUUUAUCCUAAGACAAACCGUGCUUCUAGUAAGACCUCAAGGUUCAAAAGGUUCUAAGGUCUUAGAAUCCUAUUAUAAGACAAAUCAUUUAGGAUAAACCAUCUAGGUGACAAGGCUUUAAAAUGCAAAAGGUUCCGAGGUCAUAGGUUCUUAUUCUAAAAUAAACCAUCCAAGAUAAACCUCUUAAAUUCCAAGAAUCAUAUGAUCGCAGAGUCUUACUAAAAACAACAUAAAGUUAAAACACUUCUUCUUUUAAGCCAUAGAAAAGCUUGUAUAUUCAUGUGUCAAUCAACAUAGACACAAGAAAACAAGGAUCGCUAGAUGUCACAAGAACAAUGACAUUUGUCAUCAAAGUAAUUAGAACUCAAGUUAAAUCAAUUUUGCCUAUAAAUGUGCCCUCCAUUCUCACUAAAAAGUGUAAAAAAAAUGGACUCAAGAGGGGAAAUGCUGAAUUUUUUUCUCUCUAAAUUCGUAUCUCUAAAAAUUAGGUGAUUGACUUGAUUGUCGAAGACUUUACACUAGCAAAGUCGGCCCUCUAACCCCUUUUUUUGUAUUUGUAGAGUAUCAUUGAACAAAGACAUAUUUAUCUCUUAAGGAAGUGGGCUAAGAGGAAGAGAUCCAAAGGCCCAUUAAGAACAAGCCAAAGGGUAAAUUCAUCGUCGUCAGAUUCAACAAAGAGGAAACCAGUCCUAAGGGGGUCAUCCUUGGUGAAAUUACAACGUAAGAAGUUAGGAUAAAACUUGCACCAGCAGAUUUAAGUGGUUUGUCUUAUGAUAGAAUCUUAAAACUUUAGAACCUUUUGGGUUUUGAAACAUUGCUACCCAAGCGGUUUAUCCUAAGUAGUUUUACCUCUUCAUGAGUUUUAUAAAGACUAAAUUUAUAUGGGUCCUAGCUAGGCCUAUCUUAUUUUUGGUCCAACAAUUUUUAUAUAAUAGAUAUAACAAAUAUAACUCACACUUUAGUAAGAGGGUUUUUUACAUUUUCUUAAAAUCAAUUGGCACAAUUAGGGAUGGCAAACAGCAAGCUUGGGCCGGGUUCGGGCCGGAUUUGGGCUUUAUUUGUUUAUUUUAAACUUUUUAAAUUAUUGUAAAAUUGAAAUAAAUUAAUGAUCAACAAGUUAUUACAAUCAUAAAUAAAUUAAAGAAAAUGAAUAUUUCAAAUUAAAAUAAUAAAUAAAGUAAAUAAAAGCUCAUAACUUUAAUUUUCUUUAAUACUGGAUUUUCUAAUUCAAACAUUCUCUUAAUUAAUUGACACAAAAGAGAGAAUUUAAUAUCAUAAUUUUAGCUUUUUUGAAUUAUAAUUGAUUUAUAAGUUAAGAAUUUAAAUUUUUUUUUAAAGUCCUUUUCAAUUUUAAUUAUAUUAUUCUAAUUUAUAAAAUUAUUUUUUUAAAAAAAAUUGUGGGCAUGUGCCUUGUCUGGGCUUUUUUGCCACCCCCAGGCACAAUAUGAAAUUAGUGUAAUCACUUACAGUUACCGAUCCAAUUAUACAUAAUUUUUUAUGGAUUGGCAUAAGAAAUACAAAGAAAAUUAUUAGAGUAUAUAGGGACAGAAUUUAAUCUUUAUUCAGCUUUUAUCAUGUGCACAUCAUUUUUUUCCUACUAUGUACUUUAAAUUCCUUUAUCAUUUCCUAUUAAAAAAAAUAUUUAUUAUUUGUUUAUGAUAUAGCGCUGUCCAUUUCUUCUUUUAUACUUGCUGUCACUGAAAACUCCUAUGAGGAAAUAUGUGGAGAGAAUUAAGAAGAUGUUACUAAGAAUAGACAAGUAAAGAAUUUAAAAACGUUAAUUAUAAUUAGAAAGAAUAAUAUUAUUUAUUUUGUAGGGCCCAAUUUUUAUUAAUUUUUCAUUGAAAAAGAAAUUCAAAUCAGUAUUAAUUUUAGCCAUUUCAUUAAUUAUGAUUAAAAAUUUAUGUUAAAAAAGGGAACUCUCAAUUCUGGCCCAUAACAAAAUAAUAAUAAUAAUAAUAAAGAUAACAUGCUAAAUCCUUUAUCCAUUAAGCUUAAUUGGGAGCGAAUUGACAUAAAAGCCAAAACAUAAUUUGACUUUCUAUUCCCUCUUUCCAUUUUUAGUAAAUUAUUUUAGUUGUUAAGCAAAUCAUUAGUCCUCAACGACUACCUCUUAAAGGUUUUUUUUUUUUUUUUUACUGUUACGUUGGAGAAUUUAUCAUUUAAAAUUUAUUAUUAUUAUUAUUAUUAUAUAGAGAUAGGAUAAAUUAAAAGUUCCCACAGAUUUUCGAUCAUUUAUUAGAGUGAUUUAUGCUUCCAAAGUUGAGAUACAAAGUUUACAUCUUAAAUAAUAUGUCACAAUUCAAUAAUUUUCGUGUGUUUGAUAAUAUUUUUAUAAAAAUUUAUUUUCCAAUACCAACACUAAUAAAUAAAUGACACAUCACGUGCUUAUUUACUUUAAAACUCCGUGAUUAGUGUUAAAAUAUCGAACUGAACUUAUUAAUUGAUAAAUUAAAGGAAAAAAAAAAGAAGUGUUUAACAAUGAACGAAAAGAACAAUAUAAGUUGUUAACAUUAGAAAUUUCAGAUGAAAGAAACUAAUGAUACCUUAUAUAAAUAAAACGUGCAAAAUGAAAUUUAGGGGAUGGGGUCAUUGAGAUGAUUAAUUUUAAUCAAAUCAAGUAUAUCUAAGCAAAAUGUAAACAACCGGUAACGAUCACAUCAUUGUCUAAUACGAAUUUUAAACAAAAUGAUUAGAAAGAAUGUGAAGAAAUUUAAUCAUUAAUUUUGUGUAAAGAUGGGGACGAAUCGAAGCUGAUCAGCUAGUACGAGUCAAUGCUGAAUUCAACCGCACAAGUAAAUUGAUUGAUUGAUGGAACUUGAUGUGUUCGCGGAAAAAAAUAAAAAUCCAUAAGUUUUUCAAUGGCUAAAAAGGUUGGGUGAACUUUUGCUGUGCUUUCGAAUUAAGUUCCAUUAAUAUGUAGCACAUAAGUUUGUGGUACAUGUUUACAAAUUACACUAAAAACAUCUCCAAUAGGUGUUGAUUAUGGUGUAUAAACUAUUGGAUUUUAAUGAUUUUUUUUACAUUUUAAUAGAAUUAAUGAGUAAUAAUGUCUUCAAUCUUUUCAUUUGCUAUAUAUCUCAAAAUGUACAUGUAAUUUGAACAUCAAAUGACAUAUACAUUCUCACAAGAUUUUUUUUUAAUUCAUAGUAUUUAUAAAAUAUCGAAACGUUAGAUCUAUCAUCCGUGCACAAUAACAAAAAAUCAAAGCACAUGCGUGGUUGCGUGCUCUCUAAAAAAGGUCGAUUGUAACCUUUAAGAAGAAGGGUGUCAAAAUUUUACGUCGCUUCAUUAAAAAUGUAUAUAAGUAUGUAUUUAUAUAUAUCACUUUUCUCAAACAGUAUAAGAUCUUUUAGGUGAAUUUAAAAAUAAAAACUGCAAAUAUAGAUUAAAGUGGAUAAUUUUAAUCUGUGUGAAAUCAAAUAAUUUCAAAUAGUAUUAGAACUAGACUUCCCUAAAAUAAUUUCAAAUAUUAUUAGAGCUAGACUUCCCUCGAAUUGCGGGCUAAAAAUCUCAUAGUUUGGCUAGAGAUAGCAUACAUCUAAGACUUUUUCAAGGGACUCAAAAGAAAAUAUAUUUUGACAUACUCUAGAGUUUGUGUGGAGCUGAUUGAUUCAAUUGGUAAAACUUAUUUGAAGAUUAUACUAUGGGUUUGGAGUAAAAAUUCUAAUAGUGCAAUUUUUUUUUUAUCUGAUGAAAUAUUUUUAUAGUUAUAGGAUAAAUAAUUUCAUUGGUUUUAAACUUUAAAUCUUUAUACUUAAGUUAUCUAUAAAUUACUCCUAAAAAGUUGAAUAUUUAAAAUGUAAAUUAAUGAGGUAAACUAAUAAUAAUUGAGGCCAUUAAUAGGAUUAACACGAGGUUAAAAAGAAAAGAUUGUGCCACUAAUCCACUCCCCUAGUUACUGCAAUCUAUUAAUUUCACCAAAUAAAUGUGGAAUAACACUAAAAAUUUUUUACAAAAACUUAAAUAAUUGGCUUUACGAAAUGAAUUUGUGGAAAUGGUGGACGUAUAAUAUCCUGAAAUGCUACUUUUCACAUUCAAUAUGUAAUUUGAAUUUAUAAUAUGCAAUGACUCAAAAAUUGAGUCAAAAAAUUAUUAAAGAGUUUGAAGGUCAAGAGACCACCCAUGUCUUGGAAAUUAAACACCUUUAUUAAAUUUUAAUUACUACAAAGUUUCAAUAAUUAAUUCAAUUGUUACUCACUAAACCACACAACUAAUGAAAGUAAUUGACAAAUAACUAAAGUAUUUGUACGGCAACUGUCGGUAGAUUUUAGGAUGUUAAGAUGUUUUAAUCAAGAUAAAAAAAGAGAAAUUUUUCACUUUUCCACUUCCGUUUGGAAUCCGUUAAGGAAAUUAACGGAAUAUUGCUUAAAUGACUUUUUUACCCUCAAAUGUAAAAGAUAAUUUAUCCAUCGACCACUUGUUUUUUUUCGUAUUUUUUCAGAAAUACACAAUUCUUAAAUUUUUUUUUUGCUGACCUCUGCUCGAAAUUGUAUUGUUUUACACCUAUCCACCACUGUGUCGUUGUAAAAUGAUGAUUUUACCCUUAUGAUGUUAGCAAAGUUAUAACGGUCUCCAAACGGAAGUGGAAAAGUGAAAAGAAAUGUAAUUUCAGGUGGAUUCCAGCAAAACAAAAAAAAAGAAUUGUAUAUUUUUAAAAAAUGGUGAAAAAAUGGGUGGACGGUGGAUAAUUUCCCCAAAAAAAAUCACGCUGAGAAAGAAGGGAAGAACGAGCAAAAAGUAAACUAGAGAGAAAAUAAAACUACCCCAGAUGUUAUUCUUUCACCCCAUUCUAUUUCUCACAUUCAAGAAAAGAUGGGAUUGCUUAAUUAUAACAGAGGCCUGUGAAAGAAAUUAUUGAUAAAAUUUGAAAGUUUAAUGGAAAAUGUUUUGGGGUUUGCUGGGUAAAAUGUCGCAGUUAAUUAGUUCAACAUAAACAUUUUUCAUUUUUGUUUUAAUAUAAUUUAUUUAUCACAAACCCAAUCUAUAGAUACUAACCCUACAAAUACUACAAGCAGAGAACAACUAAUUCUCAUCAAAUGCUACUCGUGAGGAGAAUUCAAACGUUCUCUUUUUAUUUUACUUACGAUCGAUCUAACCAAAUGAAUUGUCUUAAGAGUUGCAAAAUCUAGCAUAGGGGUUUAAUUGUUUUAUUGUCUUUUAUUUUGUUUAAUAUUUUUGUUGGUCAAUAAAGUAACUGAAUUUUAAAUCUGAGUCUCUCUAUUCAAUCUUAAAUUGCGGUGAUACUGCGGGUGAGGCUAUUUGCUUUAUGUUUUUCUUUUUCAGAAUAUUCAUUUUCUCAGAACACUCAUUAUUUAAAUUUAAAGAACUAAAUUUUUACUCUGAAUACUCUAAUAUUUUCAAUAUUAAUUGCCUUAAUUUGAAUCAUGCGUGCCUUUUACUUUAAUUAAUUGUUUACGGGUAAAUAAAAUGUUUCAGCAUAGAUUUCAAUUAAUAUUCUUCCAAGACAUGCUUGUUUAUGCAUUUUAGAUUAAUCUUUUGGGCUUUAAUAUCUACAUAAUAGAUUAAAAAAUAAUAUUAAUAAUUAGUAUUCAUAACUGCUGCCAAUUAAUGGAAAAACUAAAUUAAAAAAAAAAUUGAAUCUAUAUUAUCAGGUUUAUAUUUUUAAAGAUCUGACUUUUAAUUUUCAUUCUUAUGAGUUUCAUGUCUGGCAAACCACACAUGGGAAGAAAAAUAAAAUAAUCUUCUUUGUUUUGUAUAAUAUAGCUUCUAAUUAGCUAUAAGAGAUCAAUUAUAUAAAAAGUUCAUGCAAUUUACGCAGGAGAUUCAUACAAAACUAAAGCGAAACAUUUAUUUCGGAGAUGUUAUUAAAUGCCACAUUCCAAGACAACAAGAUUAUAUGUGUGAUCUUAAAUUUUAUAAUCUAAAACCAGUGCUGACCACUUAUAGGCAAAAAAAAAAGGAAUUGUUCUUUUAAAAAAAAAAUUAUGUUCAUUUAAGUAAAGGACGCUUGGGUAAUAAAAUUUUUUAUUUUGAAAAUAAGGGUAAGGUUAUUCAAACCCACUAUAAUACUCAACAAACCCUUUUGCUCAAUAAACCCAUAAACAAAAUUUAAAAAUUUAUCUUUUACUCAAUAAACUCACCUACAUGCCAAAUAUACUCUUUAUAUAUACUUGAAAGUGAAAACCCUUUAUUGGUUACUCAAUGGUUCAUAAAAAAAUAUAAAACACCAAUUUCUUUUACUGCAAAUUCAUGGUAUAAAAAUAUUUUUUUCCCAUUAAUUUUCAUACUUGCAACAAUAAGCAACUAAAACAAUUUGAAAUAAUUGGUCAUUUGGGCCACUAAUUUUCAACAGCAAAGCACAAUUAGAAUAUGCAACAAAUGAAAAUUGGUAAUUAUUCAUGAAAAUUUUUAGCAAGAAGAUAUUUUUGUGGGUUUGUAGAAACUAAAAAGGUGGGUCGAAAGAUAAUGUUUAUUGUUUAUUUUUUAAAGUUAUCUAAUCCUUUUAGGCAAUUUUACAUUGGGGUAUUUUGAAAAAAAAAAUUUACUUAAAAUUUAGGUUUAUAAAGUAGUUUUAAAGGUUCAAAUAGCCUCACCUUUAAAAUAAAUGGGUAAAGUAAGGUUUAGAGUGUAAAUGACCUCGCCCUAUGAUGAAUUAAUUUCUUUUUACCAUUUGAAUAUAUCUUCAACUACGGCCGAUAAAAUGGUAGUCUAGGCUAUCAAACAUUUAAUGUUGAAGUUUCAAAUUUGGAUUUGAGUUAAGUACUAAGAUGACAUUUUUGCUAACCUUUCUUAAAAUGCAAUUAGUAAUUAUCGGAUAAAACUAUAAAAUUAAUUAAAUCUUAAACAUAUAUUGUUUUACCUGCAUGUAUGGCAAAAGAUUAUGAAGAGUUGAGUACAAAUUAGUUCAGUGCUGGAUCCAAAUCCUUCAAAUAGAAUGACAUAAAUAUAAUUCUCAAUCAAUGUAAUUGUGCAGGACCAAGAUUCUCUCUUUAUUUGACUUUAAGUUUCUUAAGCAAAAUACACGUGGAUGAUAGUGAUUAGUCGAUAAGAAUAUUAAUAUAUUUAAAUCUCAAUCUCAGUACUCUUCAUAAUAAACAUGUGACACGGCAUCUUUAAAAAGGGUAAAACGAUCAAACUCCCUGUAGUUUGUCAAAAUAUCUGAUUUUCUCCCUCACAUUUCAAAACCCUCUAUUGUUAAAAAAAUUGAUUUUUAUUAUCUUUUACUAUUUUACAUUAAAUAUGGUAAAAUUCACAAUUAAUCAAUAAAAAUUUUAGAGGAAAAAUAGUAUUCCUAACAAGUCAUAAACAAAUGAAUUUUGAUGGAUUUCUAAAAAUGGAAGGGGAAAAUAAUGAUAUAUAUUUUUAUAUAUAAUAGCUAAUUUUGAUCAUUUAUCUAAGCAUUAUGGCAAUAGCAAAGAACUCAUAUUAGGAGAAAAUACUAAGCAUUAUGGCAAUAGGGGUUUAUAACAUGAAUCCACGCUAUACUUUAUCAACAUAUAGCAAUGAUCAAGACCAUUCUAAUAACAUACACUUAUGGCAAAGAUCAAGUGCACUAUGUGAUGUAUAUGUAGUGAAAAUUAGAACAUUUGGCAAGAAUCAAGAACAUUAUAAAAAUGAAUUCCAAAUUAUAAAUCCCAAUUAGUAUUUUUCAAAUCGGACAAUGUAGCCAUUUUGAGUUAACUAAUAAGAGAUUUUUCUAUAUUGUCAACUUGGAUCUAGUUUCGAUUGGUUAAGAAUGUAUAGCAUUUAAAUUUUAGCCUCUCAAGCUCAGAUUUUUGCAUACAAUAAGGGUUAGAGAACUUUGUGACUAAAAUGUGAUUCGAUGUUGGUUUUACAUUUUGUUUUAAGACAAUAAGUCACACUUCAAUAAAGUUGCCUCGUUAGCGGAGGUUUAAAAACAAAAGGCAAUUAAAUUUUAAUUGUACAUUACUAUAAUUGGAUGCAUGGCACAGGAUUAUAAAAAUAUAAGUGUAAAAAAUCUGAAUGCUAGAUCCAAAUCAAGAAAUAUAGACAUUACAGAGAAAUCUCUUAUUAAUUAGUUAAAAAUGGUUACAAUAUCCAAUUUAAAAAAUAUUAACUAACUUUUAAAAUUCAGCUCACCAUAAAACCAAACCCCUCUCAAUUUCUACACCUCAAACUCAUUCAAGGUUGAAAAAAUUAAUAAUACAUGUAUAGAAAUUGAACUCCUCACUCAUGUGAGUAAAUUCAUCUCUGAUGACAAACAUUAAUCCCCUUAUGUCCAUAGUUGUUUUUUUCCUCUGAAUUGUAAACGUUAAAAAGGGGCCAGGGCAUUAAUAUCAUCGCCCCCCUCGUACGCUACAGAAAGCCAAGAUGGUUUAUUGAGAUUUAAGCGUUAGAGAUAGAGAGAUUUCACUCCCACCCACUCAUUUUCUCAAUCAUAGCAACCAAAUUUAAUUUACACAUACACAAAAAACACAACACAACAUACACACAAUCUCUCUCUCUUUCUCUCAUAAUAAUAACAAUAAUGAACCACACAUUACAAACAAAAAAUAAAAGAAAAGAAAACCCACUACUAUACAUAUACUCUCCCCUACACUUCACUCCCGAUCAGACUUGUCCUUUCAGAUUUUUUCCUUCUCUUUUUAUCACCAUUUUCUCCCUCUCUCUCUCCAAAUAAUUAUUAUUUAUACAUGAAAUCAAACCAUUUUGUUUUGUUUUCUUCUUCUUCUUCGUCUUUGUCUUUCUUUUAAUUUGUUCAAGAUUUGAUUGAUUGAUAAUAGAACUCUUGCGUUUCUAUUGUUUGUCGGUACACUUCUUGAUCUCCACUGAAACUAUGUCACUGGACUUGUCAUCUGAACGUGUUUGUUAUGUUCACUGCAACUACUGCAACACCAUUUUAGCGGUAUAGUAAUUCCACUGAGUUCUCUUUCUUCCUCUUUCUUUUCAUAUGUUUCUAUAGCUGAAUUCGGCAUCAAACCAUGUGAAUGGUGAGUGGUAACUUGCUUGUGGGGGAGAAUAUAUAAAGUGGAAUAUAAUUCAGCUGAAAAAGUUGAAAAUAUUUACUCUCAAGAAUGAUUUGGUUUCUUGCAAAGAUUUUUCUUGAGCCAUCGUGUUUCAUAUGGUUUCUUGAAUUUUUCUUGAAAAAUUUUCCCUCCUUGUUGAUAUUUUAUGAGAAAUUUACAAAUGGUUUUUUUGCUUCCGAAACAUGGACAAAAAAACCCAUUUGCAAAAGUUUAUACAUAUGUAUAUGAACCGGAAAUAAAGUCAUCCAGUAAUCCUUUUGAAGCCCUUUGAAGUUUGAUGAUUGAUCUUUCAUACUAGCUAGCAAAGCAACUUUUACAGAUAAGGUCAUGAGGUGUUGUGGCUGUAAGUCAAUAGAUAGAUGUUAGGGUUCUUGCAGAAGUCAAUGUAUAGGUGAAGGUAAAGCUUCUUUUUACUUUUUCUUAGUUUUGCAGAAGCAAUUGAAUCAUCUUUUAGGUUACAGCUAGCUAGCUAGCUGCAGCUUGUGGUCAUGAUUUUUUUGACGGUGGAUGCUUCUGUUGCUGCAAAUAUAGAUACUGUGAGCCACUGGAAGCACCAAAAUGAUCAUGAUCAUCAAGUUGUUUUCUUUUCCUUCUCUUUAAUUCUUGCAUCGAUUUGGCUAUCUUUUAAGUACAUCAAGGAUUGUGUUUCUUUCUUUAUAAGCAAAUUGUGGUAAUUGCUUUUUGCUUUUUAAAAUCUGCUUUCAUCAUCGCAUUUGCUAAACAACAAUCCUUUUGAAAAAUCAAUGAUAUUUUUUUUUAUUAUUAAAAAUGGUGAUCGAUCUUGAACACUGUACAAAUUAAAGGGUCAGUGAAUCAGUCUUCUCUGGUUAUGGUCUUUAUGGUUUCUGUUCCAGUCACGUCCCUUUCAUCUCUCUCUGGGUUUAUUUUAUUUUCCUUGCUUUUAUCAUCUUCCUUGCAGUGUCAGUCACAAAAGUCAUAAGAGAAUUUAAUUAAUUCAAAUAUAUAUAUAUAAAUGGUGAAAUAUCGAUCCUUAUAUAUAAUUGUAAUUACCCAAAAGAGCUAGCCCAAAAAUUAUCAUAAAUAACAAAUAUAUCGAGGAGAGCUAGCUAGAGCCCAGAGAGAUCUAUGCAUGCAUGAUACAUAUAUGGCAACAAAUGUUCUUGUCUUUUUAUUUUUUUUGGGGGUAAAUUUGUUGAGUUGAUAUGUUAACGCAACAUAAUUAAUAACCCUUUUCUAUUUUCAAGUUCAAUUCCUGGUGUGUGUGUGUGUAUUUUGUUAAAUUUACUGAGUUGAUAAGGUUACUUCUACUGGAUCUUAUUGUUUUGAGAAUAUAUUAAGCCAGAUCUAGGGACAAAAGUAAUUCAUCUUCUGAAUAAACCAUUUUUGCUUCAUUUAUAUGUUCGAUUAAUUUAUAAAAUGCAUGAUACAUAUAUGGCAGGUGAGUGUUCCUUGCUCAAGUUUGUUCAACAUUGUGACUGUUAGAUGUGGGCAUUGCGCCAAUUUGCUAAAUGUAAACAUGGUAUCUGCACUUCAAGCAGUUCCUCUUCAAGACCCUCAGGUAUAUAUUUAAUUAAUUAACAUUCUUAUUAUGCCUGGAUAACUGAAUUCUAUAUUGUACAUGUAUACAAGAAUAAAGAGAAAUAAUAAUGAAAAUUCUUUCUUUCUUUCUUUUUUUAAACGAGCAAUAAAGAAAGAUUUAUUAAGACAGGAGGAAUGCAUUUUUUUCAGUGAUUGAUCAGGUUUCCUUUUUAUGAUUUUCAUUGCAAGAGAUAUCAUAUGCUAGAUUUUUCACAAAAUAAUAACAAACAAUUAUAUAUAUAUAUAUAUAUUCAACUUUUCCUUGUUGGGGUCCUUAGGCGAAUUAAAUUACAGAAAUGCUUAAAACAUUAAAACAUGUUUUUCCCUUUUUCUUUAUUUAUUUACUUGUCUGCUGGAAUGAAGUUGCAGAAACAACACAUAAACCUAGAAGAUUCCAUUACUAAGGAUUGUGGAUCAUCUUCAAAAUGCAAUAAGUUUUCUUCAGCAUUUGAGACUGCAGAGCAUGAAACUCCUCGAAUGCCUCCUAUUCGUCGUUAGUAAUCAAUCUCUGAUCUUUAAUUAUCUCCAUUAAUUUAUUAAAUUAAUAGCUAGGCCUCACAUACUAAAGUUAAUUUAUGGAUAUUUUUAUGUGCAUGCCUAUUAUUUGAUCUUAUAGUUUGUAGUACUAUUAGCAAAGUGCAGUACGUGGAACAAAAAGUUUAAAUGCAUAACCAACAAACAUAGGCUUAAUUUAUGAAAGGCAUGUCAACUCUGGCAAAAGUAAAUAAAUAAGCAAAAGCUGAAUCAUUUCCAGAACUCAAAUCUCCAAUAUUUGUUAGAUGAGCAUUUGAUUUUUCUCUCCGUUCAUAUAUGCAUGGUCCCAUUUGAGAUGGUGACUUUACAUUACAAAUUUGAGUACUCAUUACUAACUAUAUUGACAGUGCCAUCAAACAUCAUAAACAAAAGAUAUUAAUUAAACCACAUUAUUAAUUACCCUAGAGCAUGUAAAUGUAAAGUCAUAAUUUUAGAACGAGAAACGAUAUUUAGACAGAAAAAUUAGAUAGAACGCUAACAGAAAUAAUUGUACACCAGGCCCGUUAAUAGGACUGGUGUACUAUUAUUUUUAUCUGUAUUUUGUUAGCUUUUAGUUUCUUUAAUAUUUGUCUCUUUCAGCUAAUUAUUUUUUAACAUAUUUUUCUAAUGGACAUGGCAUGAUGUCUUUGUACACUCUGAAGAGUGCAGAAUAGCACAAAGACUAAACAUGGCUGUCAACAUAAAAAACACUAGGCUUCCCUUUUGAUAAUUUGGGUUUCUGGGCUUGAUGUGGCUCAUCAUUCGUACAAAUAAUACUGUGAUAUGUGGAAUCUGAUAAGGAACCGCAAAUUAAAGCAAAUGAUGGACCGCUAGGUUUUUGACAGAAGAAAUGUUACUGACUCUAAGUUAUUUAGAUGAUGUUAUAAAAAUAGCAUAUGGUCACUAUGCAAGUUAAGUCUCCACUUCAAAUUUACUUCAUUUGUUUUCCAAAAUUCUAGGCCUAGCUAUAGGUCAUCACAAUAUUGCAUUUUCCGUAUUUGGUCUUCUAUUAUAAGUAAGCUCACUUGAGAUUCUGAACUGCGUGAUGAAUGAUGUAGCCCCAGAGAAGAGACAACGAGUUCCUUCUGCAUACAAUAGGUUUAUCAAGUAAGCUUCAAAUCUUAAUUUUAUAUAUAUUUUGCUUUGCUCCUUACUCUUUUUCUCUCUUAUUUAUUUAUUUGCAACAGGCUAAUUACUGAAUAACUCAGACUGUUCAAUUAAAUCUUGCCAUGUGUUCCUUUUUUUUUUUUUUAACUCUAUUACAUAUUGGGUCAAAUUAAAAUAAGUGUAUGCAUCAAAAUGUUUUUGGACAGUUCUACAGGCAAAUAACGUGGUGUGUUCAUCUCAUCUAUAUAAAUUUUUGUGGCGUAAUUAAAAUUGUUUUGAAAACAUUAAACAUAAAAUGUAGGAGGAUUAUCUUAAUCUUUUACUUUCAAACAUUAUGUACUACAUUAGAUUUAUAUAAGAAAUUAUUAGGAUCCUGAGUAGAUAAUUUUGUUAUGGUGUGAUCUCGAUCUGUGUCAAAAAUAAGUUGAAUCUGCUUUCAAAUUUUUGAAAAAAAGUCUUCCCCCAUUUUUGCAUAGAGGGGAACUUUAAUUUCUUCCCCACAGUGGUUUAUCGCCCUAAUAAUGGAUAGCUCCCAUGGUAGAUUUUGAUAGGUGUUUCUUAUUACUUUGCAGGGAGGAAAUCCAAAGGAUUAAGGCCAGUAACCCUGACAUCAGCCAUAGAGAAGCUUUUAGCACAGCAGCAAAAAAUGUAAGCUUGUGUUAAUUUAAUGUUGCAUAUAAUCAAUAACUAUCCACUGCCUUAUCUGAUCUUUACACGUUUAAUAUGGUUUGUUGGUCGAGUUUUUCUUUCUAGAGUUAUUUACAAUUAUAGUUUAUAAGUAAUCAUAUCUCCUUUAUGUUAUCAGCAUCAAUGUUGAAGCCAUACAACUAGAUUUAAUAGAAUGGAUGGAUCGUUGUAAGGAUGGGAAUUCUUUCUUAAUAUGAGCAAAAUAUUAAAAAAUAUAAUCUUGUGAUUGGUGGUUAAACUCAGAGAAUUCUAACUCAUUAUUGUAAACCCAAGACCGAAAACUCUUAUUAUUUUAAAAAAGUAGAGACUUAUGGAUCACCAAAGCUAUAACCAGUGAGAGAUGAGGUGUUAGGAUCAAUUAAUUAUGCUUUCUAUCUAUAUAUAUAUAUCUUCAUUCCUUCCCCUCAACGGCUCUCGUAGCUAGGUGCUUAAUCUUCAUGUAGCACCUUGAUUUUUUUUUUCCAAGGGAAAAUCAAUCUUGAUCUUGUAAACUUGACAUUGUCAUUUUUUUUACUUUUAAUUUGUUAGUUGGAAGUAAGUGUACUUUACAUGUAUACUUCCAAUUCGUGUCUUGACCAGAAAAAGAACAAAAAACUAAUAUUGAAGAAUUAGAUCGAAUUUCUCCAUUCCUAUAUUUUCAUUAUUAAAAACAUCUAAGCUUGAAAUUUCAAGCAAAAACUCUCUGUAAAUAAUUUUUCCAAUGUUUUUCGAGUCAGGAAUUUAACUAGGGUGAAUACUUGAAAGGGGUUACAGUUUUAUGGCUGGUUUUAUUAUGACAGGAGACUUUGAUUAAUUAAUGAGUAAUGAGUGUGAGAUUUACAUACCCAAAGUCUGAUUUAGAAUCUGACAUGUAAAUAUGAAAGUUAAUGUGAAGAAGUAUGCAUCUGGAUUAAAAUUGCAUUAUGUCUUGGAUUUUGUGUUGAAAAUAGACUAGCUCUCUUUCAAUCUAGUUUCUUUGACUGAAUCUUUGUUUGUGUUUAAUUAAGUCAAAUUUGUUAUGCAGUGGGCACAUUUUCCUCACAUUCACUUUGGAUUAAAGCUGGAUGGCAACAAGCAAGCAAAACUAGACAAGGCUGCAGCCUACGCAGAGGGCACUCAAAAGUCCAAUGGAUUCUACUAAAAACAUCUAUAUAAUAAGUAUAUGAUGUGAGUAGAUGCAUGCAGCUCGAAGCAGAAGUCAUAUAAAUAUUGUAGAAGCAUGCAGAAGCACAAGUCAUAUAUAGAGAUAUCUAUCCAUUGUCUAUAUAUACAUAUAUAUAUAUAUAUAUAUGCGCGUUCCGUACAAUUAUUGAAGAACUGAAUGAGAGGUUGAUUAAGUCUCCCAAUAACCAAAUUGGGGGAUGGCCUCUUGAAAAAUUGUCAACUUAAUUAUUAUGUGUUGUAAUGAGUGUAUGUGGUUCUCUGUCUUAACUAUUCGAGAAUCGGUUUUCUAUUCUAGUGAUUAUUGCAUUCAUAAGUGUUCGACUUUUGUCAUUUUAUGUUACAGCUUUAGUGAAUAACAUUCCACUGAACAAUGUGCAUUUGUUUUGAUCACAGUUACAGAAAUUAGAUAGCCACGUUUUAUACAGUAGAUAUCGGGAGGACCACUUAGCCAAUAUGAAUUUUCCACGAUUUGGUGCUCCACUUUAAAGGGAUUCACACCCCCCCAUUUUGAGAGUGGAUUUUUGUUAUAUGCCAUUGCUAUUUUCAAAUUUUUUUUUUUUUAAAGUAAAAAAAGCAUAAACCCUUAAAAAGAGGAGGUAAAAAGAGAAAGUCAAGAAAAUCUUUAAGCAAAACAAUAGUAGUAUUAAGCUCUAAAAAGCUCCAUCACGUGCAGGCUUCUUGGGAAAAAGAAAAAAGAAAUCCAAGCACAAAUAACAUGGAGUGAUUUGAAAACAACGACAUAAUCAUUCUGAUACUCUUUUCUAUAAUUCUUGUCACCAGUGGCCGUGCGAGAAAUACAAUACAAGGGGGAUUAAAUUAUAUAGCAUUACAAUUUAUUUUUUUAUUAUAAAAUAUCAAAAUUUUAAACUUCAGUAAUAUUGUUUAAAUUCCAGAAUGGCUUAUUUACACCUUUUAAUGGUUUAUUAGUUUAUCUAUUAAUAAUGAUACUUAGUCAUUGGUUAAGAUUUUCUAAAUAUCAUGUUAUUUAUCCUAUGAUGUAGAUUGAACUCAUUAGUUCGCUAGUAUUUAAAAUCUUGAAAUUACUUUGAAUUUCAUCAUUAAUUGUCUUAAUUUGAUAAGGAAAUUAACAAUGAAGGGAAAGAUAAGCCAAAGUAUAUAAUACAUAAAUAACAAAUCCUAACUUUUUAGAGAAGAAAAGAGGCUUUUAAGAGAAUUGAUGAUAAAUGACUUAUUAAAAUAAAAAUAAUUUUAAUUUUUUUUAGUCAGCAGUUUUUCAACUCCCUUACAGCACCACGUGGCAUGAAAAAGAUGACGUGAGUUAAUCUCGCUCAUAUAUGAGUUUGUCUUUGAUACUAUAUAAAAACACAUGAAGUUAAAUCAUUCUAAAAUAAACUUGUUUAUGAUUUGUGAAUUGUCUCAAUUCCAUCAUUAUUUUUAUCUAAAAAUUAUUCUUAACCAAUGUAAAAUAAUCUGUUUAACGUCAAUAAUAAGAUUAGUUAGAUGAUGGGACUACAACAUAUGUGUUUAAUUUUUUUAAAACAGAUAACAAAUAUUUGAUACAAGGCAUAAAAAUCAUGCAGACAAAUAAAUAACUUUGAUACACCAUACAUUGCAUUGGGAUGCACAAAAUAACUUUUAUAAUGCAUAGGUUGGCCUGUGUAAUCAUUCAAAUAUUCUUCACAGAUCACUGACUACACAAAUCCUUCCUUCCUUAUUAUAUAUUAUUGGGUCUUUCUUUUUCUUUUUCUUGAUCAAAUUUUAGCAGCCUUAGACCUGAAAAUCCUAAAGUUUCUCCUGAUUUUUUGCCCUUUUCAUUUUAAGGAGGGCACUUCCUUGAAACAAUACACAAACAACAUUGAAACUCUUUAAAUGGCGAAGCAAAAUUAUUCAAAUAACUAGUUAUCUUUACUGUGCUUGUCCGACGGCUAGACAUAUGACCCAGCUCAAGAAACAAGCAAAAAGAUCCCAAUUAGUUUAUUCGUUAAUAGUUCACUUAACUCAUUGCGUAUUUCAUCCUCAAAGAGAGAGUCAAAAAAAAAAAAAAAACUCAUUACCAAGACCUGUCGAUAUGGCAAUGAAUGAUAAUGCUUCAGUCACGCUGACGUGCUGAUACUACAACCCUAGCGAUGAUAAGUUUACUGUUUGUGUUGUACUGGCACUGUAGAACAUAAACAAUAAUGUUGUUCGUGCUGUGAUAUCUUCUUAGUGGCACAGUGUCAUAAACGACAUGUUCGAUUUUUACUUUCUUAAUUGGAAAAAAUAAAAAUAAAAUAAAAUCAAUUAAGUCAUUGUUUCGUCCUGCCAGCUAGGUUUUAGUCUGUUUUAACAUUUUUCUUUGCCUGUUACUUCAACAAGUUGAUGGUUGUCAUAUUUCUCCAACAUGCACGAAUACAUUCAUUCAUUUGUACUUGUGACAAAUGAACUUCAAAUCUUUUUAUGUAUGCUUUGGUUAAUAAAAUUUUCAGUCUGAAACAAGAUUCGUUACAGCAAUGGAUUCAGUAACUUCUUCUUACCGGAUACAAAGAAAUUUCGAUAAAUUAAUAAUCUUGAUUAAAUAAUAAAAUCUUCUAGCUCUGACUUGGAUCGAUGUGCUAAAUCAACAAUUCUACUAAAUGCGUAAAAUAGUUAUUUUUUAAAAAUCUUGUAGAGUCCAACAAAUUAAUCAAAUACUCAAAAAUUAGUAAUGAAUAAAAUAUAAAAUUCAUAACAUUAAGGAGUUUUUUUUUCACAACUUUAAUUAUAUGAAUUAUACUUUAUGCAAAAUAUGCACCUAUAAUUCCUUAUUUUUUCUUUGUUCCUAAAUUGAACUCAACAUCAUCCUUAAUUUUGUGUGAGUAUGCAGCACGUUUGGUGUGCUUGUGGGUGUUUUUGUGUGUGUGUGUGUGUGUGUGUGUUAAUGUAGAUUUUUUUGUGAAUACUUUUGUGUUUAUAUUUCUCAUUAUCAAAAACUUAUACAAUAGUGAUAUACAAAUUGAAUAAAGAAAGAAAGAUAUUUUAUAAUUAAAGUUUCCCAAUUAAGUUAUUCUAUUAUGAAUAGUAUAGCUAUUAGAGAAGAUGAUAUUAAUUUGAUGAAUUACUAUUUCUAUUCUUUUAUGAGUACAUACGUAAAUAUAUAUAUAUGCCAACAAAAUUCUUUUUGAAAUAAAAAAUAUCUUUCUAAGUUAAUAAUAAAUAUUUAUUUAUUUAUUAAUUAAAAAUUAUUCAUUUAUUAAUUAAAAAUUAUUCAUUUAUUAAUCAAUGAAUAGCUUUAUUAAAAAAAUAUUUUUACUUAGUCUUAAUAAUAUUAUUAUAUAGAAGUUUUGCUGUUUAUAGCGAGAAUGAAAAAUCAUGUGCUUGCAACCUAAAGAGGUUAGCAAAAUAUUCCAAAGUAAAAGAUAAUGAACAGUGAAGUGGAAUUUAUUGUCAGCUGGGAAAGAGGCUAAUAAGAGUACAGAAUCUGUAAUGUCCAAUCAUGUAGUGGGUGUUUUGGAAGUAAGUGGAUUGUUGUGUAUUUGGUGUCUUGUCACAAAAGAUCGAGGUGACUUUGUUUCUUUGAUGGGAGUGUCAUGUCACAUAUAAUUUACAAAGACGGUGAGGUAGCCAUAGGCUUUAGCGUUAGCGGCAAGGCUCUCUCUCUCUCUCUCUCUCUCCCCCCCCUCCCCUUGGCUGCAGCAACAGCAAUAGCAGACAAGCUUUGCUCAGUUAGUCAGUAAUGACAUAACCUUUUCUCGUUGCGAACAUCAAUGCAUCCUAGCUCUCCAUAUCCCCACUUCAUUUGCAUUUGCCCCACUUACUCUUUGCAUCUUUUUGCUUUCCAAUUUUUUUGUCUUCUUGGUCAAAUUCUUAAUUAUAUAUGUUAGAGCUUCACUUUUCUUUUCCUUUUUCUUUAAAGUUUUUGGAAAAAGGUGAUAUUCGAAUCAAACAUAUCAUUUCUUCCUUUACUAAUUUCUUUCAUCUUCAAUAUUGUGUCCAAAUUUCCUUGGAAAUUUUCGUUAUUGUUAGGGUUUUUCUAAAUUAUAUUUAUUGAAAGUUAUAUAAGUAGGUAAAAUAUGGUAAAAAAUGAGCAACAAAAUAGUAGAAUCAGCAAUAUACUAGGUCAUUGCAAAAAUUCAAGGUUUAAAGAAGAAUUUCAAAGUCUUUAAAGCACAAUAUGUCCCUAGAACAUGUAAUGAGUGCGCCCACUCUUUAGCUAUUGAAAAAUCUUAAUUUGUUGUUUGGGUCGAGAAAUUUCCUCAUGAAUUUUUGCAAGUGUUCACUUCGUUGAAUUAAUGAAAGUUUUACUUUCCCACAAAAAAAAAUAAAUAGUAGAUGAAUUUUGUUUAACUGUUGGUUAUAUGGAAUGUGACUUAACUUUAUUAUUUUAGACAUCUUCUAGCUACUAAAUAAAGGUACUUUAGAGAAUUUUCUUUGCUAUUACAAGAAAAUAAACUAAAGGUGUAUUUGGCAGCUUACAUUACACUACAUUUAAACACCGUUUUUAUGCUAACUCAAGUUCACCUACAAUGUCUAGUUGUAGGUGCGUGAAAUAAAUCCAUGGAGAAGUAAUGUUUAAGCUGAAUUGUUUUAAAAUACUAUUCAUAUUGUAUUAAGAAGCCAUCAUUUUUCUUUGAACAAGUGACACAUAGAUAUAUCCAUCCGCACAAGAUCAUAGCAUAUUGUUGGCAAUCCAUUUAAAGUUAUUGAAUGUAAAGAGAUCCUGCACAAUAUGAUGUAAAUCCUGCUAGAGAUUAUGUAAAUUAAGAGAUCCUUUUUCUUUGAACAAUUGACAUAGAGGUAAAUCCCUUUAGCCGACACUUUCGAUAAAAUUUUCACUAUUAUGAUCAAUCUGCUGUACCGUACAUCCGCCUUGGCCGUACAGCAGAAAACUAAUAAUAAAACCCUAAAUAUUAAUAAAGUUAAAUAAUAUUAAUUUAAUUUUUAUAUUAAUAUAAAAUAAAUAUUAUUUUAUAUAAUAUAGUCCAUACUAGACCAAGCAUAAUAUUACAUUACAACUUUAUACAAAAUACCUUAACGUAAGGUACCAUAAUGUAAUAUUGUUAAUGCAAUGCAAUAUAAUAUGUUAAACCCACCUUAAAAGUCUAAAAUUCAUUCCCAAUAGAAGUAAUAUUUCAUGAGUGGAUUUGAAUUCGAAACGUCUUGAACCAUUAAUCAACUAAUACCGAUGUAAUAAUCAUUGAUCUAUCCAAAGUUACCAACAAUGUAUUGUAUAUUAUUACAUUCCCCUUUAUAGACAACAAAACUUAAAAACUUUCCCAUUUGCUUCUUAAUUACUUGCAGUAUUCAAGAAAAAAAGUUAAGCAGUUCAUGAAGGAAUUAGUGAAGGAUACAUCCAUUUUGUUCCCAUUUAGCUUACAUUGUUAUUAAAGUAAUACUAAACUUAUUCAGUUGGGAUAUUUAUGUGUCAUUUUCUAAUAAUUAAUUAAUACUAUACAUCCGACAAUAAUUUACUGGAGGCACGUCAGCAGGAAUACAAUCAAUAUAUCUCGUCUAAUUUGGUCCUGUCUCCAGACAAAUUGCCAAAUUAGAACCAUGUAAUUAGAACCAUAUCUGACUAUCUGUGAUAUUAAGUUGGAUUUACACUAAUUUGCUUUCAGGAAUCAGCCCUGAGGACUACCGCUAGCCAGUAACAAAUUAACCUACAAUAGACUAGUCGUCAAAGCAAGAAAUGGACACAUAUAAUGUUGAUUAUGACUGAAGCUUAUGCAUUGAGUAAUUAGAGACUGAUAUGAAAAUGAAACUAUAGUUUAUUAUAGCUUGCUGCCUCUAUCAACUAUAUAUUCAAGCAAAAAUACUAACUAAAUGUGGUCCUUUUAAUUUAUAAGGGGGGGUCAAAUGCCCUUCACAAAAAGGUACUUAACAUAUAUAUAUGGUCCUACUAAUCACAGGUGUAUUGCAUUAAUUAGAGUCCGUUUUUCACUGUAUUUUAAUUUGAUCCUCACUUUAUUAUUAUAAUGAGAGCCUUCUGUUUUGAUAAUCAUUCUCUCUCUUUGCGCAUCAUAAAUAAAUAGAGUGGUGAAUUAACAACGAAAUAAUUUGAAACAAGUCCGUGGUAAAAUAUAGGAAGUCAAAACUUGCGGAAGAAAUCAUGCCAAGGAAAAAAAAAAUAGUUACCGAACAAUUUAUUGCUUUGAAGAAAGGCAAGGGAAGAUCUGAACAAAGACAAGUCAUGUUAUAUAGGUUUUAUGUCUACCCUUCUCUUAAAAAAGAAUAAAUUAUACAAAAAGAGCUAAUAUUAGCUAUUUGAAUAUUAAAAGAACCUGAGUUGAGAUCCUAAGAGAAAUAAAGACUAAAAAAUUAGUUUGAAUUCUAUCCACCCUUCCAUCUUAAAAAAAAAAUAAUUAUAUAAAAGAGAGCCAAUAUGUUAGCUAUUUAAAUACCCAAAACAUGUAUAUUUAGUUAGUUUAGUUCCAUAUUUUACUUUGAAAAGAAGGUAAUUCCAAAAAAUUAAUUAGCAAAUAUGAUUAUGUACAAAAUAAUUAAAAUAAUUGAAUCUUGUGAUGUUUACAUACAUUUAUCCAAUACUCUAAUGUCGAGUUUGUCUCUCUAACAUUACUAUUUAUAAAAAUAACCCAAUAAAUUACUCUUACAUAAGCAUUUAAAAUGAUAAGUUUUGUCUGCACAAGUCACAUUAAUGUUGCUGAUGAUGACUAUUGGUCUUGUUUAGAAACGAAAAGUAAAAUCAUUGGGAUUACGUGAUGAUUUGUAAAGUACAUAUAUUUGAUAAGAUUGAUGUGAAAUUCAUCUGAUGGAAGAAACCAAGUGUCUCGUUGUAUAGACACUAUUAGGGUUUACUUAUUUUUUUAUUAGUGCUUCAAACUUUCCUGUUGAAUUUCUCAUUGUAGUUGUAUCUCGACCAACACAAUUGAAGAAUACUACUGAUAAAACUUGCAUGAGAUUUUCAUUUUAAAUUGACCAUGUAAAAGGGAAGAUCUUCUUAUUUUUAUUUUCAAUGAUGAAGCAUUCUUACCUUAAUCUAUAUAUUUAUAUAAAGUUGGGACUACAAGAGGUGAUGUGGCAUCACUAUUUCUCAUUUUUGUACAUUCUCUAUUAUCUAAUAAAUGAAGAAAUUUUUUUUUUAAAUUUGACUUUUCAUCUUCUCAUAAUUAAUUUGACUGUUAUUACACAAUCAAUAUAUAAUAGUUCCAUAUAAAGUUGGGACUACAAGAGGUGAUGUGGCAUCACCAUUUCUUAUCUUUGUAUUCAUAUAAGUUGGGACUACAAUAGGUGAUGUGGCAUCACCAUUUCUCAUAUUUGUACAUUCUCUAUUAUCUAAUAAAUAAAUAAAAUUUCUUUCAGAUAUUUAUAUAAAGUUGGGACUACAAGAGGUGAUGUGGCAUCACUAUUUCUCAUUUUUGUACAUUCUCUAUUAUCUAAUAAAUGAAGAAAUUUUUUUUUUAAAUUUGACUUUUCAUCUUCUCAUAAUUAAUUUGACUGUUAUUACACAAUCAAUAUAUAAUAGUUCCUCAAAAGACUCAUUAUCUUCUCUAAUUGAAACUUUCUUGAUCAUAAAUUAAGCAAUAAUUUAUAAACAUUUUUAAUCACUCUUCUCCUCUGCCUCACCUUAAUUUGUAAAUAGCAACAAAAAAAUAUGAUAUUCCAUGUAAACAUAAACACAACAUAAAAGAACAAAAAAUAGCAAUGGCUCUAAACCAUGAAACAUUUUUAAUCACUCUUCUCCUCUGCCUCACCUUAAUUUGUAAAUAGCAACAAAAAAAUAUGAUAUUCCAUGUUGGGACUACAAGAGGUGAUGUGGCAUCACUAUUUCUCAUUUUUGUACAUUCUCUAUUAUCUAAUAAAUGAAGAAAUUUUUUUUUUAAAUUUGACUUUUCAUCUUCUCAUAAUUAAUUUGACUGUUAUUACACAAUCAAUAUAUAAUAGUUCCUCAAAAGACUCAUUAUCUUCUCUAAUUGAAACUUUCUUGAUCAUAAAUUAAGCAAUAAUUUAUAAACAUUUUUAAUCACUCUUCUCCUCUGCCUCACCUUAAUUUGUAAAUAGCAACAAAAAAAUAUGAUAUUCCAUGUAAACAUAAACACAACAUAAAAGAACAAAAAAUAGCAAUGGCUCUAAACCAUGUGUUUUUCAUUUUGGCCCUCACUUGCCUGAUUAUGGCAAAUAUUGCAAAUGCAACCAGCAUGAAUGAUUGUCUCAACAACAAUAUAAAACCAGGCUACGAUCUUGCAACAAGACUUGAAGCUAGCGGAGGCCUAACUAGGCCCUCACUUGCCUGAUUAUGGCAAAUAUUGCAAAUGCAACCAGCAUGAAUGAUUGUCUCAACAACAAUAUAAAACCAGGCUACGAUCUUGCAACAAGACUUGAAGCUAGCGGAGGCCUAACUAAGUGCUGGAACGCGUUAAUGGAGCUGAAAUCAUGCUCAAAUGAGAUCGUUAUAUUCUUCCUUAAUAGUUAGGCUGAUAUUGGCCCUGAUUGUUGCCGCGCUAUUGAUAUCAUUACUCGUAAUUGCUGGUCUGCAAUGCUCACCUCUCUCGGGUUCACUGCCGAAGAAGGGAACAUACUGAGAGGUUACUGUGAUGCAUUUUCUGCUCCUUCUCCAGGUGGCCUCGUGGUGAUAUAUCAGCCUCAGGUUUUCAAGGUUUUGGGUUAGACAAGGUGCAUUUAUGGCACUUCUAUUUCUGUGGUGUUAAUUUAGCUAAUGCAAUUUUAAAUAAUAAAAAAAGUCUUUUUGGUUUUAGCUUUAUUUUUUCAUUUUUUUUGGAAGUCUUGCCUCUUAAUCGAAUAGAAUAAAUAAUUAAAAAUAAAAUAAGAAAAAAAUGAUAAUACUAAUUUUUUUUUCAAAGCCGCGCAAAGCGCAGUUCUAUUUUUUAAUUUAACUAUAUUUAUGGUUGCUUAACAACAAUUUCACCACUACUUUAAGAUACCCUUGGAUUCUCUUCUUAGAUCAUUGGUUUAAAACAUUGUCAUUAAAUGAUUUAGAAUGAAAGAGAAGGAAUGGCAAUGGCCUUUUCUAAAGAGGAAUACCCCCUAAGAAUCACUGUCUAAUCUCUAAUCUAUGCCUUUUUCAAGAAAGAGUACAGGGAAAACAUAUUUCAAUUACAUUCUUUUUCAUAGUUAUAAGAAAAAUUAUCAAUUUACCGCUUAACUUUUUAUCGAAUGUUCAAUUUAGAAUUAAAAAAAUUUGACAAUAACUUUGAACCACCCAAGUUUUUAGUUUUUUAUCAAUUUACUACUCAACUUUUAUCCAAAGUUCAAUUUAGAAUUAAAAGAUUUUGACAAUACUCUGAACCACUCAAGUUUCUAAUUUUGUAUUAAUUUAGAGGGAAAAUGCUACCUAAUGUUGAUUUUUUAUUUUUUAUUUUUUAUUAAGUAGGGUGUGUUUAAACAAAUUGUGAUGAGAAUUUCACUUCCAUUCUUUUUUAAAGAGACAAUGAUAUUUAACUGUUAAAUAUUUCCCAUAUUUACCACUUAUAAUAAAAAAAUCAGUAAAACUGUGUUAUUGUUGUUAUUAUUAUUAUUUCUACAGUUUUAAAUUUAGCAAUAUAUUAUUAAUAAUGACUAAUUGAAAAUAAAUUAAGAAGCUCAAUAGUGAAAGUCAGAAACAUCACCUACUUAAAUGCAUGUCCUUCUACCAUUUAUAAUUGGAACUCCAGCUUAAAGUUUUUUUUUUUAAUUUACCAGUAAAUUUUGCAAUUAAAAGCUUGCUAAAGAAACAAGUGUAAUCUAUACUUUAUGCAUAUCUUUCACAUUAUUUACAAAUUUCUAGUGUUAAUUUCUUCAUUGUUCUUCUUCUGGCAUAUGAUUCCUUUUCACAUGCACAUUCAUAUUACUUCCAGUCUAUUGACUUAAUGUCAUCCCUAACAUGUGCCCCUAUGCUCUUCAAAAUAGGCAUUGCAAAAUAUCCGACCCGUUUCGAUCCAAAAAUAUCGGGUUUGGAUCGGAUCGGGUUGUUAAUUAAAUCUGAUCGGAUCGUGAAGACCCGAUUGGGUUGACACAAAUUUAAAAAAAAUCAAAAAUUCCAAAAUUAAAAAUGAAAAACCGAAACCUAAAUUGCUAAACAACUAAACAGUUAAACUCCUUAUCCUAAACACUCACACACACACCACACGAUCCACACACACAAACCAUUACAAUAGCACACAACACAAGCAGCCAGUCAUGCAGCAGUGAGCAACCCACUGCCGACUGGCUCCACACCCACCCAUAGCCUCCCUCGCUCGCAACCCACUUUCAACAGCCACAUGGUCCACACCCACGGCCUCCCUCAAACAAAUGAAACACAAACACACAAACAAAGUUCACGGAGCAAGCUGCAACAGACCACUAGACGUAGCAACAGCUGAGAGUUGACGCCAAUUGAAGUUGUUCCGUAAGGAUCAUGACCCGAUCUACCAAUCUGCUGCUACCAAGUACCGGAUUUGCUGCGCCAUCUCCACGCCUCCAAUCCUCCACCAUCACCCGAUCCUAUUCAAGCUCCAUUCGAACCUGGCAAGUGGCAACCUGAAUUUUGGCCGUUAACUUUGAGUUUUGGAAGCUUUGAGCCUUUGAUACUUGAUAGUUAUGAUAUAUAUAUAUAUUAUAUGUGAAAGUGAAAUGUUAAUUGGUAUUUGGUAAUUGUUAAUAAAAUGUAAUUAUAUAUUGUUAAAUUUUAACUCAAUUUUUUAACCUGAUCUGAUCUGAAUUAUAGGUUCAGGUUGAGUUUGGAUGAAUUUUUAUCCAACUCGACCAACUUAAAACCCAAUCGGGUUGAUCCGACCCCGACCUAAACUCGAUUUUGCCCAGCUCUAAUUCAGAAAAUGAACGAGGUUGCCCCCACUUUCACAAUAAUAUAAAUAUGACCUGCUUUUUAUUUGUUUAAUUUCUCUCCAAGCAAAAAUAAAAUGAAAAAUAAAACUUUUGGAAUUGUCUUAGCAAAGAGGUUAAGUUUUUUUACUAAAGCCGUUAUCUAAACCUUCUUUUAAUUUGUACACAUAAAACAUAACUAACAAUCAUGAGUAGUUUAGAAGUUCAGCAAUGACUAAAUCACUCUAAAUCAAAUAUUGCUUAAAUGUUACUUUGUGUAUCGUAGUGUCAUCUUAAUUAAUGUAGAUAAUUAAUUAGUAUUAGCUAUGAGAUUAGCAACCGACAUUACGGAAACCAAUGCAAUCAAGUGUUGCAUCAAAAUUAAGAUCAAAUUGAAGAAGAAGUGCUACAACCACAGAAAAAUGAGCAAAUUUGAACCAAGUAAAUGGUGGUCCUUUAAAUGUACUAGAGUAUUAGUUAGCUAGCUAGAACAACAAUGAAGAUGGACAAGUCACAUCUUACACUAAAAUGGAACUACAGGUUUAGUGGUCCACAAGACUAAACAACUUCAGCAACAUGAUCAAGUUGACAAGAUUUCUUCUAUCUUAUCCUGCUUAAUUAUUGUUCAUUUUCGAAAACAAAAAAAUGGGUCAGUGGUCUUGACUCACUUUCAACUUUGUGGUAAAAUUGAAAAUGUUGGGGAGUCAAAACAUGUCUGCCCAUACUCAUUUUUUUUCUGAUUAAUUAAGCUCUGUAUAUAUACAUAUAUUCAGCUUCACCUUGGUCCCCAUUGUGCCCACCUAGAUUAAUUGUUGCAUAUUUUGGACAUGGAAAUGAGUACGCGAAGUAAUUCAAGUUAUUCAAUUAACAUGUUUUUGAAAUAUUCGUAAAAAAUUCACUCGUUUAACAUUUUUUAAAUAUAUUUUAAAAAAAACAAUGGCUACCUUAGAGUUGCUCCAAGAUAGAGCGCAAAUCACAACCACAUAUGUAAAAUAAUAAAUAGUCUUAAACAUGUUAUAUCUUUGAUCGUGUGGUUAUGAAAACGUGCUCUGCCUUAAAGUGGUUCAAAUAUAACCAGAUCCUUUUGAAAAAGUAUUUAUAGUAUAUAUUACCUAAUGGAACUCUAAUCAAUUUUUAUCUAAACAUAGAAAUUUUAACGUGCAAUGAUUAAUCAAAUAUUUUUUUUAUAAAAAAGAAACUCAAAUAUUUGAUCAUGUCAUAAAUCAGCGUAGUGGAAACUUUAAAUCUGAUCUCAACACAAAUAAAAUCAAUGGGCGACUCAGAUUCAACUUGAUUGACAAUAGCGUCUAAUCUUAGGUCAACCCAAAACAACCUUAUUUUCUUAUCACAUUGACAAGGCAUGUCACAAACUCUAUCCCAGACAAAAUGAGCACUAUCAUAUGCAGAAUUUAAGGCUCUUUAUGCUCAUAGCCAAUGAAAUAAAAUGCAAGUCUGUUUAACAGAUUAAUGUAGCUGAGUCCUGGGAUAAUUAUUUAUGGAUUUAACAUCUAAAACUUGCAUGAAAUUCACCGAGAUUCCUCGUACUACCAAUCUACAUAUAUUAUAAUCUAAGGUCUGUUAAAAAUCUAAAUAUAUAAUACAUAUAAUUCCCAUCUAAAAGUCUACCAAAUCCAACUCAAAAAUCUGCUCCCAUUAAUAUUUGAAGAAAUAUCUACCCCGAGUACCUUUAGUUGCAGGAGGAGAAAUGUUCCAGGUUUCCAUGGAGGGCACAAACUCAUCACUGUGCCAAGGCUUAUAAAUUCUUUUAAAUUCCGAAUAUUUCAAGAAAGAAAUACAGAAAUUAUAUAGCUCAUGGAAUUUCACAUAGAAUUGAUUCUGUUACACUGAUCAGUAAUAUAAUUAAAAGCAAGAAUGAAAUUUCACAGCAGUUGAAGGCAAACGCUCUCCGACAUAAGGCUCUAGAAUUACAAGAAGCUCUAACAUCUUCUAACAGAGAUGAUUACAGGGGUUACAAAAAUGGAAAAAAAAAAAUCCUCUUUGGUGUGCCUCACUUCUUCUGUUGUCACUAUGAUACAGUCCAAUUCAUCACCUAUUCUAAGUUUGAGAAUCUCCCUAUCAUCAUCCGCAACGAAUGCAAUCAAAUCAAACUGAAAAAUAGAGGGAAAAAGAAUGCUACUCUGAGAACUAAUGUGGAAAAAUGUGAAUCCGCAGACCAAUUAUAUCUAGCUUCGAUUCUUCAAAUAUGGUUUCCGACAAUAACUAACUCUAUUUUGUUAUGAUACUUCUACAACUCUUCUGUAGAAAAGAACAUAAGCAGCUGAAGUCUUUAUCUUGUCCUGGCUGAUGGGAUAGACAUGGCUAUCAUCAAAAUCGUACCACUGACCACCCCCAUGCUACAGCAGGAAAAGGAAUAAAAUUAAGGAACUCACACUGAGCACCAUGUGCCAGACAAUCAUUCAUCUUUAAUCAAGAGAGAAAAAAAAAAAACCUUCAAUUCACAUUGAGUAAAUCAAACAUAUACAUGCGUACACAUGUUAUUCAUAUGAACUUUUAUGUAUAUAUUGAUCCAGAAUAAGUAUGUAUACCAUGCAUCAGCUUGUAUCCGCAUGUGUGCAUAUUUUUUAAAAAAGAAAUGCACGGUAGCAUAUUUUUUUAAUAGAAGAAUUUAUCUUAAAAGAAAGAAGAAAAAAAUAAACCACUUACAUGAACAAAUGCAGUGUAAUGACCACCUCCCAUGCUUCCGUAGUGAUUGCUAACAGCAUAAAGCAUGUAACGAUUAGAUAACUUGUCAUUCAAGUGAGCAACAUGAGUUGACAAAUCAAGAUUAUCAACAGGAAAGUCAACAUAUGUCUCUAGCUUGUUCUUCGAGAACCGGCUGUACGAGAACCUCUUUAAAUGAAUAACCAGAAUCUCCGGCAGUCUCCAAAGGUCUAACUUUUUACUGGCUUGGCAGUGCUUUUUGCAGCCAGGACAGUACCUUAAAAUUACAGAGACAAUUCCACACAUUAGAAAGGCCAUGAGAAAAGGCCAGAUUUCACUACAAGGACAUCAGAGAAACUUUGAUGAUGUUAAAAAACUUUAGAUACACCAUGAAGCCAAAAAUUGUACAUAUUAUACAACAUGAAUUUGUCAGUCCGUUUUAAUUUUUAAUCCCAUGCUUUUUAAAAGAAUAUAUAAAAGACAAUUGAGGGUUGACAGACAAAUAGAUUGGGACAUAUGGAAAAUAUUAUCCAUGAACAACAGUUCUCAUUUAAGUGAAAUUAGAUAUAGCAAAAAAGCACUCCUAAUAAUUACUAACAGAAAGGAAUAUAUAAUCUUGCUUUCCCCAACUGCAAAUAAUAGUGGCACCAUUGAUAGUCAAAAGCUCAGAAAGUUAAGAAGCUAGGAAAAUGGGGUCGGGUCAAUGCAAUAAAGAAGCUGGAAAAAUCCAAGAGCCUGAGAUAAAUCAUCUCACCCAGGGUGUGUGCAGAUUGGUGUUUAGGGUGAAAAAGGAAAAAGAAAAAAAAGUAAUAGGGAUUUAAAAAAAAAAGAGAGUAAAUGCAGCAGUAAAUUGUAGCUCUGAAUCACCUUAAAAAGCAUUUAUCUUUUUUGAAAUGGAGCCCACUGUUAUCAUGUCAUAUCAACAGCAGGAAUUAAUUCACUCACCUAGUUCUAUAUUAAAACAAGCAGCAGAACUCCAUGGAAUGUUGCAAGAAUAUAACAUAUCAACUAAACCAGGAAUAGUCUUAGAUUCUAAAUGUUAAUGUAAAUGUAGCUAUAUAUAGUGCAAAAUAGUCCUGAAGUUAGAAUUAGAAGAAAAAUGAUAUAGACACUGACCACAUGUCUUCUGGUCCAAGGGGCUCCUCUGUCAAGAACGCUUCAAGGCACUUGUACAGAGAAACAGACUCCUGAGGUCUCUUUGGAAGAAAGCCAGACUUGAAUAUCUCGGGAAAAGAGCUAAGAAGACGAGUGUCAUACUGUUCAAUCAGUUUUCCUGACCAGCAUACAAGCACAUGCACCUCCUCUGGAACUCCUGUCAUUGCUAUUGGCUCAUUCAUUACUAUCUUUGAGUUCUUAACAAUCCCCUUCUCGUCUGUUAAGUAAAACUGCAGUUCAGCAUCUGAGGGUGGUUCAACCUCUUUCACACUGGAUGGGGUUGCAACACCUCCUGUAACAGGGACGUUAUCCACUAUCCGUGUAACUUCUUCAAUUGCAGUGCUCCCAGCGGUAACAUUAUUAUUGAAGGUAUCUUUGGCAGGUAUACAGAAUGGUUUAAGCAAUUCCAGAUACAGAUUGCGGAUGUCUAAUCCAUGAGCCAAAUAAGAAACCUUAGCCACAAGAGGUAUUCCCAAUGCAUUCGGACACGAAGUCAGUUUCCCAUGGAUGUACUGCCUGACAGCUUACUAAGAAUUAGAGAGCAGUACACAAAAAUUAAAAAGAAAAAUAUCGAUAGAACUCUUUCCGUAGAUGAUUUACAGUUUUGAUGGUACAUCAGAAUGAAAGAAGGGUGCGAUUUAAUACAAGGAAUAUAAAAGUAUAACAAGAAGCAUUAGUCUAGAAAUGAGGAGGCAUAUCAACCUCUUCCAAAAUUCUAAACAAUUAGUUAAAGUUUCAAGAUUUUGCUGGUGUCAAUAGAAGCAAUUAGUAAAAGUUGUGCUAAGACAACUUAAUAAUCGUGAACGUAAAAGUAUUAACUUGAUAGGAAACUAUCAACUCAUACAUGCACUUACAAACAGACUGCAGUUAAUUUGCAAAACAAAUUGGCAGGAGGAAAUCUCAACUUAGUUAAUAUUUGAUUAACUGACAAAAUAAAUAAACUUACUCCUCCAACUGCUGGUGCAUAAAUACAACCAAAGGAUCUUUGUCAUUCUCUUUCCUCAACCUAUAAGCAACCAGUUGGUCAUCAUCUCUUAUUAAGGAUAUACUAUCAGCAGGCUCUUCUAGAUAGCGUAUAAUCUGGUGGUUGUAUAUCUGUAGAAACUCGAGCUUUAGAGUUCAAAACAUAACAUCUAAGCGUAUAAACAUACUCAAUGCAUGCAGUAUGAGCCUCUCUUCAAACUAAGAUAUUGAAAUAACUGAAAUAUACCUCAGCAACAAGUAAGGUCUCAUUAACCCCUAAAGCACAUGCGAUGCUUAGAGCCCGGAUAAGAUCUUCAAACUUUCCAUACUUCGGGACAGUAAUGGUAAAUGGAGAAGGCUUAGCAGUUCCAUCAGUAUUCACAACUGUUAAAGUCAUCAUCCGCACUGUUGUUGAUGGCAGCGGUAGUGAUAGGUACAUAAAUGGAUCAAAAGUAACAGAAACUUUCUUGCAAACAGGACAGACUAAUGUUGAUUUAUAUUGACCCUGCAAUAAAAAUAAAACAAAUAAAUGCAUAUGACAUGAGGCUCUAGGUCAGUGAGUCUAAUGAAGGAAUCAGAUUAGACUCAGGUUCAUGGAUGGCCCAAAAAUGGGAUAGGCCAGUAAAAUUUCUCAUUCUACAACUUAUCUCACUCAUUUCAGACUUGAUUUCUAUAAGGCAGGUAUAUCUCCACAUCAUUGGUGCUUGGUAUAAAAAUUGAGUAAUUUUUUAGUAUUAGUCUUAACAAUGUGCUGUAUAUGGGAUAGGGUUACUAAUUUUAAUCUAAACGUGGAAGCAGAUAGGUGCUGAACAGUCGAUGAACUCAGUAAUCAAAUUAUGUGCAUCUGGAAGGUUUACAAAGUUAUCUUUAUCUGUGUGCUUAGGUGCCAGGUUUGUAUACAAGUAAUUUUUGGAUUUUAAGGCAGAUUUAUAACAAGAAAAUUCUGAGUUAACAGUUUAUUCUCCUCAUUUUAUUCAACUAUGGUGUGUGCUUUAAGCCCCCAUUCCACAUUGAUAUCAAGCCAUUUUCUUGGCCGCAACGCUGAAUAAUGCAGAGUGUCAACCACAGAUUAGAUCUGCAAGUAUAACUGCUGAUCUAAACUUCUCUUUUGGGUCCAUAUAUCAGAAUAGCCAUUAGUUUUUCUCACCAAGGUCGCACAUCAAUUCCGUUUCCAUAGCCACAUUAUAGAUGAAUUUCACAAAUCUAUGCUCAUUAACCACCGAGAUCAUCCGAGUUUUAUUCACAAAAUUAACCAUUAAAAAUCAUGCAAGUUUUUUUCACAAUAGGUGUUGCAUUCAAACUAAAUUUAAUAGUGAUUCAAAUGGAGCAAAUUUAGACGGAAAUUAAUAGGAACCCUCAGAAAUAUACUCACUUGGCACAGGUCAACAAUGAUAGAGUCGUUGCGUGCUAGAUGGUUCUGCCAAUAUUCAUCAGCAAUGUCUUCAUCAGAUCGACCAUCUCCAUCCUUGGCUUCUGCAUAAGGCUUACAUUUUACACGAUUGAGAUCUUCAUGAAGCCCGUCCAACAAAAAUGCAAGGAGUUCCUGUGAUGAAAGAUUCAUCAAAUUCAAAANNNNNNNNNNNNNNNNNNNNNNNNNNNNNNNNNNNNNNNNNNNNNNNNNNNNNNNNNNNNNNNNNNNNNNNNNNNNNNNNNNNNNNNNNNNNNNNNNNNNNNNNNNNNNNNNNNNNNNNNNNNNNNNNNNNNNNNNNNNNNNNNNNNNNNNNNNNNNNNNNNNNNNNNNNNNNNNNNNNNNNNNNNNNNNNNNNNNNNNNNNNNNNNNNNNNNNNNNNNNNNNNNNNNNNNNNNNNNNNNNNNNNNNNNNNNNNNNNNNNNNNNNNNNNNNNNNNNNNNNNNNNNNNNNNNNNNNNNNNNNNNNNNNNNNNNNNNNNNNNNNNNNNNNNNNNNNNNNNNNNNNNNNNNNNNNNNNNNNNNNNNNNNNNNNNNNNNNNNNNNNNNNNNNNNNNNNNNNNNNNNNNNNNNNNNNNNNNNNNNNNNNNNNNNNNNNNNNNNNNNNNNNNNNNNNNNNNNNNNNNNNNNNNNNNNNNNNNNNNNNNNNNNNNNNNNNNNNNNNNNNNNNNNNNNNNNNNNNNNNNNNNNNNNNNNNNNNNNNNNNNNNNNNNNNNNNNNNNNNNNNNNNNNNNNNNNNNNNNNNNNNNNNNNNNNNNNNNNNNNNNNNNNNNNNNNNNNNNNNNNNNNNNNNNNNNNNNNNNNNNNNNNNNNNNNNNNNNNNNNNNNNNNNNNNNNNNNNNNNNNNNNNNNNNNNNNNNNNNNNNNNNNNNNNNNNNNNNNNNNNNNNNNNNNNNNNNNNNNNNNNNNNNNNNNNNNNNNNNNNNNNNNNNNNNNUACGGUACAGCAGUAUAUAUAUAUAUAUAUAUAUAUAUAUAAAGAGUUCUGCAAACCCUCACAAAGAGACAGAGGGAAGGAACCAAAGUUCAAUUUCUGAUAGGAGAAUUUCACUGACUUGAGAAUCAUGCUGAUUGAAUCCACUAAACUGAGGAGCAAAACGAGCAAGCUUAGACUUAAAAGUUCUUGGUGACACUGGAGCUGCUCCAGGAGCCCAAAGUUUCCUUAAUAGGUCCCCAAAGGCUAAAGCAAUCUCACCCUGGUGAAAAAAGGUGCAAAUUUAUUUGCGGGUAAAGAUCAAAGGGAGCAUCUGAGAGGAAAAAUCACUUGAAAAUGUAUUUAUGAUGAGUCAGACUUGAAUUCAAGAGAAUUAGAAAUACAUUUAACAUACAUCCAUGCCCAAUGGAUUGUCAUGGUUUAUUUCUCUAAAAUAAUCUCCAAGAAAGUAAUCAACAAGCUUUGGUGUGUGUACUAAGCACUGAAGGGCGCUAUUCAUGAAACAAGUAUUUCCAAGAUUUUGCAAUCCCGUCAGGCCUAAACAACCAGCUUCACCAGAUCUUCCGGAGAAGGUUAUAGAACUAUUGCGAACAAUGCCAAAGCUACCAUUUGUAAGUGAGCCAUUAGAAUGUUGUACUGCCAUUUCAUCUUUUCUCCCUUCUCUGCAUUUCAAGGAAUCUGACAACCCAUAAAUUUGCAACUCCAAAAGAAUCUGAAAACAAGCCAAAACCACUAAAGUAUUAGUGGCCAUGCAUUGAACUGACAUAUUACUCACAAAAAAGGGCUGCAAAUUUCAGUUCGAAUUUAAACAAAUAUUCAUUAACCGUAAAAAUACUGUAAAGAACUAAAUGAAUGUUGUAUUAACCAAAGAGCUACCAUUCACCUAAUAUUAUCAACUGUAUAUGGCACAGCUCAUAGUACUUUCCCAUCCGAAAAAGAGAACUUACUGUAAUUACCAGAAACCCCUUACUGUUUGGCCAAUUGUUAACCACAUUGGAUCCAGUAAUUCUCAAAACUACUCCUGAACUAUUUGAAAAUAACCCUAACUGGGGGUGGUUGACAAAUUACAGGGUGGUUUUGACAAACAGCAGGGGCAUUGACUAUUUUGGAAACCCAUGAGGGCUUUUCAACAAUAGGUGAAAUUAUAAAGAACUGAAUGACAAUCUCCCAAAGAACUUGAAUCCAAUUAUUUGCAAACAACCUAACUAUUACAAUUAUGCCUCAAUAUCAGCUAGGCAGUAUUGGUUACCAUGAAAAAUUCCAAAAUUUUGUUUCACAAUAUCAAACCUGUAAACAAAUCAAGAAAUAACUAAAACCUAGCACUUUUUGUACUUAUUAACUCCAAUAAAUAUUUAGAAGCCAUAGUUUCUUUCUUUAUUUCAUUUUUUAUUUUUUAUUUUUGAAAAGAAGCCAUAGUUAUUUUCCUCAAGCUAUAUAUGUCCACCUUUGCAUGAGCUCAGACUUGGGCAGCAUCAACAGAUUUAAAAUGAAAAACUAUUAUAUAGUUUUUAAGUACUGUGAAUGUAGAUUUGAUCAUGCUUAAGACAAGAAGUGACUCUGUCCUGGUCAAAGGGAGCUUUUGACUUGCCACAUUAAAGAUCAGGGAUAUCACAACAACCGUUGCAGUAUUUCCUUAGGAACUCUGCAACCAGCAGGCAAUUUAUCAAGAAACAUAUAUAACCUGGCAAUUAAGCAAGUUGUUCAGAGCUAUUCUUGAUUCCGACCAAGUUAUGGCCAAAACAUCUCACUAGAGGGUCCAACUCAAGAGCUGAAAACAAUGAGCAGGUUCAUGGCAACUGGCUUAAUAGGUCCAACUACUAAUGCUAAAAGAUAAGGUUGAAUAUCUCAAAGUGCAAAUAAAGACCUAAUAAGAGUCCCUGGUUAAUAUAUAAGUUAGAUAUUGAUAAAUACAACUAUUUGUUAUGGUGACUUUUAUUUACUUUGAUCAAGCUAUAAGAAUAAACUAAUGCUUCACAUAUUAUGUAAUUUAUCAGGUUUUAAAGAGUUUCAAUCCAAGGCCUUAGGCCUUGACGAGAGACUUAAAACAAUAAAAUAAAAUCAUGAAACUGUGACCCAACAUCUUAUCAAAGACAUCUACAACUUACUUCAUGAUCCGACAGCCGCAGACAAUCUUUUGAGAACUUAUUUUUGUCAUUCAAAAAAUACAGGGUCGUCUGUCCAGAAAAGUCCCAUAUGUGUAACUGUAAAAGCAGAAGUUAGAAAACCAUCCCCUUCAGCCAAAAAAACUCAUCACUUUUAAGAAUGAAUACUAAAUUACCAGCUCAGACUCAAUGCUGAAGAUCUUGCAGGCUCGUUUGAAGAGCUCAACUGCAUUGUCCUGGAAAAAAAGAAUAAAAAAGUUAAAAAGAAUGUCAAGAAAUGAAAACCAAAAAUCUCUAAGAACCAGAAACUAUAUCGAAAACAAAAUUGCACCACUAAAACAAGACAAGAAUACUUGAAAUCAGUAACAUACUAAUGGCGUUUGAAAUCGGUAACAUACUAAUGGCAUUAUUAGACUGAAAAAAACCUAUGAAUUGCUCUCAUGGUUUCAUGUUAACUACUCAGAAAUUUAUGAAAACUCUAGAGUUAGCCCAUGCCACUUAUCAUAAAUUAAGUUCCACACAUAGAGUUGUCUCACAAUAAAAUGUCAUCCAUAAGGCACUAUGCACUCAACUUAGGGCAAUUUCUUAUGGCCUCCCUACUGUCUACAGCUAUUUUUGACACUCAACUAAAAAUUGAUGGAAGUGAGAUGAAGACCAUAUCUUGAAAAGAGUAAAAAUAAAGGGGGAAACAAAAGUGUUGCAGCAUCCAAAUUCACAUUGUGAUAACAAGUCCGCUUUGUAAUUGCAGUACUGCAGUCUAAAUAAUAUCUGCAGCAGACACAGUGUUCUUACAGCUGCAGCAGACCAAAAAGAGUGAGUUAGUAAAUGGAACUGACCUUUUUGCUUAUUUUUACUCCCAACGAGUUUGUUUCCCUCAUAACAGAAAGCCUAAGUUGCAGAGGAUAGACAUCCGCCAUAUCAUCUUCAGAAGCCAAGAAGCUUUUUCUAUUCUUUGCUGCAACUUUAGUAUCACUGUGCCUAAAUGAAAUACAGUUAUUAAACAACUUCCUUUUGUAGCUUACCAAAAAAAUGAUAACAUUAGUAUAAAAAUAUAUCAAAUUGAUUCAUAAAUUACUACCACACAACUCUGAAAACAACGUUUCAUUAAGCUUUAAUUCUCGCAAUAGAAUCAAUAGAUUUGCAUUCUACAAAUUUAAUCAUAAGCUAAAAAUAUCAUGAGCGGGAAAUGAUAAAAAAGUGAAAGGCUCCAUCCCCACCUGACCCCAAUACCCUGCUUCUCCACCUAUCCUCAGUACCUUUCCUCACCCCCAACCCAUCCACCUGCCAACCCCAUGAAUGGAAAAUAAAUUAUCCACUGUAGAUCUUCUAUAAGGACCAAUAGAAUAUUGCUUCUAUGGUUCACACAUCUAAUGCCAUAUCUCGUUAAAAAUUUUCAAGAGCUAGUGAAAAAUUAUCUCUGUUCUUUUAUAAAUCUUUAUGGGUCAUUAGGAAAUGUUAAGCAACAAAUUGUGAUAAACAAAAUAAAAUGCAGACAACUCAGAUAGACUUCCCACAUUUCAGAAGGUUUACUAUUUGCUCAACAGUGUAUUGAUACCAGAAAAAUGUGAUAGCCAUGAGGGGGGAAGUAAAUAAUUGAUAUAGAUUUGGCAGCAUUCUCAGAUUCCACAGUAGCUACAACUUGUAGCGUCUGGUGAAGAUUUCUGAACUGAGAAGACUAUCUAGGUCCCUCUAGAUUGGAUUUGACUUAAAAGUCUACUAGAUUACUCAGGAUGUAAGCCUCCAUCAAAUGACCGCUAAAGAAAAUUCACUUAGAACAAACAAAACUUCAAAUGCAAUCAAUAAAUUCCUUCAGUGAGAAAAUUUAUUUAUGUAUCAUGCACAGAAUGCCAACUCAGAGAUGAAAUAAUUAGCUUUAUUUGCUUAAAGCAUAUUAUAGAUUAAACUGCAUGGAUGAGCUCAGUUAUUAAAUAUAAUAUCACAUAUUUACAUUCUAAGAAUUAAUUUCUCAACACAAGUAAAAAUGAUACUAAGAACUAGUAAUUUGCAUCCAUAAUCAUUUCACUAUUAAAGACUCCCUAAAUAUGAUGUGCGCCCGUUUUUUAGAAGUGCUAAAAAGAAAUCAAAUCAAAUGGACUACUAAAAGCACAAAAUUUGUGGGCAAAUAUUUGUCAAUCACCAAAAUCAGGAAAAAUUAAUCCAUCUCAGAAAUCACAGAGGUUGGCAAUCGUGGGUUCAAUUCUAUGGUCGGCAAAAAGGCACAAUAAUCAAACUCUUCUAUUUACAUGCAUCCAUUUCCUAACACACUGGUGGUGUCACAUGAAUCAACCACAAUGGUGCAACAGCAAACAUCGAAAAUGCAGAAAUACAUGUUCGGAUGCUAAAGAGAAUGGAUGAGUAUGAAGCACAACUCACACACCAAAAAGUAAACACUUUCUGCUAGUAGAUGCACUGGUUAAUAUUCUGCUUUAAUUUCUUUCCAUUUACUAGCCAGAAGUCUCAGGCACUUUAAACAACCAUUGCCAAUAUCACAAAAAAUCUAGCACCAUAGGAAUUUUGAAACGAGCUGUUUAAUUUAUUAAAAAUUACCAGCACCUAGUCAAAAUAUCUAUCACCACAAAUUCAAAAACGUAAAAUUUCCAGUUAAAUAUAGUCCUUAACAAAUCAGAAAAAUUUCAAGCACCAGACAAACCAUUGAAAAUAUUGAUCAUUAAGAAACAUUAGCAUCAAAGAACGCACACAAAUAGGCAUGUAUUCACAAUAAAGAUCCCAACAUUACCAAAUGACAAUUGAAACACUGACCAUUUGAGAGCCUGCAGCCACAUUUCUCCCGGGACCAAUGCAUAGUCUCUUCCCGAGACACCUACUUCACCAUUUUCGCCGUUCUGCAAAGACACCUCCUCUUCUCUCCUCAGAUUGAAAACAAGGUCUGAGUUGAAUAUGUUGUUAAUGAUCUUCAUUGGGCCCCCGUAAGAUGUUCCUUGCGUUGCCGUGUACAAAACCCCUCUCUUCUUAUCCGAAUCACUCGAUGUAGAUUCUUGAGCAUCUCUCCACCACCUGUAAAAAACCAAAAAAGAAAAAAAGAACCCAAUUCACAUCUCACUCCAGACGACAGACAUUCUAUAUCUGAUCAUUAAUUCGAUCAAAAGUUUCAGCAAUAUAGAUACUAAUUAACGAAUCACAUUAAGCUAAGCUAAGCAAAGACAGAAUGAAACAAAAAAAAGGAGGCGACCUUUGAAGUUAUGAUUAAAAUGUUCAGUAGAUUUGUUUAAUUUGGGUUAAGAUUUGUGAAUAAUGGAUAUAAAUGGAUUGAAUUUGAGGGGAAAAGAGGAGCACCUACCUGUAAGGGACAAGGUAAACACGCUGGUCAUUAUUGUUAUUAUUAUUACUACUACUAUUGUCCGAGUCGACUCGGUGAGUUGAAUCGGAGUGAUCUUCAGCGAGAGCGCCCAUUUUUAAAGAGUGCAAAGGACAAAGGAAAUGCAGAUCAUGAAGUUUGCACAGAAUUGUGAAGAGAGAGAAAAAGAGAGAGACAAGAGAGACAGGGGGGAGAGAGAGAGAGAGACAGUGGCGGAUUUGCAGAGAGAAACAAGCGGAGCUUUUCUGUGAAGAGGAUUUAAGGAGGGAAAAUAAAUAAUAUGUCACUAUUUAUAUUUAUAUUUAUUUUUAAAAAAUAAUUUGGAAAAAUAAAAGUUUUGGACAAGUUGAGAGGAACAUGCGGCCAAUUUACAAAAUGUCCACAAAACUUUUCAAUUUUUUAAAUUUGAUCCUCUAAAUUUUUUCCCGUCACAACUAGUCUAGGAAUGGCAAAAAAGUCCGAUUGAAAUUUAAGUGUGAUUGAUCCGGCCUAAAUUUUUCAGGUUUUAACCUGAUUUUAAGGAUCAAAAUCCGUGUUUGGGUUUAAAAAUAAAAGUCUGAUCAAAUUCGAGUUAGGAUUCGAGCCUUAGCCUAUCCGACCUAGCUCGAUUACUUAAUAAUAAAAGAAAAUGUGUUUUUAUUUGAAUUGUGUCUUUAUUUGAAUUAAACAUAGUUUUUUUUGUUUAUGUUUAGUUAUUUAUAUAAUUUUAUGGUUGAAAUAUUGAUUAGAGUGAUUUUAUAUUUAAUUUUAAUAUAUUAGGAGAGGUAAAUUUAAAUUAUUUAAAUAUUAAAAAAUUAAAAAUAUAGUUCAAGCCCGACCCAUACCAAAGGGUGAAAAUUUGGGCUUUUUAUAGGACUCGGGCCCUUUAUUUAUGUUGUGCCCAAGCCCAAGCCUAAUCCGACAAAUUGUCAUGCCUAAACUAGUCAAAUAUUAGUUUUUUGAACCAAGUAGUCCUUAUCAUUUUCAGCAAAUUUACAAACAAAUCCCACUCUUGAAAAUCUAGGAAAAAUCUAACACUCUCAAUAAAUCACCAAGCCUCAUUACUCUUAACAAAUUAAUAAAUUUCAUCAAACAAGUAUUAUAUAACUAGAGAUAUAAUCAUCAAUUGGCAGCUUCUUAAGGUUAGUAUAUGUUCUGCACAAUAUGAACCUUUUAUUUAUUAAAUUUAGUAUUUAUGUUCAAAAUUGAUAUGGCUUUGUUAUAAAUGUUGUUACUUUCCAUUCAUAAAACAAUGUAAUUUGUUAAAGUACUUAAUUUGAGUUGAAAAAUAAAAAUAAUAAUUGAAAACAAUAGAAAUUUGAAGUAAAAAUGAAAUCCAGAUUUUGUGGACACAAGCUGAUUUACUACUACAAGUAGUGGGACUACUACAUGUAGUGAGACAGGUGCCCGUCGCACUAAAUCAACAUUCUGUUUAUGUGUGAAAGGCAGUAUGACACGUGAUUGUUGCACAUAAACACAGUGUUGACUAUGUGCGGUAGGCACUUGUCUCACUGCCUGUUGCACUAAAUCAGCCUAUCCCGUUAAAUUUCUGGAUACUUUCUUGAAAUCAUAACUUAGGUUACAUGUGUCUGUUUUGUGGCAUAAAAAGUUUUGAAUUUGAUUCGUCUCGUCGCAAGCUUCAAAACAAUAUGCUAUUUGCCCAAAAUGAACACAUGUAGUCUAAGUUAUGACUUCAAGAAAAUAUGAAGAAAUUUAGUAGGAUAAGUUGAUUUAGUAUGACUGCACCUGUCCCACUGUCUAUCGCACUAAAUCAGUCUAUCUCACUAAAUCUAAAUUUUGUUUUUACUUUGAAUUUCUAUUAUUUUCAAUAUAUUUUUUUAUUUCUCAACUCAAACUAAGUGUUUUAACAAAUUAUAUUAUUUUAUAAAUGAAAAGUAAUAACAUUUACAAUAAAGCCAUAUUAAUUUUGAACCUAAACAUUAAAUUUAAUACAUAAAAGGUUCAUAUUGUGCAAGAACAUACACUAACCUUAAAAAACUUCCCGAUUGAUGAUUAUAUCUUCAGUUAUAUAAUGCCUGUUUGAUGAGAUUUUGUGAUUUGUUGAGAGUGAUGAGGCUUAGUAAUUUGUUGAGAGUAUUCAGAAUAUUAGAUUUUUUUCUGGAUUUUUAAGAGUGUGAUAUGUUUGUAAAUUUGCUGAAAAUGAUAAGGACUACUUGGUCCAAAAAACUAGUAUUUGGUUAAUUAUAAUAGGAAAAAGAAUUUGGCGGGUCAAACUUAAGAAAAAAAAAGUUUUGUGACUAUUUUUAUAAAUUUUUCGAAACAUGCAUUUUCAAAAAUAAGUACAAAGGUUGGAAUUUGGAAAUUCUCUAUAUUUUUCCCCCAGACUCUUUGGAGUAGAAAGCAAAAUAAUUUUAAUAAUUUUUAAUAGAUUUUUUUUAGUAAUAUUAGAGAUUUCAUUAAUUAAGUCUCAAUUUGAGUUAAUCAGACAUAGUAUUCAUCUACUGAAUAAAUAAUUUUAUAUUAAUGGUCAAUAAAUGAGUGAUUAUGAAAUAGAAGUUGAGAUUCAAAUAUUUAAAUUUUAUUAUUACUAUUUUUUUUUAACUUACCGACAAUUCAUUGAAGUGCAUUCAAACUCAUUCAAUCCUCUUGUAUUUAAAAAGAGAGAUUUUACUAUAUCAGUAUUAAGAGAAAUUCUAAAAUAUAUUUGAGAUAUUAUAUCAGCCAUAUAAAAAAAAUGAUAUUAUGACAAGUAUGUAUUUAUUUUAAAAAACUACCAUAUAAGUAAAAGUUAUAUUAAAUUCAAUUACACAUAUUAUGCAUACAUUAAUUAAUUGUAUUAUCUCAUAUGUAUUCUAAAAUUCUUCCCAAUACUAGACAGUUUGACAGUUAUAAAAUUUAAAUAGUAAAUAAGUUAUUUAAAUUUUGUCAUCUAAAACAUUGAGUUGUCAAUGAACUUUUCCUGAUUGAAUUCAUUAGGUUUCCUAUUAUGUUGCAUUAUUUUUUUUCUUUUGUUAAAUUUUAGUGGUACGAGAAAAUUUUAUUAACAAUAUUUUUUUAAUAGUUGGAGCUUGGAGGACAUAAUAAAUUUUAGUUCCUUAAAAUAUUGUACACUAAUAAACAAAUGCAACGUACGCUUUUUUUUUUUUCUUUUCGUACACUAAUAAACAAAUGCAACGUACGCCUCGACAGUCUUUAAAGUGUGAUUUAAAUAGUUUCUCUUAGAAGUUUUUUUUUUUUCUUUUCUUCUUCUUCUUUUUCCCCCUUAUUAGAACCUCGACAGUCUUUAAAGUGUGAUUUAAAUAGUUUCUCUUAGAAGUAGCAGUGCGGCAAGAAUGUGCAAUCUCAUAUUUUCUUUGAUUAUCAUCUUGAGGGUAUUGAAGUUGAUCAAUAUCAUUAUCUACAAAUCUUCCAUUUAAGAAGCCAUAAAUAUGAUAGUUAAAUUAUAAUUUUGACAAAAACAACAAAGAUAUAUAUUAUAAAUUUUUUUAUCGUGCAAGUGUAAGAUAUAAUCAAUCAUACUUCCAAAUCAAAAUAACAAGUAUUUAUCAAAUAAUUGAACAUUAUAACUUUUAACCAAGAGUUGUCCAACCACAAUAUCAAUCACGAUCUUAAUUUCUAAUGUAUCUCCUGACUUCAUCUUAUGGUAUAUUCAUCAUGCUUGGAUUCGGUAGUAUAAUACUUGCUUAGUGGUGUUGCUUGGCAAAGUAUACAAAUUUUGGAAGCUUAAAAAUGAUCAACUUAGUUAUUGACUUAUUGUUGAUGAAAAUUCUCACAGCGGUUGAGAACAAUUUAUGAAGUAAGAAUAUAAAAUUAAGGCGAGUCUCAAUUAUUGAGUUAGAUUUUAAGUAUAAAUUAGGUUCAUGUACUUCUCAUACACGAGUGGACCAUAUAGAAAGACCUGCUUACACGUGAUAGGAUACUAACUAAGAAUAUGGAGCAUUGAAUUUUUCUACAUGUGAUGGCAAUAUUAAAGAUAUUUAGCUCCAUAGUCAUGUUGUCGAAGGAUGUUGUGCAAAUUUUAAUGUACUCGCAAGCGCACGAAUUUAUUGUAGUGUAGAUCAAUGGUGACGAGUGUCAAUCCCACGAGGAGGAGGAUUUUAAUUGCACUUAAACUUCCCCAACGAGCCUGGUAGCUCAGCCAAUAGCUCUAGGCAAUGGAAAAUCCCCUGGAUGCUAAAAUUACCCGAGAAGGUUAAAAUAUUCAUGUAGAAAGCUCUAAAAAACAUCCUUCCGACUGCAGAAAACCUUUACAAGAGGAAGAGCUUGCAAGAUCCGAUCUGUUAGAGAUGUAAGCAGAAAGUAGAAAUAGUAAGCCAUGCCCUGAUGAAAUGCAAAACAGCAAGAAAGAUUUGGGACCUAGCUCCAUUAACACUACAGCUCUCAAAUGAGCACAAUCAAGAUUUCUUCAAUGCCAUCCAAGAAAUGCAUUCCAGAUUUUCGAAAGCAGAAGUAGAACCGAUGGUUGUUUACUGUUGGAUGAUAUGGUCUGCAAGAAAUAAGUUCAUUUUCUGCUGUACCGUACAUCCGCCUUGGCCGUACAGCAGAUGGAUUCAGAGAUAUCAAAUUAGGGGGGGGAGGCCCCUUUUUAUAGAUACAUGGAGUAAAUCAUGGCCAUCGGAUUAAAAAUAGUUUGGACGCUCAGGAUUGCGCCACGUCAUCAGUCAACAUUCCACGGUUUGACCACGCGGAUGAACAGUAUGCGGUUUGGUUGAAAAUAAUCCUGUGUGAUGCAUGCAUCGUACGCGAGAUUUUUCGUCCACUGAUAUGCUGCCACGUCACCAUCAACAGUACAUAAGAAUUUUAGUCCAACAGGAUCGUGACACCUCAUCAGUCAAUGCCACAUCAUCGGUCAAUGCCACGUCAUCGAUCCGUCUAUGUGAACAGUGCCAUGAACAGUAACAUAUACAGUACCGUCUACGUGAAUAGUACCGUACAUGUGAAUAGUGUCAUUUUUCCUUUUAUGCUCCUCCUAAGGUUUUCGACUGUCCUGAGUUCAAAAGUGAUGUCCGUUUUGCCGUCUGAUCUAUCCUUUAUUGUGAAAUGACUAUAAUGCCCCUAAAAUACAUAAAAUACUUAAUUAAAAUAAAACACAUGUAAUUAAAUCACAAGAAGGUUAAAUACAUAAAAGUAAGGGUUGUUAAUAAGACUUGAAAUGUAAAAUGACGGUUUUCUCCUUUAUAAAUAUGUAUUUUCUAACACUCAACAGUGAUAGUUGUGUCGACACAGAAUAUGGACUGGCUUGCCCAUAAUGAGGGUGUGGAGGAGAUUGUCCCUUCAUUGGCCUACAUUCGUUGAGUCUAUAACAUGAGGUGUUGAUUAAAAACAUUAGACCGCCUGAGUGUGACGGGAGAAGUCGAUUAUGUCUUCAUCCUCUUUGUUUGUCCUUUCAACUUUAAGUAUAUAUAUACUUCCUGCUAAAGCCAACAUCUUCUUAGAAACUUCAAUAGGAAUAGUGAAGGAGGAUACUGGAGAGAUCUAAUCCAUAAGUGAGGUAACUUUUUCUUGCUUGAUGAACCAAAAUGACUGUACGUCUGCAACCUCUUCUGGUUAAAAAAACUCAACUACAUAUAACUUCAUUAUCUGUCUCCAAUGGUCACAAACUUUCUAGACCUUUUUAAUUUGCUUCCUCUGCAAAGGAGAUUACAACAAGGGGUAUAAGACCAUGUUUAGUUAAGAAGGAUGACGGCUGGGUUAUAUUUAUUGGAGAGUUGCUACAUAAAGAUUAGUGAGGCAGUUCUCCAACAGUUCUUUAACCGGAAUCAGGAAGAAAGGGGAGCCACAACCACAUCGCUAUUGUAUAGAGAGCCAUCUGAUUUGACUAAGCGGAACAAUGCCACAUCGGCUAAAAAUUGACCUUAAAUUAAUAAUAUAAUAUAAGCUUGAGGCAACAUUUAUUGUAAGUUUGUAGAUCUAUCUAUCACGGGGAUAAGUGUUUUGCAUAGCAACCUGUGUGGCACUUAGAUAACUUCUAGCUCAAAAGUUGUUAAGUAAGCCUUUAGAUCUUUUCAAGCUAGCUAAGUAAGGAUGCUUGCGGAAAUGCUAGAGAGAAAAAUGAGUAAUAUGACCAAAUAUAAUUUUAUUACUUAUAAAGAAAAAAUACAAGAAAUCUUUUUACAAGAGAGUUGGAGUGGCUUGUGUGUUGUGUGUGUGUGCUAGUGUGAUUUGUGUGGUGUGGUGGUGAGCAAAUGGUGAAAGCUCACCCCUAUUUAUAGAGUUGCUCCCUAGGUCUAGAGUAAUCUUGUAACUUGCCUAAAAAUCUAUCCAUUUACAAUGUGUAUAGAGUUUUAGAAAUCAAGCGGGGCUUGAUGAAUGUGGAUUGUUCGCUUGCUAAGCACACCACGACUUGUUAGUUGUAUAAGGCGGCCCAUCGCUAAGUGCACCCUGCUGCUAAGCACAUCUUGCUGUUAGGUAGACUUUUACUGAGCAUACUCGCGCGGCCCAAUAAGCCCCCAUUUUUGGCAAAUUUGAGCGGCCCGUGACAUAUUGCUAGUUUAACAUCCUAAUCCAUUUUAAUUUGUAGUUAUCUUUUUAGACAGAUUGAUAUAUAGUUAUCUUUUGAAGUAUGAAUUAAAUCUUUUAUUAUUAUUAUUAUUAUUUUGAAAGAUAAAUUAAGUAUGCUGUAGUACAAUUAGAAAACCAAAAUUUUCAAAUGCGAGGUGUAGAAACAUUUGCUAGUCUAAUGAUACGUCUGAAAUGUGCACAGAAAUAACAAGCAUGUGUUUUGCAAUACUAAAAAAAUGCGUUCAGUUUAUGACGUUCAAUAUCACUUAUAUUCUGAACAUACAUAAAAUAAAUUAGGGAGAGAAAAAAUAAUGUUAAAUAUUUACAAAUUAAUAUCACUACUCUACCCUUAACAUAUGUCAUGGAAUGUCAAAAGGCUUGAAUGAAGAUCCUCUCCCUUUAGGUAGUGUUUACUUUUCGGAUUGGAAUGGAAAUGCUCAAGAGUUGGAAUCUUGGGAUUGAAAGUGUGGAGCGGGAUUAGGAGUAUGUUGUUUACUUACACUAGAAUAGGAGUAUGGAAUAGAAAUUAAAAUCUCAUUUAUGUGUUUACUUUGUUUUGGAUUAGGAGUGAAUUAUUUCAAAUUACUGUUUUACUCUUAUUUAAAGAAUUUCAGUUUUUAAUUACAAAGUAAAAAAAUAUAUUUGUAAAAUAAACUAUGUAUUUUAUUAAUUUUAAUUAUAUAAAUUAAAAAUUAUUCAUAAGAGCAACACGCUUAGAAUAAACUAUUUAUUAUUAUUAAAUAAAUAUAAUACUAUUAUUUUUAAAUAAAUAUAAUAAUGUUAUAUUUUCAAAUAAAGAUAGUAUAUAGUAAUAUUAUUAAUAAUCAAAUAAAUAUGGUUAUAGUAAUAUUAUAUUCUCAAUAUUAAUAAUUAAUUCCUCCAUAGAGAGUGGGAAUCUCACUUCUCAUUUAAAAAAUAAGUGGAACCCAUAGAGUGGAACUCCCAAUUCCCUUCUUAGAUGUAUAAGUAAACAAGUAAAUAAAUGCACCAUUAAUCUAAUUAAACUCUCUUUGUAGCAAAUUAAGAAUUUUAAUUCUAUGAUAAUCUGUUGUUCUAAUAACCAUCCAAGAUCCCUUACUUCUUGGGCUGUAGGAUCAUAUGAAAGUUGUCGUUGCAAUUUUUUGCUCGACACGUAAUAACUAACUUUUUGCUUUGGAUUCCUUUCUAUAUUAAGCUUUGUGAAUCAUCUCUCAAUGAUAUGAAAGUUUCUAUUGUCAAAGGUUCUGCAAAAGAAAUGAAACUGUCAAAAGGUGCCGGGGUUGCCGGCGAUGACCCUCUGACGCUCAAGUCAGCUUUUCAAAUUUUAUUAUAAAGAGAGAAUUUAAAGAAAGAAGGACAACAUUUUGUUACCAUUUUUUUUCUCCUCCUCUUGUGUGAGAAGUUCUGAUCAUUAUAUAGGCAGUUUGAUUCAUGAGGUGGAGGUGUCAUCAUAACACGUGGCAUUGUUUUAGUGACAAGUGUCCGCAAAACUCAUGUAUGAAGACACCUGUCAUUACGUGUCAAGCUUGCUCACUAUCAAGUCCUCUUUGGACACUUGUCAUGAUUUCGAGCUCUUGACCUUCGUUGGGCUCAAGCACUUCAGCUCUUAUGUUGGUUCCUUAUAAAGAGGAUUAGUUUUGCGGCAUUUCACAUGUAUGUAACCUUUGUAGAAUGUUACUUUCAAGUAAAUGCUGAACAUCUAGGUCAUUAUUCGUAGAAAAUUGACCUAGGUCAUUCUUUGUAAUGAAUAGACCUAGGUUGCUCUUUGUAGACACAAACGUUUGGCAUUUUACCGAAGAGUUGCCCUUUGGGCGUUUAAAAUGGACCUAGGUCAUUCUUUAUGAAGAGUGGACUUAAGUCGCUCUUUGUAGAAAAUAAAUCUAGGUUACUUUUGUAGAAACUUACCUUUAGCGCUUUGUCGAAGAGUUGCCCUUUGGGCGUUUUAUUUAGAAUGGACCUAGGUCAUUCUUUAUAAAAAGUUGACCUAGGUCGCUCUUUGUAGAAGAUGGAUCUAUGUCACUUUUUGUAGAAACUUAUCUUUAGCGCUUUGCCAAAGAAUUUCCCUUUGGGCGUUUUAUUUAGAAUGGACUUAGGUCCUUCUUUAUAAAGAGUGGACCUAGAUCGUUUUCUGUAGAAAAUGGAUCUAUGUCGUUUUUUGUAGAAACUUAUCUUUAGCGCUUUACCGAAGAAUUGUCCUUUGGACGUUUUAUUUAAAAUGGACCUGGGUAACUACUUAUUGGGCCUAUACUCAUGUGGGCUUCUCUUUUUUUUGUUGGAGCUUAUUAUAAUUUUGGUACAACAAAAAAGUAGUCUUCCGUUUACAAAAACCUAAGAAAAUUGCACCAUUCUUCCCAAAUCCAAGUGAAUAACCAAUCCCCACUAUUGGUUCAUCACAAUUAAUUGUUUGAUCCAAUAAUUCAUCUUUUUUUCAUCACCCUCAAAUUUAAACAUUAUUGAUUGAAUCUAGUUAUGUAUAACACGCUCAGAGAGUCAUUGUGAAACCCUAAUAGCUAAUACUCUCCUACGCGUGAUUCGUGAACUUAUGGCUUUUGAAUCUCUUGGAAUUUCUCAUCACCCGUAGGAAAUGAAAGGAUUAAUUUGGACUUGGUUCUUGAAGUGUAUAUUCCAGCUAGAGAUUCGUGAGAAUAGUCGUUAACUUUGUCAUUAAUUGUACAACAUGCUUAUAAAAAUUACCUUGUACGUAGUCGAUAUUUGUAGGAUCUAAUCCAAAUGCAAUGCUAUAAUCUAAAGGAUUUGAAUAACAUGGAAUUAAAUCACUAAAUCUUGUUAGAACCUUUUAUUCUUUUCUAAAUUCUAUUAGGACUGCCCGUAAAAUCUUUGAUGCCCGUAAAUCUUGGUAUACAUUAGACAAGAACCUUAAAAACUAUAAUGACAACAAUAAUAUUAUUAUUUCGCCAUUAAGUAUCAAAUUAUCAUUGAUGAUGGACAAGAACGUCGUGUAAACAGUUCUUUUUCCUUGAUGAACCACUCGCAAAUAUAUGGUACGAAAAGGUUUGUGAGCCCAAAAUCCAAAUCUGGAAAAUUUUGUUUAUGGGUUAAGUCCUACGAUUCCUCUAUGGAAUUAACCUAGCAAAAUUUCCAUCCUCAGACAGAUGCAUGGUGCAAGCAUUUUCCGUUAGUGUGAAAGUUUGAUCAAAACAAAAAUAUAUAAGAAAAAUGAAUAUCAAGCGACGUAUAUAUAAAAAAACCAAUAAUAACAUGCUCCUGACAUUUUAAGAGAUUUUAUUCAAAGAGACAUCUGUUUUAUGGCCCUUGCCGAAGCAAAGGAACUUAACAAUUAAAAUAAAAGAUACAAUUUUGGGGGGAAUAUAUGAGGCUUACCCUUAGCAAAACCAUCGCACCAAAUCCCUUUACCCUGGUUAUAUAUUUAGGCCAAAAAAAAAAUAAAAAUGAGAUCACUCAAUUCCUUUUAUCUUCACAGUAUGAAAUUGUAGACCAAAGUCUGCAUGCUAGAGCAGAGAGAGAGAGAGAGAACUCGUACCAUAUCUUGAUUGUGAAUUAAUUGACAGCUCCUACACGCUUGUAAAGGAUCAAGUGGAGCUGGAAUGGGACUUCUUAUUCAAGAAUGGAUUAUAAGAAGUUGCAAGAAAAUGAGGAAGGAAAAUCAUGGAUGGGAUAUUUGUCUGCAAAAAGUUUCGUACCUAUAAUAAUUUAGAGUUAAUAUAUUUACAAACUUGUGAUACAAAAUUUGUAUUCCGAAUAAUGUUGUGUGGCACAUAAUGUGUUAUUCAUUCAUUAGUAUUGUGAAAUCAUCUCAUGAAUGAUGACAUAAAAAGUUAACUAUUACUAAACAUAUGAUAGUCACUGAUUGGUGACACAUUAUUUAGUAUACAAAUUUUGUAUCCCAACUUUAAGUAUAUCAUUAUUUCUUUACAAAAGCUUACAUUUUCCACAUUUCUAUUACCAUUUGAUUUGUGAAUUUGUGGAGAUAAAAUUCUUGUAUGGCUUGAUUUUGUGGAAAUAAAGAAUUCUUAAUUUUUAAGAUUGAAAGGGAUUGGUGAACAAGUAAAAAUAAUAAUUGAUACUAAGAAGGAUAAUUUGUAUUCAUAUUGAUUUUACAUGUUACCACAACUAUAAUAGAAAGGGCAUCUUUAACUUUGAAUUUUGUGAAAAAUCAUAGUAAAAUCAGAUGGGAGAAACUAAUUAUAUAUAUAGAAAAAGAUAUAUUUUAUAGUCUUGAUGAUGAUGCUAUUAUUCAAUAUUUUCAACAUAUGAAAAUACGUUGAGAACAAUAAUAAAUGUAUUGAAUUGAAUAUAUUAAUAAAUUUUUAUUUUAAUGUUGAAUAUUUUUAAAUUAUAUUUUAUCUUAACUUAGCCCCUGUUAGAUUGAAUUCUGGCACCAUCACAAUUUGACACUGUUAAAAAUUCACCCGUGCCACAAUUGUCUUGCCACAUCCAAACUAGUAUUAAUCCAACCCAUUUAGGGUUGCGAAAAUCCGGAUCCGGAUUCGUAUUUCUAUAUUUGGAUCCGCAAAAAAAGAUGCAGAUCCGGAUGCGGGUAAUAUCCACAACGAAUACGGGGGGAUAUUCCGGAUAUCCGGAUACGCAAAAAUUAAAAUUCAAUAAUUUAAUAUAUAAUUUAAAAAUUCAAUAAUUUACCUAACAAUAUCAAAUAAAAUCCAAUCAUAAUUUAACAAUUGAUAAUUCAACACGAAUAACAUACAAUUAUCUCAUAAAUCUACAAAUAAAAUUUUAUUUUUUAUUGUUUAUUUCAUUUUUAAUAUAUUUUUUAAUUUAAAAUAAAAUUCAAUAAUUUACCUAAUAAAAUCAAAUAAAAUUCAAUCAUAAUCAAACAAUUAAUAAUUCAACAUGAAUAAUAUACAACAACAUCAUAAAUCCACAAAUAAAAUUUAUUUUUUUAAUUUUUUAUUUAAUUUUUAAUAUAUAUAUUUUUUAACUUAAUUUUUUAAUUUAAAAUAAAAUUUAUUCGGAACCGGAACCUUAUGGAUCCCAAAUUUCCAUAUCCAAAUCUGAGCCGGAUCUGGAUUUAAUUGCCAUCCCUAAACCCAUUUUCACGAAAACAAGACUAAUUAACCUGAUUUUUAUGUUCAUUGAUACAGCCUCACAAGAUUCUUGAACCUUCUGUUUACCUUAUUUAUUUUGACGUAAGGAUCCAUAUGUCAAUAGAAUUAAUAUCUAUCUAAAUUCACUAAAAUGUGCCUUUUUCAUCAGGGACAAGGCUAAUCCAGCACAAGGAAGAGCAGCUACCCUGACUUGAUUAAAAGAAAAAAAGAAAAAAAAAACUAAUUAUUUAAUUGUGACAUUUUAGAUUACAUUCAAUAUUGUUACCUUAGUCUCUUAUAAAUUAAAUUUCUGACUUCCUCUUUGAUUACGUGCCCAAUUAAAAAUUGACUUCGUACCGGUAAUUGAAGAUAAACAAGGGAUAAUUAAGGUCUUGUUGUUGAGAAUCGAUACAUAUAGACUUUAGAUUUAUAGCAUAUAUUAAAAAUAUUUAUAACAUUUUAGUAAACAGGCAUGUAAUACGGGUCUACGCUAAUUAUUUUAUCUAAGAGGUUAGAAUUGUUAUAUCUCCCAUUUUCUAGAUGUAUAUUUUAUCAAUAAAUUUUCCUUUUCUGUCGAGGUUAUAAAAAAAAUAAAAAAUAAAAAUAAAUCAAGUAAACUAGUAGAAAGAUGCCGACACACACACACACACACAUUUAAAAUUCUUAAUUUGAGCCUCCAUUGAUUUUGAGUAACUGAUGGCUUAUCUGCAGACAUAUGCUUGCUUCUAUGAAUUUUUGAGUAACACAUACUUAUAGAGACAAUAAUGAUUUCUCAAGUUAUCAUGUAAUUAUCUUAAUUUUUUUUUUGUCUGAAGUUUUUCCAUGUCAAUAAAUGUGACAUUAAAGUCCCAUUAGAUAUACGCUAGAACCGUAUAUACAAUAAGUAAUUAAUAAUUUUACUUACUUGUACUCAUAAUCAAUCUUUCUAUAGUUUUAAUUCUCUUUAGUCUUACAAUUUUCUUUUUAUGUUGAAAAAAAAAAUAUUCCGUUGGCUAUCUCUAAUUUGGCUAAAAAAUAACCAAAAAAAAAAACGAAAAUAAUUAUCCCAUCCCCAAAAAAACACGUUUUUGGAGAUCAUUUGGAAACCAAUGAUCAAUUGUACAUUGAUCGAACAAUAACACUAGAAAUACAAACUCUAUCCAUAUGAUAAACAAAAUUAAUGGAUCAAUGUUAUAUUAUUGUUGCAUGUCUUAAAAAUUUGAAAUAUAUUUAAGACGCGUUUGGGACAGCUGCGCUGCCACAGCACAACUGCUCCCCAUACCUAUUUUAAGAGAAUAUUCUCUUAGAAUAUGGCAUGGGGAACAGCUGGCCCAAACGCGCUAUUAUAUUGUGAUAAUUCAUCAAUUGGAUAUCAGUUUAUCAGUUUUGAUAGGAAUAGAUAAUUGUAUCUUGAUACCGUAAUUGAUUGGAUUGGCUGGUCAUAGCAUUCUAUUUGACUUCUACUAGAGGUUCAACUGUUCAAGUCAAUACCUUGACCAUGUCAUUUUUUAUAUACAGAUGUCAUCGAAUAAAAUUGAUAGGCUAAUCUUUUUUUAAUCAAUUGAUUAAUAGCGUAUUCCAAACGUUUGAAUUUUCGUUUUUAUUUUCUUAAAUUCUUUAUGUACAAUGCGAUUCAUGACUAGUUAUAGUUAUAUCUAACUUUUCUCUAUUAAGAAUGUCUUUAUUUUAACAAAAAAAAAGUAGGUCGGGUUUCUAACAAAUUAAAAUCUGUAAAUUUUUAUAUUUUAAUGGGAUCUUCAUUCCUCACUUUGUUAUAAAAUUAUAUUUAUAUACUAUCAUUAAAAAACACAUAUUAUAAAAUUUUUAAAAACUUUGAAAAAUUCAAAUCAGAAAAAAAUCUUAAUCAUAUCGAGAUGUCCACAUUUAAGCACCAAAUUUAUUUAUUUUUUGAUAUUCUUCAUGAUUAUUGAAAAAUUUAUUGUUGUUUGUUCACGAUUAUUGAGGACACAUGAAUCAAUCACUUAAUAAAUGUAGUCUUUGGCCGUUUCGUAUACUGAAAUUUUUGUACUAAAGUUGCUGUUAAGAGAGACGCGUAUGUGCCUGUUUCACACGAAGUUGCCUUGUGGUCUGUGGUGAAGGUCUCCAAUUUUUCGUCAAGGCCAACAUGAGGAAGUUUCGGAGGGAAAUUUACGAUAAGGACCAUUUAAUUUUUUUUUUAAUCUUAUAAAAGAAAUUAAAAAUUUUGUACAUAAGUUUCAAACUCCAGUAAACCUCCAUGAAUAAAAUAGUGGAUAAAUUAAUAAUUUUAAUUAAAUAAUAAAAUCUUCUAAUCCCAACUUGGGUCAGUGUACUAAAUUAAUAAUUUUACUAAAUGCAUAAGAUAAAUUUGAAUUAUUUUGGCUCAAUAAAAAUAUAGAGGGAAAUUGUCCUUUUUAAUCCUAAAUUUUGAUGUAUUCACCCAUUUCAUUCUUAUUAUUUAAAUAAUAGUAUGUCCAAAAAAUAAAAUAAAAUAAAAACAAAAAAUAUAUAUUAACUUUUGUUAAGGCUCACAAUAUUGUAAGAAAUUAAAUUACUAAGGUUUUUGGACAUUAAUAAAAAAAAUUAAUAUAUAAAUUUUUUAGUAGAUGUUCUACAAAAAUUACUAUAUGUUCUUUUUGUUUCUAUUUUAUUUUUUGGGGGCUAAAUUGGUAAUUUAAUUUUUUUCUUUUUAUUGAUGUAAAAAAAAGAAACAUUAUUGUAAGAGGGUAAUAUUGUAAAUCAAGCCAAAAGGAACAAAAAAUAAUUGCAAGGGCAUCAAUUAUUUAAUGGCAGGGAAGUUUUCAGAUAUUUUUAAAAGUAUAGCGAAUAAUAGGAAAUAACCUAAAAAAUAUAGAGACUAAACAAAUUUUUACCCUAAGUAUGUAGAUAUACUAAGAAAACUCUUCUUAAAAGAUCUAUUUUUAAAUUAAUAAAUAUUCAUUUAUAAAUAAGUUAAUAAAUUUCAUUUAUUGAUAAAUAAAUAACUUUGUUCAAAUAAUAUUUUAUUUUAGUCCCAAUAAUAUUAUUUGAUAAAGAAAAUACAAAUCUUAAAGUAGAGAGAAAAAUAAGUGAAGAGUAAGUUUGAGAUUUAAAAAGUUUUAAUUUUAAUAAAUAAUAUAUUUAUUUUAGGUGGGUGUAGAAAGAAAUUUAAUAUGUUCAAAUUGUCCCCACCAAUAACUUUUUAUAAUAAGAGAAAUUACAUUUCCACUACCUUCAUUUUGUCAUAUGUACAUCUAAAUAAGACUAAAUUUUAACAUGUUAUUUGCACCACUUUUAUUUAUAAAUUUAUAUUAAUUAACUACUUUGACAAUAAGAAUUUAAAUAAAAUAAUUAUUUUACCCUUAAAUGAAUUAAAAGACUAUUUUACCCUUAAAAAAUUUAAGAUAAAGAAAUUAUAGUUACAUUUAAUUAAUUGAUAAAAUAUUAUUGAAAAAUUGGAUGUGUGAGUACCAUUUAAUUAAUUGAUAAAAUUAAUAAUUUAAUUAAUUGAUAAAAUCAAUCCUUUUGACCUAAAAAACGUGAAAUGCUCAUCUCAAAUGUUUUACUGUUUUUAUUUUUUUAUAUCAAUCAUACAAUCACCAUUAUCAAACAAUUUUCAUUUUUAAAUCAACAACCAAAAUAACAAUAGUCUAAACUAAAUUUGAAUAAUAAAAAAAUAUAAUUACAACAAUUAUCAAUUAAAACUUAUAAUUAUAAACAUUAACAUCUUGAAUUUUGAGAUUUAUUUAUUUUAUUAAAUUCAUAUAUAUUCUUGAAAUUAUAAUUUUUUAUUUUUAAAAAUUUUUGUAAGAUAAAAUGAUUUUUUAAUUCAUUUAAGGGUAAAAUAUGUAUUUUAUUUAAAUUCUUGGUAUCGAAGUGAUUGAUUGAAAUAAGUUUAUAAGAGAGAAUUGGGUAAAAGCUUAUUUAGUCCAUAUAUUUUAAUAUUAGUGUUCAUUUAGUCCUUAUAUUUUUUAAAAUGCCUCGAAACAUCCUUACCGUUAAAGUAUUGAUACCCUACUGUUACUUUUUGUUUCUUUUGGUUUACUUUUACAAUACUACCAUUUUAUAAUAAUUUUUUUGUUUGGACAUUAAUAAAGAGAAAAUAAUUAAAUUACCAAUUUAACCCUAAAAAGUAAAAAAAAAUAUUAGUUUUUUGCAAGCACCAUUUGCACACUUGGUAAUUUGCAUACAAUUUUUGACAAUUAAAAAUUAAUAUAAAUUAUUAUAUUUUUUAAGGUUAAAUUUGUAAUUUAAUUAUUUUAUUUUUAUUAAUGUCCAAACAAAAAAAAUUAUUAUAAAAGGGUAAUAUUGUAAAAGUAACGGUAGGGGUAUCAAUACUUUAACAACAGGGAUAUUUCGGGGCAUUUUAAAAAAUAUCAAGAUUAAAUAGACACUAAUAUUAAAAUACAUGGACUAAAUAAACUUUUACCCGAGAGAAUUUAGUGUAAAAAACAUAUCAAAAUUUUAUAGUAAUUAUCUAAAAGUGCAGAGAUAAUUUCCCUUAUAAUAAAUUUAUAAUUUAGAAGGCUGCGUCUUUGCUUUUUUUUCUCUACUCUCAUGAUGGUCAUAUUUUUUUUUAAUAUUAAAAUCAAAAUUUAGGAUAUAUCACAACUGUUGUGCUGAAUCCAUUUUGGAAGUAUCUAUAAAUAUUUUCAAAUAGAUGAGUGGUCUCUCUAUCGUGUACGUAGCAAUUGCUUUCAAAGAAUAGCAAAAAGAAACACAUCAAAUUGCUCUUUGUGACUAAUUAACAUAUGCUUAUAAUAAUAUACAUAUCAAUAUCACCUUCAAAUUUUAGAUAACUGUUGCGUUUCCCCAAGUGAUUUGAGAAACAAAUGGGAUUUUUCAAAUUGAUAUUUGUCAGUUUUUUUAUUUUAUUUUUAACUACUUGAUUUUUCAAUGACAUUACGUGAUAAAACUGGUUACAAUUCCUCUCAGUUUAUCAUAAUUCGAAACUUAUAUAUGAGGUCAUAGUUUGUUCAUUUGUUCAAAUAGGUCCGUAUCGACCUUUUUUUAUAUAAUUAAUUUCACAUUACACAUCUACUUAUGUAUGCGUUGGACGUUUGUCGGGACCCAUCUCAAUGUACUUAAAAUUUAGUCUAAAAUUAUAUAUUCUCAAAGAAAGUAAAAUUUAAUCUUACAUUAUGCAUGAAGGGAAUCGAAUCUUCAACUUUAAUAAUAAAGCGAGGUGUCCAACAAUAGGUUAAAGGAGUAUUAAACAGUUAUUGACUCUUAUCAAUAAUUAUGUGUGUAACUACUAAGUUAUUCACAGACAGUGACUAUUAUGACAGCUUAACUAAUUACUCACAUGAUAUGGAGUUAUGGACUUUGACCAUACGAGAAUACGGCUUUCAAAUGGGUUGGGGGACCUAUUUGAUCUAAAAGGGAAAACCAUGUCCUUACUUGAAAAACCACAGAAAUGUUUGGGCCUCAGAUGAUAUUUCUUUAACCAAAUAGGUCGGCAAGCAUGGCGAUCGUGAUUAAGGUGCAAUUUGCUGGAGUCUUUUUCAUUAUUAGUGACAAUUCUUUUUGUUAUUAAUAGCAAAUACUUACAUUAUAUAUAUAUAUAUAAUUUAUAUUGGCAUGUAAUAUGCAUGUUAUGGAACGUGUUGCACGUAACGCGAUAAUAUUGUUAUCAUUAACGAAAUUCUCUUUAACGAUCAAUAAAUUACAAAAUUAAUGACGAAUGCACGGUACAGCUGACGCACCUUAGCAACGCCCUCAGUAUUUUAUGUAAACAACCCAUUUUAUUCUUCAAUGACGAUAAGUAUAUCUUUAGUUAGAUGAGCACGAGCUUAGUCAGUCGGAUCAGGAUACAGUGUAACUGUGGUACUGUGCUAAAGUUGCAUCCAGUCGUUUGAUGCAUUUAGAUUGGUGGAAUUCAUUGACAUCUAAUGGCUAGAUACAACUGUGGUACGGUACCACAGUUGCACCACAGGUUUAGAUGCACUUAAAUUGGUGGGAUCCACUGACAUCCAACGGCUGGAUGCAACUGUAGCACGGUACCACAGUUGCACCACAGGUUUUCCAAGUCAAUAAUACUGAAAUUACAAAUUAUCAAACCUCUCAAUUUUCCAUGAUGUAGACUUCAUAUGGACUCGGUCUAUUUUCUCCAAAUUCAAUUGUCUCUUUUCUCCUUCGGUUCAGUUUUUUUAAAAAGCUUAAUUACCAACAAAGUCAGUAAGUCACCUCCCCCUUCACACGUUUUAUUAUAGCCCUAAUUUACUACUAAGUUGCUCACAAACAAGAUUGCGCGCAAUCAUAUAUACACAUUUAUACACAACCCCAUGCGUAGAAAAUACUCCCACCUUCCUAUAUAAAUCCCACUUCUUGCAAUUUCAUCCCAAAAAAAAUGAACCAAACUAGCGAAGUUCCCUUUUCAUGGGAAAACAAGCCUGGAGUCUCCAAGGCGAUCACAAGGCAGCACCAACAACAAGAACAAGAGCAACAACACGACUACGACGGCACCAGCGACGGGGAUGGCGACAAGCAUAGUCUUUUCUCGAAGCUGCCGCCGCCGCCUUGUCCCGAGGGAAGCAGCGGGAGGUUUAGAACAAAUAAAGUGUUGCAUGACAUACAAAUCCCCUUGCCUCCAUGUGCCUUUCAGCCUCCUCCUCCUCCUCGUCCUCCUUCAAGAAGUUCUUCAAGAAAAGGUCUCAUGAUGAUGAACAUGAUGAAGCAUCAUGAUCAAGACCCCUUUUUGGUGGCCUUUAAAGAGUGCACCAAAACAAGUUCUAGUAGGAAGAGCACCAAGCUGCUGCCCAAAAAUAGUUACAAGGGUAUGUUUAAUUUCUCAUGUAAGCGAUCUUGCAGUGUUAGACACGAUAACCUAGUGAGAGUUUCUCAGCUUCCUGUUAAGAAAGAUGAAGAGAUAUAUGAGGAAAAGUAGAAAAUAAAAGAAAUAAUUAAAGGGUACAAUUUUUCUUUUUCUUUUUCUUUUCUUUUUUCCCUAUGCAUAUAUAACUUUGUGCAUAUAAAACUUUGCGGAUUCAAAAUCCUGAGCUCAAGUUUCGGACGAUGAUGUCUACAAGAGUUUUUAUUUAUUUACUUAUUUUAAUUUUCUGUUGAAUUUUCGAGAUUUAUAUCUAAAAUUAUAUAUAAUGAAUUCUAAAAGUUUGAUCACUUGCGAAAUCACGAAUUAAUAAAUAGCACUAAAGUUACUAAAUCAAGAAUUCUCCGGUAAUCUAAUUUAAGUAUCUUUUCUAUUUGAGAAACAUAAGUAGGUGUUUAUAUCAAAAUGGAAAAUUAAAAAUACAAACAAAAACAAAAAAAAAGCUAUGACUACAGUAUUUUAGGAGUCUUGUACCCGUCACUUAAGCACCGUCAGAUUACUAGAUUUUGUCUGUCGAUCUUCUAAUAAUCUGAUAGAUUAUGAUAUUUAUGAGAUUAUCCUGAAUGAAGGAUAAUUUAUUACUGGAUUCCUACUCUAUACAAAUUUUGAAGAAAUUAUUUAAUCUUUUUUAAUACAUGAGGUAGUUUUUAAGUGUACGAAGUUAAAAAGAAAAAAGAAAAAAGAAAAAUGACAACACUAAACAGAAGGAUACCCACAAAUUGUGUGCUCAUGAGUAUGAUUUUGAGAGGAGACCCCAUCGUCCCACUCACCAAAUCCUCUGAGAUAUUGAGAUGCAAUAAUUGUGUUACAGUUUCUUUUCUUCUUUUUUUUUGGCAACAAUUAGUUUUAAAAGUAUUAAAAGAAAUUGCCAACAAUUAAGAGUAGAUUCUAUGACACAACUAAAUACAUACCAAUACUAUUGAGUUGUAACUGGCAAUGACAUGAAAAAUAAAAUUUGGAUUUAAUGCUGUUAUGAAUUUAACUAAAUAUCUUAUUUUUUUUCCCAGUAACUAACAAUGACAAUAUUAUUUAAAAAAAAAAAAAAACUCGCUGAAUCCUGAUCUUGAAAAAUUAGCGCGACAACGAAGCAUAAUUAAAAAAGAAAAAUUCCUGGAAGCAUUUAGUAUUUAAAAUAAUUACAAUCAAUGUCGAAUCAAGUCAUAUUUAAUGAAAAAUUCAAUAUAUUAUCAUAACCUGAUACAACUCUAAAAUGUCACAAACGAAAUGUACAAGUAAAUACGGUUAACCACUAAAAGUUAAAGAGGGGCCGGCACUUGAAUAUAAGAUUUUCCGAACCUUCUAUUUGGCCCGUCUAAGAUUGAAGUUCUAUUAUUCGGCCCCUCAAUGUCGGUGAUGGCGAUCAAAGUUUAGAAGGAAACCAACUAAAAUUUAUAUGCUGCUCGAAAAUUAAAAAACUAUAACUAAUCAACGCCACAGGAAGGCAUAAUCAGUAUUUAGAUAAUGACUUGUAUGAAUCAAUGGGUCUCUAACUCCCAAAUCCAACAAACCCCUCCAUUGAUCAGGAUCAUUGAUACUAAUUUUGUCAAUUACCAAACUCUUACCGAUAUGUAACAUGUACAAUGAUGACAUUCUCAGAGUUGUUAAUUUCAUGAACCCAAAAAAAAAAAAUUGAUUAAUUAAUUAAAAUUACAAGCAAGACGAAACAAGCAGCAGAACGCUGCUGAGGCAUCAACGGAAAUUUCAGCCAUAAUACUUUAGUAAAACCAGCUUAAGUAGGGAUGAAGAUACCUGGAUGCUGAGACAAUAGAAAGCUAUGCAAAUCUAAAACGACUCAUCUAGUAGUAGCGUGAGCCGGUAUCAUAAACUCGGCCUCCAGGAUAUGGACCUCUGGGCUCAAACCCUUGAUCCCUAGGAUCCCCAAGGAAACGAGCCCGCUCUCUGUAUGUGUCAUAAUGAUCUGAGUUGUACGAUCGGUAUGCUUCUCCAACAGCAGCUGCAGCUGGAGUACCUCCAUAACCAUGAGGAUCACCAGGACCCAUGCCACUGUUUGGGAAAUGGUCCAUAAUAGCUUGCUGGUACUGCUGUUGUCGUGCAUGUGAUUCCUUCCGCAGGAAUUCAUCUCUCCGACUCGCAUGCCGGGCUCUAAGAGCAGCUAGUUGUCCUUCAUAUUGAGCAUUGAUGGCUUUUAUCUUCUGAAACAGAAAAAAUGAGAUAUCACCGUGUGAGGCAUAAAUAAAGGUUGGAAGAUUUGGUCCACUUGCUACUACCUUACAAUGGAUAAAAAAUCAAACACCAAGGCCAAAAUUCCCAAAAGAUCAAGGACAUAAUAGUACAAUGAUAAACUUUUUACAAUUCUCUUAAAGCAGAAAAUAUCCAUGUCACACAAUCUUCAUAGAUGAACAGACCUUCCAGAAACUAUACAUAAAACAGUUUAAGGCAUUGUCAUCUUACAUGGCACUUUCAUAUUAGAAUCCAGCAACCUAGAAAAACAUCAGAUUUAGAAGAUGUUUAUAAGAUUGAGCGACUCAAUGCUGUCAUUCCAUAAACUCAUGCUUACUACAUGUUCUCCUGAAUUUAUAACAACGGGUACUGCACAAAGGCAGAUAAAGAGGCUCUGUGAUAAGAGUUGAGUUGAUUCUGGCAUUAUGUUCACCAGAUUUUCAGAGGCAAGAAUGCCAGCAUUUCAAUUGGCAGGAGUUAGCAAAGAGACCUGGUCAAACUAAUAUAUAAAAGUGUCUAACUAUUAGUGUUGAACUCUUUUUUAGAAAUCAUGUUCACCAAACUAGGGGGAUUCUUAUAAUAGGUGUCAACUUCGGAAUAUACCAUAGACUUAAAAACUAUGAGAACAUGAUGUUUUUAGUUUAUUUGCAGAACAGUCAAAUAGAACAAAAAGUUCCAAAGUAGGGAUGAUACUAGGAAUAAAGAGGGCAACCUGCUCUGCGCUGCCCGUAGAAGGAUAGAAAUGGGGCCCUGUAACCACAGAGAUGGUUAAUAAAAUUCACUUUGCUCUGAAAGCACAACAGGUUUGAGAAGCUAUAACCUGAUGAAGCAAAAUCACAUCCAGGACUUUCAAAUAUUCAGCAGUACUUUAAUGGCUCCCAGAUUAUUUCUUACAAAGAUAAUAGGAUGGUGUUGAUAAACAAUGCAGGACUGACAACUACUAGUGGAACAAACACAAAAAAUUUGUCACUAAUUCUUUUGGUUUUUGUGAUAAGAAAAUUGCAUCACUUCUUCAAUUUUAUGGUUUCAGGGGGCUUCAGGUGAGUAGCACGUUAUGUAAUUUUCAAAGCAAUCCUGUCUAGGAAACGAACAAUGCAAUUUGCAGAAGAAGCAAUUCCACAUAAUAUCAAACCUUUUUAAUUAUAACACACUGGUUAUAAACCUAACCUUAAUAAGCUGCCAUACAACAAAACACCCUUAAAAAAAACGAAAAAAAAAGGUAAAUUCCAUAUUUUGAUGUACGCUAACCACAAUUAUCCAGCAUAAACAUUAUUGUUUUCUGAAAUUCUUUUAACUUUUGGAAGAAUUAUGAAGAAUGUUAGAGAUUCCAACAUUUGAGUCCCAACUGAUGUGGCAGCUUAUUUGUAACUACCCCAUCAUGUUAAACAUUAAUAAUUACACUAAUGUGGUUAAUAACUAAUUUGAUGUACAGACUGCCGCAUCAGUUGGGGCUCAAAUGAUGGGAUCCCUACCAUUAAUCUAAAAAACAUAUUACAGGCAUAUAGCGGACUAGGUCUUCCACUCAGGUUCCCCACGCCAUCCCAACCCCCAAAAAGAAAAGAAAGCGCAAAACUCCCUGCAAUUAAGAUCAAUGAAGAAAAAGGAGGUAUCUUGCAACUAUUAUUCUUAUCUUUACAAAAGGAUAAAUCUAUUUUUCAUGAAAAUUCUACUUCAUUUUCUUACAUCAAAAUUUUUUUCAUGAAAUUUUGGUUCAAUAUGUUCAGCAACAAACCAUCAAAUGUAUUUCUGCAAGAAAUUCCUCGUGGAAACUGCAGUUAUAAAUAAAUCACAAAAGAGAUGAAGCUAAUAGCUAAGGAAAGAAGCACAUUCAUUAUCAUACAAACCUCUUUAUGUCUAGCAUUUUCAGCAUCUUCAGCAUCACUCUGUUCUUUAGCUAGUUUCAUUAUGUCAUCAAGGAAUUUCUGCUCAAGACCUUCAAAAGUUUGCGACAAAGGCUUGUUCUCAUACCCAACAUCCAUAUCUUCUUCAUGAGGUCGAGAUCUCGGAUCACUAUUGUUUUGUUUCUCUAAAGCUAGUUUUGCAUCUGGCCUCUGACCUUGAAAAUAUGAUCUAGAAGAAUCAACCCCUUGACCUACAUCACCGUAGACAUGAAUCCUAGGAAUUAAAGUUUACAGCAUACUUUUUAAGAACAUUUGAGGCAUAUCUAACCUUUAGUCCUUCAUAAACUACAAGUAUGUCUCGGGUGUGUGAACAAAAACUAUUAAUUUAAUCACGUAGAAAACAUAAUGGAAAGUGAAAAAUGCAACCAAAAGAAAGAAGUUAAAUAUUUUUGAAAAAUUUAAUGCUUUAUCAGUGGCAUUCUUGUCUUAAAUAAAACUUCAAGUGAAUUUUAGAUUAAAUACAAAAUAGUUAAGUGCCAUUUAUCAAAAUCUGUCAUAAAAUGAAGAAAAUUACACACGGGGUUAAAUAUGAGGAGAACAAAAGCAAAGAGAAAAAAUCUCCCUAGCACAUUAAUUUGCAAUACAUUAACAAAAGAGAGGGGAGAAUAAAAAAAGAAAAGCCCUCCAUUCAUACAAAAAAGAUGCUUCUGCUUCUUGUACUCAAGAACAGUACAAAGCAAAUUAUAUUGGCUUUCAUUAUUUAAAAAAAGAAAAUGUGAGAUGUCAAGGUACCGAAUCCUAAUAUAGCCACCAAAAGAUUGUAUAAGAUACUGAAAGUGAAAAAGGACUUCAAUUACUGACUUUCACAUAGUUUCUAAUAACUCUCAACAACUAUGAAUAUACUAUGAAGCUCAGAACACAUAAAUGAAACAUUAAAUAAUAAGAAAUGUAAGAAGAUUGAAAAAUAAUCUUAACCUACAUCAUCAUGGCUGCAGAUUACAUCGGCUUCAGACAUGAAAAAAUGUAUAUGCAACACGUCUUAUUAAAACUAUGAAUCUUCGACUUCUCUACAACAAUUAAGUAUAUUAAGCAGAAGUUCUUGAGUGAAAAUUUUGUGUGAGAUUGAACAUUCCUAACACACAAGAAGCCUCUACCAAAAAGAAAAAAUGAGAGAGAUCUGGUAUAAACAUGCCUUCAUUAAACAUUUGAGGUGUCAUUGAGUUGGACACUUUUGACCCAUCUCUUUCCCAUCUCCAUUGUCUCUCUGAUUUUGAAGUUACAUAUGGUUGCUCUCUCUCAGGAGUGAAGGCCUCCAGCUGUCCUUGAAAAGGACCAGAAUUCUGUUCCAUCCUUUGACCAGGCAUAUGCUGCAUACGGCCAGCACCAUAUGUAUUGGCACCAGGAUCUGCAUAUUGUCCCUGCCGUCUCAUCUGCACUAUUUGGCAAAUCAAGUUGAGUAGAGAACCUAACAGGACUGAAAGUCACAGGAAAUAGAUCCAAUAAAUUAACAGCACAAAUCAGUAAAUCUUGCCAUCACCAACCUCUCAGUAAUGAAAGAAAUAUUUCAUUCAGAUGAUUCUGAAUUCGGUGAUGGAGAGCUAUUGAGCUCAAACUUCAAAUCCAACAUUAAAUAAGAAUUUAAGAAAAGAUAAAUUAUAAUUCUUCGAGCAAAGCGAAAAUUUUUACAGGCAAACAAUCCAAGAGGCAAAAGUUGAUGUACAUAGGAGUAUAACAACAGCUGUUCCUCUAAAGACAUAUCAAGAGUUACAAUACAAAGAAUCAAGAUAUUCCAAAAGAACAGUAGAAAAUUAAGAGGCAACCCCAAAGAGAAGAGCAAAGAUGAUUUGAUGAAACCCCCCCCCCCCCCCCCCCCAACACAAAAAAAAAAAAGUUCCACAAUUUUCUUUCAUGCAACUGCUCCAGAUCAAAAAGUCAGAACAAAAGGCACCAUGUCCCGUACAAAUGAAACAGAAUAAACAUGAACACAGUUCAGCAAAAUUAUGUCCUGACACGGGGAUUUCAAUUUGAUGUUUUAUGUUUUAUAACGUAGUAACAUGGCAUGAUCUAAUUUUUCGUGAUACAAAAAACAGUUCUUACAUAGAUGCAAAUAUUUGCUUUGUUUGGAGAAUGAAAGGUUAAGGCUUCAGAUUGCUUCUCAUCAUUUUAUCAUGUAUUCAAAUCCUUCAGAACAACUCCAGUCAAUUUCGAUUAAACAAACUUCAGGGUGCACUAAAUAUAUAUUUGGUAACAAUUUCAAAAAUACUCCAGUCUGCUUCCUUAAACCUAUGAAAUUCCAAUCAACCGCUCUUUUCUGUGGUAGUUUUAACUUUUUGUUUUUGCAAUCAAUAAGUUUUAACUUUUUGUUUUUGCAAUCAAUAAGAACAAUCCAAUUUCAAACAUUCACUCACUAAAAGUUAGAACUUAAAAAGUCUGUCUUCCAUUCUAAACAAGGCAAUUGAAACCAUUUCUAAUCAAUACAUCAGAGUGAACACGGCAAUUCAAAACAAUUACAUAUAUUAUCAAAUGGACAACACAGUUGUCAAGACAAAAGAUCUAUUAGAACCCAAAUUGCUAAUUCAGAAAAGCUAAAACGCCAACAUUUAAACACAUGCAAGAAAAAUCCAUAAACAUAAAAAUUUUUGAAUAUUCAUACACAUUUGAUCACACAUAUUAUUUAUUAUACUCGGUACACCGUGCACAUGACUAAGGCUAGGUUCAUAACCGCUAUGCUUCUACACAAGUUUUUAGUAAACAGUUGCGAAUUAAAAGCUACAACACCUCAAUCCCAAACAAAACAUAGCCUAUAUACUCUCUCUGUGGCAUUUUAUCAAGCAACUCACACACAACCUAAAUUUAACAAAAUACUGAACUGAACUGAUUAAUAACAUACAAUCAAAAUAAUCCAUUUAAAAAAGAUGAACAUACAACUAAAAAGCACUAAAAAUUACACGGGGUGCGUAAAUUUGAAAAAAGAAAGCAACAAGAAUUCGCCUUACCUUCUUCGAUAUUUUUGUUUUAUAUUUUUGCGUCUUCCUUCAGGGAGAGAUGAGGCAGAACGAAGAAAGGCGAUCCGGCUACCAUACUCGGUCUUAUUAAAUCGUGACGACCGGGUUCGGGUUACGUAACCCGUUCCAGUUUGGGUAAAGUAAAAUAACAAAAGGAGAAAAUUGGAAAAAUGAAACUUAAACUCCAAUGUUUUGGGAAAUUAGCCCAAAAAAAUUCUCUAAUAUUUAAAAAAUGUACAAGCCUCUGUUAAUUAUUGUCGUGUGUAUAACAGUAAUUGACUUUAUUUAUAUACAUUAGAUGUUAAAUUAUUUAAGAUACAAAUUAAAUAUCUCAACUAAAUAAAUACAAAAAUUGCUCCAUUAAUAAAUCAGUUUAGACGUAAUAUUUUGAUUAUAAUGCAAAUAAUUAAUUUGCCCCUUUUGAUUAUAAAAAAAAAUAUUUGAUUUUAUUAAAUGAUAACACUUGGCAAGUGUUAUUUACUUAUAUAUAUGCAUUAAAUAAAAAAAUGUAAUUGCUAUUAUUAAAUUUAAUAUAAUUGAUAUGUAUUAAUUAAAUAAUUUAUAUAAAUAAAUAAUUAAGAUAAAUAGUUUCUUAAAAUAACUAUUUAUUUUCAAAAUUCUUAAUAUUAAAAAAUAUUAAAAUAUUGACAACAAUCAGCAGCUGACAUAUGCAACUCCCUUAUUAAUUGUCACAUUUAACAUAAUUAAUAAAAAUUAUAUUAAAAGAUAAUCAAAUUCUGCCAUGUGUACUUUUAAAAUUAAUUAAUUAAUUACAUUAAAACUUCCCUAUAGUCAUAAUAAUAGGUCCAAAAUAAAUUUAUUAUUAUGAUGAUAUCAUAACUUAAUAGAGGUGUAGUUAUAAAAAUUAUUAUUUUGACUUGAUUAUUCUUAGUGCAAGUGAUGCAGAGUGAAGUAUGUGCUACAUUAGUUAUUAAUUAAUGAAGCAUGUCAGCUCUGGUAUAGUUUUGGAAAACCAUUUCAUAUAUCUAUCGUCUAUAUAGUGUUGGAAAUAUUUUAAGUCAUCUUAUUAAAAGUCUAGAUAAUAAAUUAUUGUCCCAAUAACUUUUCCAUUGAAACCUUCGAGUAGGGCAGCGUUUAUUUUUUGUUUGAAAUAUAAAUGGAUAUAAUUUUUUUUGAAGCCUGAAUGUUUCUGAAUAGGAAUAUUCGAAUGAUAUAUUUGUUUUAUUUUUUAAAUAUUUGAAUAUAAGUGGCAUCUUAUUUAUUUUUAUGAAUAAAAUCACUUUAAAAUAUGGUUAUUUGAUAUUUAUAUUCUUGUAAAUAAAAUGAAUUACUUCUCAUUCAAACUUAUUUAGAUAAAAGUCAAAAAAAUUUAUUUUCUUAUUCAAAUAUGAAUGUAGGAACAUCAUACAUAAGUAACAAAAAACAAACAAUUAAAUUUUAAAAAAGAUCUUAAAUUUAUAAAAUACUAGACUUAAGACGUUUAACAAAUAAGGCCUACUUAAGACAUUUAACAAACGAGUCCUAACUUAAUUGUAGAAUAACAUUUAAUUUAAUUUAGUUGAAAUUGAUAUAAGAACACACUUAAAAAAAUAUUAAAUUAUUCAUUUUCACUUCUUUUCUCUCAUUUCUUUAACAAAACACCACCUUAAUUAAAACUUAAAAGAAACACCAUAACAAUGAAAGAGAAAAUAAUAAUAAUUAAUAAAAAAUCAAAUGCAAUCAAAUUGAGAAAAUACAAUAAAUAUAAGGAAACAAAGAUUGAGAUUGCAAGUGACCUGGUACUGACCGCAGAAGAUGAUAUCCCCUGCUUGAAUGGAAGAAAAAUGCGAAUAAUAAUAACUACUCGUUGAUAGAUAAUGUUCUGUCUGGGAUUGAUGUGUUGUAACUUUUAAGUUACAGUUGCUAAAAAAAAAUCUAUAACUAUAAAAUAUAAGUUAAUAAUUUGUAGUAAAUAUAAAUUUAAAAUAAUAAUUUUGAUAAAAUUAUUAAAUAUAUAUUAGAUUUUGCACGAUACAAGUGAAAAACUAUAUCAACAUAACUUCCAAGUUACAACAACUAGUGUUUAUAAAAAAUUUAGCUCUGUAAUUUUUUAAGUUACAGCUGUCCAACCUCAAUCUCAAACGCAUCCUAAAUAUUAGACAAAACAUUAGAACUAGAAGUUGUAAGCUUGCUAACAGCUAAUUGCAUAAUAUUAUUUAAAGUAAUGACUUGUAAAUAUAUUCGCACAUGAUGAAAUUAACCUUUGUAUUUGGUCUUAAUUUUAAUGCCCAUAAAAUAAAUUAAUAACAUGACUACAGACUUUUAAAUAAAACGCAUAAGCUGUCAUUGUACUAAGAAGAUUGUGAGGGGUCCAAUAUUAUUUGAAUGGUAAAAAAAGUAACAUUCAUAAAUAUUAUUUCUGUUAACUAGAAUACUUUUGUCCUCUGAAUUUAAUCCAAGAUUUCGAAUAAUGUAAAUAUAACAAUACCCAAUUGGUUUAAAAAUGAAACAAGAUUUAGUUUAAAUGAAAUCAAAUUGGCAUUACCUACUCAUACUCCAAAUGUGAACAUCAUAUCACUCACAAUAUAUAUAUAUAUAUAUAUGUAUGUAUGUAUGUAUGUAUGUAUGUAUGUAUGUAUGUAUGUAUGUAUGUAUGUAUGUAUGUAUGUAUGUAUGUAUGUAUGUAUGUAUGUAUGUAUGUAUGUAUGUAUGUAUGUAUGUAUGUAUGUAUGUAUGUAUGUAUGUAUGUAUGUAUGUAUGUAUGUAUGUAUGUAUGUAUGUAUGUAUGUAUGUAUGUAUGUAUGUAUGUAUGUAUGUAUGUAUGUAUGUAUGUAUGUAUGUAUGUAUGUAUGUAUGUAUGUAUGUAUGUAUGUAUGUAUGUAUGUAUGUAUGUAUGUAUGUAUGUAUGUAUGUAUGUAUGUAUGUAUGUAUGUAUGUAUGUAUGUAUGUAUGUAUGUAUGUAUGUAUGUAUGUAUGUAUGUAUGUAUGUAUGUAUGUAUGUAUGUAUGUAUGUAUGUAUGUAUGUAUGUAUGUAUGUAUGUAUGUAUGUAUGUAUAAAGCAUAUACAGGGAGCUAUUCUAAGAAGUUACUGCAGUCUGCAGGCAAGAGGCGGAACCAUGUAUAAAUUUUUGAAAUGUAAAGUAAAACUAAAAACUUUAAGAAAAUCUCCAUCUUGUGAUAAAUUUUGAACAUUCAAAACAAUAUGCAAUGAGAACAUCAUAAUAAUAAUUAUUAUUAUUAUUAUAAAUACCACAAAAAAAUGGAGAAGAAGGCCAAGAAGGAGAGCAACAAGGGCCAAAAAAAAAAAAAAGGUUAUAUUACAAUACUUUUAUUUUAUUUUAUUUUGAAAAAAAUAAAAAGUCUCUCAUAUUUCAUAAUCAAAUUUCUUUUUUCAAAUAUUAAUUUCCUCGUUAUAAAUAAAAUUUUAAAGUUUAUGUCUUUAUUAACAAUUUAUAUGAUAAAAAUUUGUACUACAAUUAAAAUGUUCAAAAUAAUUUUUAGAAUACAAUUAAUCUCACUUCCAGGAAAAAUAUUAUAAGAUUUGAUCUUACACGUGCUGUAUUAUCAUUCUUAAUAUUAUUAUUAUUAUUACGAUUUUUUUACCCUUUUAAAUGAAGUAUGAGUCUGUGAUUAGAUAGAUCUCCACAUGUUGCUAGAACAGAACAUACGUGCCACGCAUUGAACAACAGGGUCACAUGACUCGAUAACUUUCAGGGAUCACUAGUCACCAUUCGCGAAUCAAGUCCAUUCACGUCUUUACCCUUCAGAAGAAAUGCAACACACAGACAGAACACAGAUUACAGAUACGAAUCUUACAAGAAUCUUACAACAUCAAACACCAUCGAACACAGAACUAAAAUAAUAUACAAGCAGCCACAUAGAGCGCACACUUGUUUACAUUGGGUUGGCGUUAAGGAUGAACUUGACCGUUCGAAACGCAAGAGAUCAUAAUACGGUACCGGGCACUUUUAACUAUCAGAGACCAGAGAAUGAAAGCCAAUUUUGAAGUUGAAGCUAAAGCAAGUCAGUUCUUCAUUGUUCUUGUCCUCCAUUGUCAUCUUAAGUGUGUAGGAGCCCUGUAAAAACCGCAGCCAGAUUAAGCACCCGAAAAAAUUAUGCGUAAAGAAAACAAGAUAAGUAAUUGUUUGAAGGACACUGUUAGUGUUUCUUAUACUGGUUGAUUUUGGUAAUAAAGAAAAAGUAAUGAGUAUAUUUUUUCCCCUAACAUUUUCAUUAGCUAUAUUUAUCGAACUCGAGCUGGGUGAUCGAAGUUAUGUUGCUAAUUUGCUAUUGCUGUUACUAAGAUCCUGCUCAUUGGAACAAAGAGUCUAACAAAAACAGGAGAAGUUGCAUAUGCAACAACAUUGUAUCAUUAGUUAACCAUCUGCAAGCUAAUCGUUAAUCUAAAGAAAUGGGCCAGACAAGGAGAAGCCAGAUAAAUUUUUAAUUAGAACUGCAAGAAGAAACUUUUUAAUUUAACACGAUGAUGAAAGAGAUUCUAUUUCUAAUAUAAGAAGUGUAAGUGUGUAAGUGCAACAAUUAUAUAUGCACUUUUUUCAUACGUUGCCUAAUGCAGCAUUUCCAGAUGAAACAGAUGAUGCCAAAAUGAAAGACCUUGUGAAAGUAAAUUUAAAUUAAAAGGAAAAUUCAACUUGAUAUAAAAGAUGUCUAUAAUAAUCUUGCUAGGCCCAAUUCAAAAAUUUAAAAAUUGAGAGGCACAUGUCACCCUCAUUAGUUUCUACUCUAACCAUAAAUGUCUACGGCAAAAGAACUUCAUAAACUUAAAAAAGCAGAAAAAUAAUUUUUGCCGUCAUUUCAUUUCUCCCUUCUGUCUCGGGAAACCAAUUGCAGCAAAGAUAAAUAAUAGAGUGGAAAAGAAGGAUUGAGCUAUAAACCAAAAGGGGAAAAAUACGUUAAGGGAAAAAUGGAACAAUCAGCAACUGAAAGAUUUUUCUUGUGAUAAAUCUGAGUGGGACUUAAAACCAACAUAACCUUACUCCACGCCACCACUUUACCACCAGCACCAAGGCCCAAGGCCUAUCAGUAAUGUGAGUGUACAAUUAAUUUGGGUGUUUCAAUUUUUCAUUAGAAAGUCUUCACUUAAAAAGUUUGUGAGUGUCCAAGGUCGGUCUAAAAGCUCAUGAAUAUAAAUACUGGUGAAGUGAAACUUACCGGAGGAGUGAAACUAGGCAGAGUCUGGGUGUGGGACAGUACAAAGUCUCCUGCUGCAAUGGGACACGAUACCUCCUCACAAACGUCACGGGUUUCUUGAUGGACAGGUACCCCAAAGUAAGCAACAUUUAUCACCACUUUCCCACCAUAGACAGCUUGACCUAUAUAAAAAUGCAAACAAAACAGCUUUGAUGAAACUCCAACAAUCACAUCAAGGAAUUGUAAUCACAAAAAGCAGCCUCAUAAACCAACUAAUGCAUGCAAUAAGAAGCUGGAAAAAAAAAAAAGGAUCGAGAAUGCUGUGGUUCUCCAGAUGUGAAAAAUCUUUAUCCGAUGCAUCAAAGAGCCCCAACCAACAGUUUGGAAUUCUCAAAUUGAAUAUGAUUUAUCAAAAUCUGAACUCAAACAAUCUACAGCUUCAUACAGGAAACCAUGGUCGAGACCAGCUACCAAGCAAGCAGGGUCUGCUGGUUGAUUAUGCAGAUUGAACCAAAACCUAGCAACAGAACUUGCGUAGACCAGCAACGGUUCCACAUCUAACUAGGACAAGAGAUUUUCAAUGUUACUAUAAUAAUAUGUAACAUUUUAGCCGGGAUCUUUUGGUCUUUCGCAGUUUACAGUCAAGAACCCUCAAUUAGAAUAGAUGUCACGACCGAAUAAAUCUCCCCACACAUACCCAUCAUCACAAUCACUCAUCUACAUCUCUCAUUUCCUCAAAUAUUAUCUUUCGGAUAUGCACUUUUCCUAAGCAACGCUUAAGGGUCUAACAAGGCAAUAUAAUACCUAAUACUGAGCCGAAGGGUCUAGCAAAGCACUAAAAUGAGUAAAUUAAGCAAAUAAAUUAAAUCAACAACAUUGGCAAAAGAUUAUAAAACAAAGAGAAUUUGAAAUUACCUGUAACAGCCGAGAUGUUAAAGGUGGCUGGCUUGCCUGUGACUACAGGAUCAGGAAUUAUCUUAACUUGCUGAAUCGUUACAGCGUAGUUUUUCUUCUUAUCUGCAAACAAAAAACUUCAAUUAAAGUGAACCCAGAACUUAAAACUUCAAAGAAACAGCAAAAUGCAAUCAAAUUGAAAAAUUAAGUGAAGAAACAAAGACUGAGAUUUGAAGUAACCGACACUGACCGCAGUAUUUGACACCUAUGGCUUGAGUGGAAGAAACUAGAAGAAGAAAACAAGCGAACAGGAUCAACUGACGGUCCAUGGCUUCAGCUAAGAUGAUGAAGUGAUGAUGACGACGACGACGACUUGAAAGUUGCAGCAACGGGAGUAAGCAAACGAGCGCCCUUAAGUAAUGAUGAUGAUGAUGAGACAAAAGCCCAGGAUCUCAUAAAUAAAGGGUCUUGCUUGAAGCAACAUGGCUUGGCCAUCUGUAUUGUUGGAAAAAGUAAAAAUAAAAAAUAAAAAUUUGUGGUGGGUGCAUUACUUACAAAAUUAAGAUUAAAAUCGUCUUCGGAUAAUUUGAGUUUUUAUUUAAAUAUUUAUUUUUUUAAGCAAUAAUGAUAGGUAUAAUUUAAUUUUUAUAUUUAUAUUUAUUAAUCAUUAAUCCUUAUUUAAAUUUUUUACUUAAUAUAAAAUUAAAAUUAGGAGAGAAUCUGCUUAAAUUUUUUUUUAUCAUAAGAUAAGGUUGUACGUCCGAAUUUUUUUUAAUGUACUUUGUUGAGAGAUCGGUUGGGCAGGUGGUGUUACAAUUUCUUACCAAAAUUGACAAAAAUUGUUAGGGGUUGAAACGGAAAGUUGGUUUGAAGAGUUUGCAAAUGGGUUUGAAGUUAAUUGAAAGUUGAUUGGAAACUGAGUUUGGUUGUCUUGAUUCCGUGGGUCACAAGACAUUUGGGCCGCAAAACGAAAUGACCCAAGUUUUGUUUAUUGUGUUUUUUUUUUUAAGUAGAGCCAAUUAUAAUAGAUGUUUUAUUAAUUGAAUUUUUAUAAGUAGGAUUUUUACAAAAGAAAAUUUAAUUUUUCGAUUGUCAACAAGAGUUCUUAUUAAAAAUUAUAAAAUUAUAUUAAUAAACAAGUUUUUAAAGUUAUGUAUUAUAUUAAUAAACAAGUUUUUAAAGUUAUGUAAUAAAAUAAAUGAAAUAAAAAUAUAAAAUAAGUAAUGGGUAUUUUAAACAAUUUAAUUUUUUAAAAAAGAAUUCUUGAACAUCUACUCAUAAGAAGUCGAAAAUUUGAGCUUUUAUUAGUAGAGAGAAAACUUUUUCAAUCUCCAAAAAACUCUACUCAAAAUAAAACUAAACAACAAUGAAAACUUUGAAAAUAACUUUUACGAUUAAAUAAAUACUUAUAGACGUUAAAUAAGUCAUAUUAGAUAGGCACUAAUAGGACUUGGCAAAGUUUGAAUGUCAAUUACUAAUUGAGAUGACUAUAUAUUUAUAGAGUUUUGAAAUCUAAGCAGGUAAAAUAAAAAAGAUUGAGAAGAACGAAUAUUUGCAAGUGUCUUCAUUGUAACGAUUUUUUUUUUUCUAGAAAAUAAUUUUCAGUCUCCUUCACUAGCAUGGGUGUGAUAAAUAGUUUGGAAGAAGGAUAAAAUGUGUGUUGCGUGGGUGCAAAAAUUAGAAUGCAUUUUUUCAUGCAGUAAUUUUUGUUAGGGGUAAAAUUGUAAACAGCAAAACAUGGGUUUUUAUAAUAGGGAUUAUUAUUGGUGGGUUAAUAGCACAACUCCAAUUUCUCUUUUCAUUCCAACCGUCCAAUUUAUUAUAACCAUUAAUAAAAAGCAGUUAGACAUUAUAAUCAAAGGGUAUACUUAUCUUAAAAAUAAUUUAUGUGCUCAUUUACAAAACAAGAGAUCUCUGUGACUAUAUCAUUGAGGAACAGAAUCCUCUCCUGAUCUGACCAUUACUGAACUUUUAAGGAUUUUUUACGUAUUUUUUAGUGGUAGUGUAUGGAUAAAAUUUAUUUAUUUUUUACUUUUUUAUUUAUUAAUAACCAAUCAAAAAUUAAGUUAUUUACUCAGGACAUGAUCAAAUUAAGAGAGAAUCCUGAUUCAAUCACCGAAUCAUGAGUGUCAUCUUUUUUUUUAAAUAAUAUUAAAUUAGGAGAAAAAUUCUCACUCACUAUUAACUAACUCUUGCCAAUAUUAUCGUUUAGAGUCAUGUGAUUGUGAGGCCAUCCACAUCCAGUUGGGUAAUAUUAAUAGUACAGUAACAAUGUACAUUAUUUAUUAUCUUUUAACUAUAUACAGACAAGUUAUUUUAUCUACUCACAUUUAAUUUAGGGAUAAUCUUAAAAAAAAAUAAUUAAUUAAGUAAUUUAACGCUUUUGCCAAAUUUCAGGGAGAAAAUUAAAAAUACGUGGUGGACUGGAGAAUAUAAAACACAAUACAAGGGACUGAACUGCUAUAAUGCUGCAAAUUUUAUAAAGAAAUUUCAAGAGUUUCGAUUUACAAGGAGUGAAGGGAUAGGUGGUAAUUGAAACUCCAAUUAACACUCAAUGUGGUGACGUCUAGUAUUUACUCAUAAAAGUAAGCGGAAUGUGACUUAUUUACUUCAAGUUCAAGGAUCAAAAGAGCCAUAAUCACCAUUCAUGAAUCACGUCUAUUGACAUCUUUACCCUUGAGAAGCAAUGCAACACACAGAUGUGAUUCUUGCAAGAAUAUUACAGCAUCAAAGACCACUGAACACAGAACUAAAAAUAUACUAGCAGCCGCAUAGAGCACACGUUUUUUUACCUUCUCAUUCUGCCGUGUUAAGGAUGUACUUGACACUCGAAACGUGAGGGAUCAUAGUUCUGUAGCAGUGACUUCUAGUUUUAGCUCUCAGACACCAGAGCACCAAAACCAAUUUUGAAUUUGAAGCUAAAGCAAGUCAGCUGGUAACCGUUCUUGCCUAUCAUUUUCAUCUUAAGCGUGUAGACCCCCUGUAGAAAUCAUAGCCAGACAUAAAUGCCAUUUGCUAAUACAUUUCGUAUUUCAGAGGAAACAAAUGAUGCCAAAACGAAACACCUUGCGAAAUAAGUAAGUUUAAAUUAAAAGGACAAAAAUGACCAGAUAUACAAGAUGUCUAAAACAUUCUUGCUAGGCUGAGCACCAAAAUUUAGAAUUAUGAUUGGCAAUUAUAACUUAUCACCCUCAUUAGUUUCUACUCUGACAACCAAAGACCUUCAUAUACAACUUAAAAAGCAGAAAAAGAAAUUUUUGUAGUCAUUUUAAUCUACUUUCUGUCUCUAAGAACCAAUAGCAGCAAAGGAGAGACUUAAGUACAAAAGAAGGCUAACAAGGGGCAGCAACAUGUGUAGGGACUGAGAAAAUGAAACAAUCAGCAACUGGAAGAUUUUUAUUUUCAUAAAUCUGAAUGGAACCUAAACAUAUAUAGCCCCACUCCAUACCACCCCUUUAACACCUGCAACGAGGACCAAGGCCUAUCAGUUAGUGUCAGCGUACAAUUGCUUUGGUGUUCAAUAUUUAAUUAGAAAUGUCUUUAUUUAAAAAAGUUUGAGUGUGGCCAAGGUUGGUCUAAAAGCUCACGAGUAUUAAUCCCAGUCAAGUGAACUUACUGGAGGAGUGUAACCAGGCAGAGUCUCAGCGUGGGACAGCACAAAGUUUCCUGCUUCGAUGGGACAAGAUACCUCUUCACAAAUGUCAUGGGUUUCAGAAUGGACAUGAAUCCCAAAGUACCUAACUUCGAUCAUAACUUUCCCACCAGAGACAGAUCGAUCUGUACAAAAGGCAAACAGAACAGUGAUUGAUGAAACCCCGACAAUCAAGUCAAGGAACUGUAAUCACAAAAGCGGCCUCAUAAACAUGUACCAAUCCAAGCAAGAAGAAGCCGUAAAAUAAGAGAAUGGAUGGAGAAUGCCAAGGCUACUCCAGAUGUAAAAAAUCUUUACCUGAUGCAUCAAAGAGCCCCAACCAACAGUUCUGAACUCAGAUUACAAUCUUAAAGCAUCAUGUCAUGAAACUAACUGGAUGCUUGAGAAAUGAAAGGUCAUAAACCAUGUUUGAGACUCAAGACCAACUGGAAAGCAGGGUCUGCCUAUCAAUUAUGCAGUUUGAACCCAACAAACAAUCCAUUUAGACUUGAAAAGAUCCUAAAUCUAACUAGAUACUACAACGAGAGUUUGCCAUAGUUACUAUAGAAUGCAACAUUUUAAUUGAGAUUUUUUGGUCUUUCGCAAUUUACAGUCAAGAACCAUCAAUUAGAAUAAUCUUACUAGUUACCACAUAUACCCAUUAUCAUAAUCACUCAUUCAUCUAUAUAUUAUUAUAUUUGCAUUCCAUCAUUUCUACUAAAAUUACCUUCUGUAUUUUCAAAAAAAAAAAAAAAAAAAUUGCUGACGAAUAUUAAGAUCUUGGUAUGCAAUUUUCCUACGCACAGCUCAUUUUCAAAGCAUAUCCCACUUUCUAUUUCUUCACAAAUGUGCUCAAUAAUAAAUUCCGAGCUUAAGGGUCUAAGAAAGCACUACAAAAAUUUGCGCAAAUUUCCGCAAAUAAAUAAAAUAAACAAGAUUGACAAAGCUUAAAACAAAGGGAAUUGAAAUUACCUGUCACAGCUGAGAUGUUAAAGAUGGCUGGCUUGCCUGUGACUACAGGAUCAGGAAUUAUCUUAAUUUGCUGAACCUUUAAAGGGAAAUUUUCUUCAUCAUCUGUAAACAAAAACCUCAAUUAAAGUAAACCCAGAAUUUAAAACGAACUUGACAAUCCAAUCAAAUUAAGGAGGAAAAAAAAAAGGGAAACAAAGACUGAGAUUGAAGUAACUGACACUGACCGCAGUAUGUGAAAUCUAUGGCUUGAAUGGAAGAAACUAGAACAUAAAAAGUGAACAAUAAUAACAACUGACGGUUCAUGGCUUCAGCGAAGAUGACGAUGAUGACUUGAAAGCUGCAGCUAGUGAGUAAACGAGUGUCCUGAUGAUCAUGAAAAGGAGAUAAGAGUGCUGAUGUUUGCCCCGGGUCAAACCCCGGGUCAAACCCCGAAAAUGCGUCAAACGACGCCGUUUUGGCUCGUAAUUUUUUUUGUUUUCAAGUGCUAUUGAACGACGACGUUUCUGCUUCAAUUUUUUAUUUAUUCUGAUUUGCUUUCAACGAAGUCAUUUUGGUCUACAAAUGGCAGCCUUCUUCUUCCUCUGUCUUUAACCCAGCUGAACCAUUUCUUCUUCAUUUUCUUCGUUCUCUUCUCGGUUUCUUAUUUGCGUCGUUUUCUUUAUUUUUUUCUUUUUUGUUUCUUCAUUUCUUUUUCAUUUCUUCCAUCCUCGACCUAGAUCUACAACCCUUGAGUCGACAGCAGAACAGGAUCUACUAAUUAAAGCUCCAUCCUCUUCGUCUUAACCUGAACGAGAUCCACAGCCCUUGCAUUUAGUGAAUAACAAGACCAACAGCAGCUGAGUUUCGGCUACUAAGCUGAGUUUCGGCUACUCAAGACCAACAGAAGUGGUCUAAAGUAUGAUGAAUUCCAUAACAUUUUCUUUUUUUCUUUUUUUGGCUUUAAAACCAGUGGUCGUGUAUUUUCCCAAAGUGGGUGGGUCUCACAGCAAAAUCCACAGUAGCAAAUUGCAGAAUGAUAGAUAUUUAUUGGUCAAGCACAACCCACAAGUUUUUGUGUUAAUUGAGAUACAAACUAAACUAAGUAUAUAAUUUGAACAACUCUUUAAAGAAGAAAAAAGUGGAGGACUUUUACAUUUAUAGCUGCUGAGGUUCGCUUUCAAGUGAUAAUUUACCAUCAACGAAGUGUAAAGCUGUCUACAACUGUGAUUGACUUUCAGAACUCAUGUGUAUAAUUCAACUGCUUGUUGUAUAAAUUUGUUUGUGUCAAAUGACAAAAUCUACAAAUUCUCCAGAGGGAAACUGACGACAGGUUUUAUCUCUGAAGCCAUUGAGCGCAAGACCAAGUUGGGAUGUCUUCCCUCUGUUGCUCUGUUGCUUUCGCAGGUGAAACGAAGAAACGAAGAGGAAGAAAGAUUUUAUUCUUCUCAAAAUAUCAUCAGAAACGUCGUCGUUUUGGAGUAUUCCAAAAAGAAAAAAAAUAAUCAAAACGACGCCGUUUACGUUAUUUUCGGGGUUUGACCCGGGGCAAACAUCAUUUUCCAUUUCGUAAUAGCCUGUUUAUGAAUCGAUUUUCUUUUUUAAAUUAUUCUUGUAAUUUUAUAUUUAAAAAUCUUAAAUUAUUCAUAUUUUUAUUUGAAAAUAAAUGAAAAGGAGAUGGGUUUAUGAUUUUUUUUUUCUUUUAAAAAGAAAAAAAAUUAAGAUUUAAAAAAAAUUAAAAAUAAUCAAUUCCUAUAGGGAUAAUUCGAAAUUAACUUUACAAAUAAUAAUAAUAUUAUGACAUUUGUUAACUUUAAAGUGAAAGGUAGUGAUACUUUAUUAUAGUGAGAUAUUUGAUUUGCAUCAGAAUUGAUUGGACAUUUUUUUUUAAUUAUUAUAUGUACAGGUUAAUUAUUCAAUUAAUAGAUAACAUAUAAGAUAUCAUAUUAAUUAAGAUAUCUUAUUAAGUAUAAUAUUAAUCAAAUUUAUUUAUCUAUUCCUUAGUUGAAUUGAUUAGAUUUGAGAUAGAUGAUCCAAGGAUCUCUCUAGGUGGGGUUGUCAGAGUUCUUUGAAUCUGGAUUGAGAUUUAGGAUUCCGACUCGUUCAAACAGAAUUUGAAAUAAAAAGUUGUAUCGAUCUAUUAUUCAGAUAAAAAAAUUGGGACAUUUAAAAAUCAUGAUUGGGAUCUAAAUGUUCAAAAAUCUAGCUUUUAAAAAAUAUAUGACAAAUCGGCUUAAUGAACUACAUAUAUCUAACAUGUUGGUCAUAUGUAUAUAACAGCUGGUUUUAACAAAUAAUAUAUAUGACAUGUCAUUCAUAUAAAUAUAAUAUGUUGUUUGUAACAGAAUUAGCAGCAGAUAACAGAAAAUUUAUGUCAUCCAGGAUAAUUCAGAUUUCAAUCAAGAUUCGAAAUUUUGAUCAAGACACGUUUUUAUCUUAAUUUACAGUUUCGGACAAGAUCAGAAUUAGUAAAUUCCGACCUAUCUUGUCUUGUUGCCAAACCUAUCCAUAGGAGUGGAAAUUUUUUCAUUUAUUAUUUUAUGUAGUUUCGGAUUUUCGCAUUGCCCUUAUUGCUCUGACAAUUUGAGGCGGGCAUUAGGUUGAUAUGUAGGGUUGUUGUAUGUAUUCAAUAUUUACUUUUAUGUUAGGAGAAUUGGCUGCCUAGGCCUCUCACAUUUAAACCGGUUUCCAAGCCAAGCUUACCAGCUGAUGCUUUAGUUGCCGCGUUAAUAAAUGCAGAGCAUAGUUGGAAUGAAGGGCUGAUUCACAGACACUUCGCCAAAAUAGAUGCGGAAGCAAUUGUUAGAAUUCCCUUGCCAAGGAGACCAAUGAAGGAUGAAGUAGUUUGACAUUACGAUAAGAAAGGCCAGUACUCGGUUAAGAGUGGCUAUCAGAUUGCAUUAAAUCUGAAAUUUUCAGCCCGGAAUUUCAGACCGGCCGACAAGUUCAGCAGCUACACAGAACCAAUGGAACGCUAUAUGGCUGCUUACCUUACCUGGGAAAAUCAGAAUUUUUGCUUGGAGAGCUGCAAAAAAUCUUCUUCCUUCGAAGCUAAAGACCUGGAAUCCUCC